rnacentral:lncRNA from 1 species
GGUGGUUUCUCUCCCUUGGGAGGUUUACCAAUUGGGGUUGGUGGCUUGUGUUCUGGGAGUGGUUUCUCUCCCUUGGGAGGUUUAGUGGGUGACUUGUGUUCUGGAGGUGGCUUCUCCACCGAAGGCUUGUGCUCCGGUGGUGGCUUUUUGGUUGGAGGGGGCUUGGGGUAAUCAGCAAGAGAUGGGGUGGUGAGAACCACCAGUCCAAGGAACAACACUAGCAAGUAUGUGGGAGACAUUUUUGAGUUUGGGCUGAUCAGAUGAUGCAAAACUAAAGCAUUACGUGACCUUUUAUAGCAAGUAGCUCCCAAUACCUACUUGACACGUGUUACUGUGACCCAUAAAUAUUAUGGGGUCUAUUUGUGCCCUACCGGGUUGAAAACUUGGACAAUUGGGCAAGGACCCGCCUGACUAUGGAGGACUACUGAGGUGUGAUCACAGCUUUAGGAUUUUUCUUCCUCUGCAGCCGUCUUGCCGUUGGCAUGAUUUUCUUAAUCUCAAAUAAAGGCAUAGUUAUAGAGUUGUUUAAUCUCUAAAUGGGAUUUUAUAUAUCUUCAGAUAGCCAUUAAUACAUUUGAUGAAGAAAGAAAGACAAGUGCAUACAACAUGUAUACGACUAGCUUUCAUGGAGUUCAUUUAUGAUCAGUUUUCCUGUACAUGUAAACCAAGAUCAUAUAUGUUUUUGUUCCACAACAAUUUUGGAAUCUUGUUUAUCCGUUUUUAUCAUUAUAAUGUCACAUAGGCUGCCAACUUGGGCGCUAAAUUAAAGAUCCAGUUGGGCAAGUUCGUUUCAGAAUUUCAAUGGUGGAUUCAGGAAUUGUUUUAUAAGAUAUGCAAAAUAGUAGAGGGAUGAAUAGUGUUUCAUUAAGAAAAGAGCCCUGUAAAAAUAUUGUUUAAAGGUGCCAUAGAAACUAUAAUCAAUAAAUAACUUUUUUUCCCCAUGGGUGGUGUUUCUUGUGGGGAUCAGUGACUGGUUUGAGUCAACGCCGUGUCUCUUUAGUCCAGAAAUCAACUAUUUUAUGCAUUGAAUACAUCAACAAAGAAAAUAUGAAAGCCAAAUGACACCUCCCCCGCAAAAACUAAACCCUGGUUGCUAACUUUCUAUGUUUCAGUUCCAUUCACACAAGAAUAUUAGUUCAAGUUUGAGAAAAAUGGCGACUUACCUAGUGAUAACUCGGUCUUGGUUUGCGAUUUGACUUUAACGUCAUGGGUUGAAGCCUCCUACAAUCAUCGUGUAUGCUAGUUCAAAGCUCGUGGAAGAAGUUAUACAGGGAGGGAGAAACCUCCACAGCAAGCUCCAAAAGAGAAUUAUCACAUUGAAAGCUCCAGUUGAACACUGGGUGAAAGCCAUAACAAGAUUGGUUUUCUAUCGCUCUUUUAAGUAAUGGAAGAUUAUUAUCUCUGCUUGUCACUACAACCGUGCAUGCUGCUAGAUCUUUCUAGACACUUCAAACAGUGAAACCAAGUAUGAUUCUUUUUCUCUUGAGUGGGUCCACUUGCAUGCCAAUGAACGAGUUGAAAAGUUGGACAAUUGGCCACAGCGCGCACUUACCUUCUGGAACCGAAGGUCAGUGAAGUGGGGUUCCUUUUGGCCCCUUGUGUUUCUGUUCCAACCUACUCCAGGAACCGAAGUUCAGUGAAGUGGGGCUACUUUUGGCCUCUUGUGUUUCUGUUCCAACCAAACAAAAAUGGGAGGGAAAAAUAGCAUUAUGCUUGUGCUAAAGAUCAACGCAUGAUAGCUGAAUAAGGGAGAAAAAGGCAUUGCUAUCUCAAUUUCAUAAACUUGAUAAGUAGUGACAUUAAUAGUCUUCCUCAUAGAUGGAUACAUGGUUUUAUUUUAUUUAUUUAUUUUUAUUUUUUUGUUUUAUGUCAAUGCUAAUGAAUGAAGUGCAUUAGCUUGUUUUGUGACUAGAACUACAAAUGUCCAAAUUGGAGCUUCUCCAAUAUAUUUCUCAGUGAGUUAUUGAUUAGAACUCUUGGAUUGAGUUCCAAGAUUUGAAUCAGACCCCUCUAGCAGCUUCAGGGGUACGUAGCAACCUAUAGCAUAUUAAUGAAGACUUAGGAUUUAGACUUAGGAAUACAAAUUAAUAUGUACCUCAUGCUCUGACUAGCUUCCCUGCGUAUGCACAAAAUGGAGAUGACUCCCAAAAAAAUAGCAGAAUCGCCUUAGUAUGUUUUUGUGGUUAAGAUGAUUCUCCACUUUAUAUAUCCACAUUGGUUCAUUAUGCAAAUUAAUCAACUAAGCUAUUUUUAUUUUUUCUUAAAUGUGAAAUAGGAGCUCCAAAUUAACCUAACCAUUGGCCUGAUUGAAUUGAUUUCACUUGCAUAAUGUUAUAGUAGAAGUCCGUAAUUUGAAUUUUAUUUUUGCAAAAGGUAACGUAAAUGAAGCAUUGUAAUUAAAUUUAUUUGUAAUUACAAACUAAUUUUAUUUUAUUAAGAAUUAAUUUAAUUACUCAUUUAAAAUAAAAAUCAGUUAUACUUUUACCAAGAUGAUAAUAUUCAUAUUUUUCUAGUUAACAUAUAUAAAAUAGUACACUUUUUCAUAUAAAAAAAUAAUUUAUGAUUUAUUAUAAUGUUACUAUUCACAUUUUACUAAAUUGAUGGUACAUGAUAGUGAGAGAAGGGGGUGUCACACUCAGCUAAAGUUCUUUUCAAAAUAUUGCAUGGUGUUUAAUUUUAUGUGUCGGCGCGCGUGUGAAUGGAACCUGCAAAAGUCCAAAUUGGCGUUUCUCCAUUUUCCACAUAGGAUGGUGACGUUAAUAGACAAAGAUACAAUAUCUGUAGACAUUGCUUAAAAAUCGAUGUGAAGUAUUAGAAAUUACAGGGCACUGUACUGGGGGAGCGGCUGCCCCGCCAAAGGAGGAAGAAUGUAGCAAUUUCUUCUGUUAGCCAGGCCUUAGGAUUUAUGCAUGGGAUGCCUAAUAACAAACAGAGAAAAUAUACUUUUGGGGAAGGUAUCCAACAACAGACACCAUCAUUCAGAUGGUGGGAAGGUAUCCAACAGAUGCCAUCAUUCAGAUGGUAACAUAUAUAUACAUUUAUUAGUGAGUUUUUUUAAUACCUAUAAAAAAAAAUAUACACUUUGAUAUUGUGGCUGAAUCCAUUACAUACUCAACUAACCUUGCUCAUUAGGGAUUUGACUUAACAAGGGCAACGUUGCAGUACAAGCUCAAAACUUUAUGCAGGUGACAUUACAUUUGGUAAAGAAGAGGAAAAUAACGAAAGCCAUCCAUAAAAGCAAAAUUCCACAUGGGAUGAAAUUCACAAGCUUCAUUUACGAUAGAGUCGCAUCCAGGCAAUUAAUUCCACAUUAGACCGCCUGUUGACAUGUGUACCAAUCUUUUUUCAAAAAAUAUUUAUAAAUAAUUGAUACUCACAAAAAUAAUUUAAUAUUUAUAAAGGAUAAAAAAAUAUUUUCAAAUCUAUAACAAUUUAUAAAAUAUUAAUAAAAAAUUAUCUCUUAAACUUAGUAUAGUUUUAUCAGAUUAAACUUUUAUUUUGAACAAAUAAUUUUAAUCUAAGUUUUAAAUUCUAAAAUUAUUUCCUUAAAAUAAAAUUUUAAAAUUCAACACUUCAAUUGAAAUUGUCUUUUUAAAAAAUAUCUUCUUAUUUUAAUCCUUAUAAACUAUAGUUGAUUGAAAAUACUAUUGAAGUUCUCUCUUAAAAAAAAGUCUUAUUUUAAUCUUCAUAAAUUGCCCUUGAUUUGAAAAUAAAUUUUCAGUUAUCAUAUUUUAAAUAAUAUCUAUAUUUAAAAUACUCUAUUUAAAAAAAAAUGAACUAAUUUUAAUUAUAUUAUAUUUUAUUUUUUUAUAUAUUUUUAAUGAUAAACCAAACAUAGAAAAUCAUUUUUCUAAAUAUUUUAAAAUUUCUAAGCAACCAAACAUAAUCUUCAAAAUAAAAGGAAAAUAAGGAGGGACAUUUGAGAAAUGGCGAUUAAAAAAAAGUGUACAAAAGCUCAAUUAAUUUUCUUCUAGUCUUUUAUAUAAAAAAGUAAAGGAAUUGAAAAGUAUUGAUAUGUAAAUUAAUAUUUGGAUUUUAAUAGUAUUUUAUUUGUCUUUCUCUAUCUCAUGUAAAAGAGAAUUUAAGAUAUUUCCUAAAGCAAAGCAUUAGUUAUCUGCAAUCAGUGGUGAUCAUGCCCCAUGUCAAUUUCGGACCCAUAUCUUAAAACUGUAUAAUUUGCAUUCAAACAUUACUGAUUUCUCAGAUGUUUCAUACUCCACAGAAGAGCAUUGUUUGUGAAAGCAUGCAUUUAUGUUGGAUUUUGGAUGAUGUGGGAACUGGGGCAAGGAUCAUAUGGAAGAGUGGUCGAUUUUGUUCUGUACUUUAACAUUUGAAAUAGGAGAAGCUCGGGCAUUUGUGGGGCUUAAUUGAUUUUGAAGCCUGAAAUUGCGUUUCUGUCAUUUUGUAAAAAAUAUGGCAGAUUCCAUGCUCUCAUAUGUUUGGUCUGUGGCCAUGUAUAGAUGCCCCUUAGUGACCAGUUUGUAACUGUCAAUCAUAGUGUUUUGACUCUGGCUCAACAACAUCAGCCAUUGACGGAUUUUCAUACUUGCAAAUCAAAUAGUCUUCUUCCUCCCUUAGGAAUUUCGGUUUAAAUGUUAUUAAGCAUACAUUUGGCUGACAAUUAUUAACCACUUCAUGAUAUGGUUUCUUACCCUUAAUCAAUGGUUUCUAAGUGAAUAUAUGCAGAAGGAAAUCUGAACUGUAGACAGCAGUAUUGAUAACUCUCAAUAUUCUUUAUAUAAGAGAAUAAACAACGUCAUAGUGAUCGUCGCCUACAAGAAAGGUACAUUUCCCAACAAGAUGUAGUUGUGACUGGUACAUGGACGCAAUUAACUCGUACAAAAGAAUAAGACCAGUGCACGGCAGCUCUUAUUUUACAUGCUAAUUAUGCUAACCAAAGUCACUCAGUUGGGAUGGGAGGGAGAUGGAGGUUUGUGCGGUGGCUUGUGGGGCGGAGUUGGUGGCUUCUUUUCAGGAGCUUGUGGCUUUUUCGGAGCUGAAGGAGGCUCAAUCUUAUGAGGCGGCUUGUACGAGUCUUCUUUACUCUCGACAGGAGGGUGGCCAGGGUUGUGACCAUAAUGUGGUGGCUUCUCUCCCUUAGGUGGCUUGCCAACUGGGGUUGGUGGCUUGUGUUCAGGAAGUGGUUUCUCUCCCUUGGGAGGUUUACCAAUUGGGGUUGGUGGCUUGUGUUCUGGGAGUGGUUUCUCUCCCUUGGGAGGUUUAGUGGGUGACUUGUGUUCUGGAGGUGGCUUCUCCACCGGAGGCUUGUGCUCCGGUGGUGGCUUCUCCACCGGAGGCUUGUGCUCCGGUGGUGGCUUCUUGAUUGGAGGGGGCUUGGGGUAAUCAGCAAGAGAUGGGAUGGUGAGAACCACCACUCCAAGGAACAACACUAGCAAGUAUGUGGGAGACAUUUCUGAGUUUGAGCUGAUCAGAUGAUGCAAAACUAGAAGAAUUACGGGACCUUUUAUAGCAAGUAUCUCCCAAUACCCACAUGACACGUGUUACUAUGACCAUAAAUAUUAUAGGGUCCAUUUGUGCCCUACCGGGUUGAAAACUUGGACGCUUGGCCGAGGACACACCUGACUAUGGAGGACUAUUGACGUGUGAUCACAGCUUUUGGAUUUUUCUUCCUGUGCAGCUGUCUAGCGGUUGGCAUUAUUUUCUUAAUCUUAAAUAAAGGCAUAGUUAUAGAGUUGUUUAAUCUCUAAAUGGGAUUUUAUAUAUCUUCAGAUAGCCAUUAAUAUAUUUGAUGAAGAAAGACAAGUGCAUACAACAUGUAUACGGCUUGCUUCAAUCGAGUACAUUUAUGAUCAGUUUUCCUGUGCAAGUAAACCAGUUUUUUGUUCCACAACUAUUUUGGAAUCUUGUUUAUCAGUUUCUAUCAUUAUAAUGUCACAUAGGCUGCAAACUUGGGCACCCAAAGAUCUAGGUGGGCAAAUUUGUUUCAGACUUUCAAUGGUGGAUUCAGUAAUUGUUAAAAGGUGUUUCUUCAUUAAGGAAAGAGUCCGGUAAAAAUAUUGUUAAAAGGUGUCAUAGAAACUAUAAUAAAUAAAUAACUUCUUUUCCCCAUGGGUGGUGUUUCUUCUGGGGAUCAGUGACUGGUUAGGGUCACCCAAAAUGAGUCCAGAUUAAAAUUGGUUCGAGUCAAAGCAGUCUCUUUUGUCCAGAAAUCAACUAUUUUGCGCAUUGAAUGAAUCGAUAAAGAAAAAAUGAAAGCCAAAUCACACCUCCCCUGCAAAACCUAAACCCCGGUUGCUAACUUUCUAUGUUUCAGUCCUAUUCAUAUAGGAAUAUUGGUUCAAGUUUGAGAAAAAUGGCAACUUACCUAGGGUUUACUUGGUUUUGGUUUGCGACUAUUUACGCAACCAACCAUGAGUUUGACUUUAACGUCAUGGGUUGAAGCCUCCUACAAUCAUGUAUGAUAGUUCAAAGCUCGUGGAAGAAAUUAUACAGGAAGGAAGAAACCUCCAAAGCUAGCUCCAAAAGAGAAUUAUCACAUCGAUAGCUCCAGAGAUUCCCAAGGGAACUGAAUCAAAGACAAGUUCCUCACUUUUUCUUCUUUUGAGGCCAAAUAUGAACCAAGGAUCACACGACCUCAUUCAACUUCAUAAGUUUGAUUUCAUGCAGUUGAACACUGGGUGAAGGCCAUGACAAGAAUUGAUUAAAAAAUUCUACCACUCUUUUAAGUAAUGGAAGAUUAUUAUCUCUGAUUGGCACCACAACAGCACAUGCUGCUAGAUCUUUCUAGACACUCCAUGCAAUGAAAGCACAAUGGAUCUUGUAAUGAUAGAAACUAAGCCAUGCUACAGUACUAGAUGAGGGGGUAAAACUAGUAGACAUCUUUCUAGACACUCCAUGCAAUGAAAGCACAAUGGAUCUUGUAAUGAUAGAAACUAAGCCAUGCUACAGUACUAGAUGAGGUGGUAAAACUAGUAGACAUGGCUGGCAGUUGAUUACUACUCAAAAAGUACUCUUUUAUAGCUUGAAACUAACUGUUUUAAACACUUUUGAGUAGUAGUUAAUACCUUUUAACUUAAUUGGCACAUUAAGGAACCUAGCAAGGGUUACUAAUCAACAUUUGGCAAGUUUUGAUGUUUUUGGUAGCUAUUUGAUCAUUGAAACAAGCCAAGAAUGAGGGGGAAUUUUGUGAAGUCCAUGGCAAUGCAAGUUAAAGCUCAAAUACAUGAAGAAUCCAAGCUUUGGAGCACUUCAUAGCCCUUUGCCAAGCCAAUCAAAGAUGCAAGGAAGAAAACCAAAGGAAGAAAUCCAACAAUCAGCAUUUUGGCAUGGCUAUGUGAAAUUUCGCACACCAUGCGAAACCACAAGAGGCAGCCAAAGAAUUUCGCAUGGUAUGCGAAAUCUUCUUGUGCACUGACUCUGUUAGAUUUUUAUCUUCAGAUAUUUUGUGUAAUUUCCUAGUUUCUCCUUGUAACCAACUUAGAUAUUUUCUUUUAUAUCUUUUUUUAUAUUUUUUAGGUAACAUCAUAUAUAAGAGGAGAGACAUAAGGAGGAUAUGGAUGUUUUUCAUAGAACACUUGUAAAUUUUUGGUAGUAAGAAAUAUACAAAGCUUUUUGCUCUGCCUUACCUUCUCAAGGGAUGAGUGGCUAGGUUUUCUUGGAGUGAGGGAAGCUAGGUGAAGGACCUGAAUGCAAAGGUGGGAGUUUUCCUUACUUUAAAUGAAAGUAGUUGUUAAACAUUAAUGGUUUUUAUUUUAAGGUUUAGCUUUAAAUCCCUGAAAAACACCUUGAAUGGCCAAUACUUGGUAAGCUUUUUAGAUUCUAUGGAUGCUUAUUGCUAGAUCCAUGGAUGUCUAUUAGUUAUCAUUUACGAGCCAUUGGAAGGUGAUUCAAGGUGAGGGUCUUUAGUGUUUGAAGCCAUUAAUGGGAAGCAAUUACCAUUUUUUCAUGAAUCCUUUGGAUCAAAUCUUAAUUGCUAAAUAUAAAACCGGUUUCGAGAGAUAACCACCAUCCUUUAUGUUAUUAUCCCCAACGCGAGGAGAAGAUCCGAAAUCUUCCUUUUUAUCUAAGGAACCCGAUCCUAGUGACCUAAAGCUCCAAGAUACCUUUUCUUUGUAGUUAACUUCAUUUAUUGUUUUUGCUUAACUUAAAAUCAAUCUUUGCAACCACAAUUCCAUUUUCUUUAAAAGCUAAUUUUUAUAAGGAAAAACACCAUUUUAUUUCCUUCACUAAGUCAACUGUACGAUGAAAACCCAUCCCUGUGGACGAUCCUAGAGCCACUAUACUAUGUUAGCUAUGCUACCCUAGUGUGAGGUGAUUUAGGUUUUAUAAAUUUUUUUGAUAACACCCAUCUGAGCCAGAAUCAAAUGGCACGACUGAACCAGGGACGAAUCAAAUGACGCCGCUACCAAGGAUGGUGCCAAAGUACAUUGACAUGACUUUUGGUGAACACUUGUGAUCUUCACCACAAGUUUGGUGAUUUUUCUUUUACUAAUUUUUUUUAUUUUAGCUUAUCUUUUAUUUAGUUUUUAGUUAACCUUAAAUUUUUCCUAGAAUUGUAUUUCUUUUGUUUUCUUUGUUUUUGUUUCAGUGAUCUUUAGUUGUGCAUGCCCUAUUGGAUAAGAGAUAUUGAGGGAAUACUUGUGAAGAUUGAAACUCCUCGAGAAACUGAGUUAGAAGUGUGCUUGAACAUCAUGGAUGUUCCACCUGAAGACCAGAAUAGCCAACAUGGUUAAGAGGAUAAUUUCAACACAUACCGAUCCAUGAGGAACCGCAUACAUCCACCUUGUAUGAGUGCACCGUCAGGCAUAAUGCCUCCCACUGAGCAGCUAGUAAUCUGACCUCACAUUGUGCCACUCCUACCUACUUUCCAUGGGAUGGAGAGUGAGAAUCCCUACUCGCAUAUUAAGGAAUUCGAGGAGGUUUGUAAUACAUUCCAAGAAGGAGGAGCUUCAAUUGACUUGAUGAGGCUCAAGCUAUUUCCUUUCACUUUGAAGGAUAAGGCCAAGAUUUGGCUUAAUUCUUUAAGGCCAAGAAGUAUCCAAACUUGGAUUGAUUUGUAAGCCGAGUUUCUUAAGAAGUUCUUCCCUACCCAUAGGACCAAUGGUUUGAAAAGGCAAAAUUUGAACUUCUCAGUUAAAGAGAAUGAGAAAUUCUAUGAGUGUUGGGAGAGCUACAUGGAAGCUAUUAACGUUUGUCCUCACCAUGGCUUUGACACAUGGCUCUUAGUGAGCUAUUUUUACAAUGGUAUGUCUUCUUCAAUGAAGCAACUCCUAGAAACUAUGUGUGGAGGAGACUUCAUGAGUAAGAAUCCGGAGGAAGCCAUGGACUUUUUGAGUUAUGUGGCUGAAGUUUCAAGAGGAUGGGAUGAACCAAAUGCUAGAGAGGUGGGAAGAAUGAAGUCUCAACCUAAUGCUAAGGGUGAGAUGUAUGUUUUGAAUGAAGACAUUGACAUGAAAGCAAAGGUUGCAGCUAUGGCAAGGAGAUUGGAAGAGCUAGAAAUGAAGAACAUACAAAAAGUGCAAGCCAUUUCUGAGACAUCAAUGAAAGCUAUGCCUUGUUCCAUUUGUCAAUCUUAUAAGCACCUAGUGGAGGAGUGUCCUACAAUUCCAGCAGUGAGAGAGAUGUUUGGUGAUCAAGCAAAUGUUAUUGAUCAAUUCAAGCCUAAUAACAAUGCUUCAUAUGGCAACACCUACAAUUCAAAUUGGAGGAACCAUUCAAAUUUCUCUUGGAAACGAAAGCCACCUCAAUACACACAACCUACUCAAGCACCUUAGCAAUCCUCGAAUCUUGAACAAGCUAUUGUGAACCUUAGCAAGGUUGUGGGAGACUUUGUGGGAGAUCAGAAGUCCAUCAAUGCUCAACUGAAUCGGAGAAUUGACAGUGUGGAGAGUACAUUGAACAAAAGGAUGGAUGAGAUGUAAAAUGAUCUGUCUCAAAAGAUAGACAAUGUCCAAUACGUAAUCUCAAGGCUUACCAACCUCAACACAGUGUAAGAGAAAGGAAAGUUUCCUUCUCAACCUCAUCAAAAUCCUAAGGGUAUCCAUGAAGUAGAGGCUCAAGAGGGAGAAUCUUCAAAGGUGAGGGAAGUCAAAGUAGUUAUCACCUUGAAGAGUGGUAAAGAGGUUGAUCAACCCACAUCCAAGCCAAAGCAUAAUGAAGAGAGUGUAGCAGAAAAAGAAAAGAGAGGAAAAUAAAGGAAUUAGAAUAGAGAAAAAUACAAAGAAAGAUGACCAUGAGUCUAGUGUGGAUGAAGAGCCCGAGAGGAUGGUGAUCAAGGAAGAUAUGAUGAAGAAACACAUGCCUCCACCUUUCCCCUAAGCUUUGCAUGACAAAAAAAGAACCAAUAAUACAUCAGAAAAUUUUGAAGUAUUGAGGCAAGUGAAGGUCAAUAUCCCUUUGCUAGACAUGAUCAAACAAGUGUCGACAUAUGAAAAAUUCUUGAAGGACUUGUGCACUGUAAAGAGAGGGUUGAAUGUGAACAAGAAAGCUUUAUUGACCGAGCAAGUGAGUUCCAUCAUACAGUGCAAGUCCUAGUGAAGUACAAAGAUCCGGGUUGCCGUACCAUCUCAGUGAGUAUUGGAAGGACUUGUGUGGAGAAAGCUUUGUUGGACUUGGGAGCAAGUGUGAAUUUGCUAUCCUACUCUGUCUAUAAGCAGUUGGGAUUUGGAGAGUUGAAGCCAAUAUCCAUCACUCUAUCUCUAGCGGAUAGAUCAAUGAAGAUUCCAAGAGGGAUGAUCGAAGAUGUCCUGGUUCAAGUUAACAAAUUCUACUAUCCAGUAGAUUUUGUUGUUCUUGAUAUGGAUCCGGUUGUCAAAUGAACUAAUUAUGUUCCUAUCAUACUUGGAAGACCCUUCCUAGCUACAUCAAAUGCAAUCAUCAAUUGUAGGAAUGGAGUCAUGCAACUCACAUUUGUCAACAUGACAUUAGAGCUCAACAUCUUCCAUUUGUACAAGAAGCAUAUCCAUCAGGAGGAAAAAGAAGGUCUAGAGGAAGUGUGAAUGAUUGACACUUUAGUGGAAGAGCAUUGUGAUCGAGAAUGCAAAAAGAUUUAGUUGAGAAUUUUGGGGAUCUUGAUGAAAGGUUACUUGAACCCUCAGAUUUGCUUGCUACCCUACUCCAUUGGAAGAGAAGAGAAGAAAUUCUACCCUUAUUCAAUGAGGAGGAGACGCAAAGAGCUGCAAAGGAGAAACCCCCAAAACUUAUUCUUAAGCCACUACCCACAGAGUUGAAGUAUGUAUACUUGGAAGAAGACAAGAAGUGCCCUAUUGUUAUAUCUUCAACUCUUACCAUUCAUCAGGAGGAUUGUCUACUUGAAGUCCUUAGAAGAUGUAAGAAGACAAUAAGGUGGCUAAUUUCUUAUUUGAAAGGGAUCAGCCCUUUAGUCUGCACCCAUCAUAUUUACAUGGAGGAUGAAGCUAAGCUAAUUCAUCAACCUCAGAGAAGGUUGAACCCUCACAUGCAAGAGGUGGUUCGAGCUGAAGUUCUGAAGCUACUUCAGACCAGUAUUAUUUACCCCAUAUCAAAUAGCCCAUGGGUGAGUCCUACUCAAGUUGCGCCAAAGAAGUCUGGGAUCAUGGUGGUGCAAAAUGAUAAGGGAGAAGAUGUCUCUACACGCCUCACUACAGGUUGGAGGGUGUGUAUCAAUUACAGGAGGUUGAAUGCAGUGAUAAGAAAGGACCAUUUCUCAUUGCCCUUUAUUGAUCAGGUGCUUGAGAGGGUCUCUGGGCUUUUUUUUUUAUUGUUUCUUGGAUGGCUACUCCGGGUACUUUCAGAUAGAAAUUGAUGUUGAAAACCAAGAUAAGACCAUUUUCACAUGCCCAUUUGGAACCUAUGCAUAAAGGAGAAUGCCUUUCGGCUUAUGCAAUGCACCCGCAACUUUCCAAAGAUGCAUGUUAAGCAUUUUCAGUGAUAUGGUGGAGCGUAUUAUGGAAGUCUUUAUGGAUGAUAUCACCAUUUAUGGAAGUGCAUUUGAUGAAUGCUUGGUCAACUUAGAAGCUGUUCUGAACCGAUACAUUGAGAAAGACUUAGUGCUUAACUGGGAGAAGUGCCAUUUCAUGGUACACCAAGGGAUUGUCCUUGGGCACAUUAUCUCCAAGCAAGGCAUUGAAGUUGACAAAGCAAAGGUUGAACUCAUUGUUAAGUUGCCAUCCUCAACAAAUGUCAAAGGAGUAAGGCAAUUCUUUGGCCAUGUCGGGUUCUAUAGGAGGUUUAUCAAGGAUUUCUCUAAGCUUGCAAGGCCUCUUUGUGAAAUAUUGGUGAAUGAUGUUAAAUUCAUAUGGGAUGAUGGAUUUGAAAGGAGUUUUGAAGAAUUGAAGCUAUUUUUGACAACCGUACCAAUAGUGAGGGCUCCCAACUGGCAACUGCCCUUUGAAGUAAUGUGUGAUGUCAAUGAUUUUGCUAUAGGAUUUUUUCUUGGGCAAAGAGAAAAUGGAAAACCUUAUGUGAUCUACUAUGCGAGGAAGGCAUUGAAUGAGGCACAAAGAAACUACACAACCACCGAGAAAGAAUUGUUAGCUGUAGUUUUUGCCUUGGAUAAGUUUCGCGCUUACUUGGUGGGGUCCUUCAUCAUGGUUUUUACUGAUCACUUUGCUUUGAAGUAUCUGUUGACUAAGCAAGAUGCUAAAGCAAGGCUGAUUAGAUGGAUUCUCUUACUUCAAGAGUUCAAUCUCCAUAUCAAAGAUAAGAAAGGAGUGGAGAAUGUGGUAGCAGACCACAUUUCAAGGCUAGCUAUCGCACAUAAUUCCCAUGCUUUGCCCAUUAAUGACGAUUUUCUAGAGGGGUCUCUCAUGUUGGUGGAAGUUGUCCCUUGGUACGCUCACAUUGCUAACUACCUGGUCACGGGAAAAGUUCCAAGUGAGUGGAAAGCACAAGAUAAGAAGCACUUCUUUGCAAAAAUUCAUGCCUACUAUUGGGAAGAGCCAUUUCUAUUCAAGUAUUGUAUGGAUCAGAUAAUAAGGAAGUGCGUUCCUGAAGAAGAGCAACAGGGGAUCCUUAGUCAUUACCAUGAAAAUGCAUGUGGAGGCCACUUUGCUUAUCAAAAGACAGCCAUGAGGGUGUUGCAAUCGGGUUUCUGUUGGCCAUCACUUUUCAAAGAUGCCCACACCAUGUGCAAGAGUUGUGAUCGAUGCCAGAGGCUUGGGAAGUUGACACGCAGGAACAUGAUGCCUUUGAACCCCACUUUAAUAGUUGAUAUUUUUUAUGUUUGGGGCACUAACUUCAUGGGACCUUUCCCUAUGUCUUUUGGCUACUCUUACAUCUUGGUAGGAGUAGAUUAUGUUUCUAAGUGGGUUGAGGCAGUCCCAUGCAAACACAAUGACCAUAGAGUGGUUCUCAAGUUUCUUAAAGAGAAUAUCUUCUCAAGAUUUGGGGUGCCCAAAGCCAUAAUUAGUGAUGGGGGUACUCAUUUUUGCAACAAGCCUUUUGAAACUCUCCUAGCCAAGUAUGGGGUGAAGCAUAAGGUAGCUACACCUUACCACCCUCAAACUCAUGGACAAGUUGAGUUAGCAAACAGGGAGAUUAAAAACAUAUUGAUGAAGGUGGUGAACACAAACAGAAAAGAUUGGUCAGUCAAGCUUCUUAAUUCACUAUGGGCAUAUAGAACAACUUACAAGACCAUUCUCGGGAUGUCUCCUUAUCGCCUAGUUUAUGGCAAAGCAUGCCAUCUCCCUGUGGAAUUGGAAUACAAAGCUUGGUGGGCAAUCAAGAAGCUCAACAUGGAUUUGAGCAGAGCUGGGUUGAAGAGGUUCUUAGACCUUAAUGAGAUGGAGAAAUUGAGAAAUGAUGCCUACAUCAAUUCAAAAAUUGCAAAAGAAAAAUUGAAGAGGUGGCAUGAUCAGUUGAUUUCCCGCAAGGAUUUUCAAAAUGGACAAAGAGUCUUACUUUAUGACUCUAAACUCCACAUCUUUCCGGGCAAGCUGAAAUCAAGGUGGAUAGGUCAUUUUACCAUUCACCAAGUGCAUUCAAAUGGAGUAGUGGAACUACUCAACUCCAACAAUAUCGAGAACUUCAAAGUGAAUGGCCACCGUCUCAAGCCCUUUGUGGAGUCUUUUUCUCACAACAAGGAGAAAUUCAUCCUCCUUGAUCCACAUCAAGCUUAACAAGACCAAUUUUCUUGAUGGACUUAGUCUUUCUAAAGACUAUCGAGUCCAUAACUUUUUGUUUUAUUUUUUAUUUGAGAUUUUUUCGGUAUUGUUACUUGUUUUGUUUUUUAUUUUUCGUUUUAAUUUUAUUUGGUUUGAUUUAACUUAGGUUUUUGAUGAUCAAUUACAGGGGGGAUUUCAAAUAGAGGAAAAACCAAGAUAAUUCGCACACCCUACGAAAAUUUCGCAAGGCAUGCGAAAUUUAUGGCUUAUUUUGCAUGGGGUGAAAAUUUUCGUACAUCUUACGAACCAAUUUCGAACACUUUGCGAAAAUAAACCAACCCUGCGAAAUCAUUUCGAUUACUCUACGAAAUUUUCGUAGAGCAUGCGAAAAAUUUAGCACACCAAACACCAUUUCGCAUACUAUGCAAAAACCUAAGGGGUCUGCGAAACCAUUUCGCACCUCCAAAUCCAUUUCGCACAUUGUGCGAAAACCAAGAGGCGCUGUGCGAAAAUGAAAAGUCGCCCUGUCAUCCCUUUUUAAACCCCUCGAGCCCUAAAAUCUCCAUUUCGCAAGCACCCCUGUCCUUGCGAAUCCCUCAUUUUCCUCUACUACCUUGCAACCUCGUCCCUUUCCAUUUGAUAUUGUGCCCCGCGCACAUCUCAUUUCAGAGACUCGCACUCCGCGCCCCCUCAAAGCAUGGACUCGAGACCCACCUUCCAUUUCCGACGUGGCACGGACCCAAGGAGCCCUUUCUGCCCCUUCACUAAGACACACACCAAGGCAGAAAGCCUCCUUUGCUCAAGUGCCUAGUGAUUCUCCAUCUUAGGCCUCAGAGGCCUCGGAGGCCCCGUGGAUUCCACCUUCCGAGGGUAGAGCAGCCAUUGGUCCUUCCUCUUCUACUCCUUAGCGUAGAUACGAGACGAGGAGACCACCUACUACACAAGGGGCGACUACUUCGAGCCUUGAGAAUUCAGUACGAUGCCUUCCUGCCAAGAGGGUCAAGACUUCAGGUCCAAGUGAGUCAUCCAGAGCUUCAUAGCCUAAGCCUCCUGUAGAUUCCAAGGUUCCUACUGACAUAUCACCGGAGUCUAUUAUCAGAAGCCCGAUGCUCAUAGCACCGCCCAUUGAGGGCAACUCAGAUUAUAGAGCGAGAUCUUUCCACUUGGAGCUAUAUUUUGAUCAGGAGGCCAUACGACAGCAGCCUGAGCUCCGAGACUCUUAUGGCUUACUGCAGAGGUACCAUCUUGAGGAACUUAUGACUCCUCGUGAGUUUUUUUAUCCCAGAGUAGCACUAAACUUUUACCAGUCCAUGACUACUCGUGGCGUCCCGAGUCCUACCACGAUUCACUUCACCAUUGAUAGACGUCAUGGUAUCCUCAAGGCCAGACAUAUUACAGAGGCUCUACAAAUUCCUUUCGAGCUAGAGGAUCCAUCUGUUUUUCGCUAAUGGUCCCCAGUAUCUCAGAGGGACAUGGUCCGUAUUUUAUCUAGGGGAACAUCUACAGAUUCGAUCUUUCUACGGAAGGAGCUUCGACCUGGGAUGCUCCUCUUAGAUGUGGUGCUAUGCUCCAACCUCUUUCCCUUACAACAUUCGGUACAUAGGUGAUGAGCUAUUUUGGACGCUUUAUUCCGUAUAUCAGAGGGCUUCUACUUUGGCCCGCACCACUUGAUCAUGGUCUCCCUCAUCCACUUUGAGGAGAAGGUUCAUAGGAAGAAGCUUCAGAGGGUGGACACCAUUCCAUUACUAUUCCUGAGGUUACUUUGCCAGGUCUUGGAGUACAUGGGCUUUCCUACUGAGCCUCGGCUCGAGCUUUGCCGCCUUUGUCGAGAGUGAUCCACUCUCGACAAAUGGAAUUAGUUGGCGGGCUAUUCUGCACCUCCAGGAGCCCCUCCCAUGGUAGCACCUCCAAUGUCCCCACAGGCAAAGUAGGGCGAGCUCCCGGCAAAGACUGUACCACCAAUGCCCACACUUGAGGCUAUUUCUGCUGCUCUGCCUAUGACUCCUACUGUUCCACCAGUUGGUCCUUUUACAUCCGAGCCUUCCAUCACCAUCUCGGCUUCGGAGUUUCGCGCCCUUGUGCAUACCUUUCAGACACUCACCACCACACAUACUCCUCUCUUCUAGCAAAUGGUUGAGAUGUGUGCCCAUCAGGACCGGAAGACUACUAUACUCUGCCAAAUUCAGCAGCACCUAAGACUUUUGCCUCAACCUCAACCUAACCAUCCCAUAUCAUCAGAGCCUCUAGCUCCAACUGAGGAUACUAUUCCACCUGAGAACACUACCACAGUAGAGGUCCGGUUUCCACCACCUUAAGAGGCCACCACAGCUACAUCAGAGGAUGUGUCAUCUCCACUUGAGGCUCCCACUACUUGAUCAUAGGACAUAUCUUUAUCUUAUUGUAUUUACAUAUUAUAUUACUAGAGAUUUGUCCUUGUUUUGAUACUUUAUAUUCUGGGAUUGGAUGUAUUGCCUGAUGAUAUCUCAAUUGUACUUUCUCAUAUUAAUAUAUAGACAUCAAUUUUUUUUAGUAUACUUAGCAUUUUUCUAUUUCCUCUACUCAUUACUCUUUUGUUUUUUUUUACUCAUGUGGUUUCUCUUAUACAACUCAGACUCCAUUUCACUCAGGAGGUACCACUUCCUCCCUUUAUUUUCAAUUGCUCUUGAAAUAUUGAGUGCAAUGUUGAUCUUGGUUGGGGGGAGAGUUGAGGAAGGAAGUUUUGUUAAUAAUGCUAGGUUAAUUUGUUAAUUUAGUUACUUUCUGCUUAAUUUUAAAAGUUUUCACUCUACUUUCCAUGGUUAUUAAGGAAAAAUUCUCAAAAUGAAAUGGGAGAAAUCGAAUUCUUGCAUUUUUACUUGAAUCUUAGAAUUUGUAUCAUGCUUAUUAAAGUUGAUGAAUUAUUGAAACUCCUAUUGAAUUCAACCUUAUUUUUUCCACUUUAAUCUUACCACACACGGUGCACAUUAGGUUCCAGUUAUAAGAUAAAAAACUAUCUCACCCCCUAAACUUAGAAAAAUUUACACUUGGUACCUUUGACAUCGUUUUAAUAGUGUUGGGACACCUUAUAAAAGGCCAAUGAGCCUUUAAAAAAAAAAAAAAAAAAAAAAAGAGAAAGAACAAAGUAUUGCACUUGCCUUGAAACCUGAGCAAGAUCCGAGGGGUAUACAGUGAAAGUCUUUAAAACCUGGUGCCCUAAGCCUUGAUUGGUUGGGAGUCACCGACCUCAAUGCUCGUUAUAAGGGUGAAUAGGUGGAGUUUAACAUAUUGUAGGUGCUUGGGUAUUGAAUUUCAAUCUCAAAAGUCCGGGAAAAAAUCUAAGGAGUUAGUGGUCAAAAGAUCCUUAAAGCUUGAUGCCCUAAACCUUGAUUGGUUGAGAGUCAUUGAUGGAUCCCCGCUACAUGGACAUUUUAGAAAACAAUACCUUUAGCAUUGCACGCCUACAAUGAAAAAAAAAUGUGAAAUAAAAGAGGUGCGUUCUUAGCCUAUUGGAGGUUGGUCAGUUUGCUAAAGUUUGAGAAAUCUAGGUUGGGGGGAGAGAAUAGUCCGACAUACUAUAAUAAAAAACUAAUAACCUUAACACUUAGAUUUUUGUGGAAGAGUAAGGAUUGGACCUUUAGGGGUGGAAAUUCUUUUGAUGCUUAAAUUUGCAUAAUGCCUACUCUUUAUAAAUUAUGAUUAGGCAAGAGAUUUGAUGACUCUUGUUCAAAGUUGGGUUUUUCCUCUUUGAUGUUCCAUGAGAGAGUAUAAUCCUCAUCAUGCCACUUGAAAUCUUUUUGGAGUGAUUAACAUGAUUUUGUAAAUUAUUUUACUGUCUAUUUUUCUUUAUCUCUCUUUUAUUGCUAAUGGACUAGCAAUAUGUCAGUUGGGGGGAGUGAUUACUACUCAAAAAGUACUCUUUUAUAGCUUGAAACUAACUGUUUUAAACACUUUUGAGUAGGUGUUAAUACAUUUUAACUCAAUUGGCACAUUAAGGAACCUAACAAGGGUUACUAAUAAGUUUUUGGCAAGUUUUGGUGUUUUUGGUAGCUAUUUGAUCAUUGAAACAAGCCAAGAAUGAGGGAGAAUUUUGUGAAGUCCAUAGCAAUGCAAGUUAAAGCUCAAAUACAUGAAGAAUCCAAGCUUUGAAGCACUUCAUAGCCCUUUGCGAAGCCAAUCAGAGAUGCAAGGAAGAAAACCAGAGGAAAAAAUCCAACAACCAGCAUUUUCGCAUGGCUGUGCGAAAUUUUGCACACCAUGCGAAACCACAAGAAGUAGCCAAAGAAUUUUGCACACCAUGCGAAAUUUCGCAUGGUAUACGAAAUCUUCCUAUGCACCAACUCCGUUAUAUUUUUAUCUUCAGAUAUUUUGUGUAAUUUCCUAGUUUCUCCUUGUAACCAACCUAGAUAUUUUCUUUUAUAUCUUUUUUUUAUAUUUUUUAGGUAACAUCAUAUAUAGGGGGAGAGACAUAAGGAGGAUAUGGAUGUUUUUCAUAAAACACUUUUAAUUUUCUGGUAGUAAGAAAUAUACAAAGUUUUUUGCUCUGCCUUACCUUCUCAUUUUGUUUUCACCUAUCUUUCUAGCCAAACAACCUCUGAGAAUGAUUUCUCAGGGGAUGAGUAGUUAGGUUUUACGUUUCUUGGAGUGAGAGAAGCUAGGUGAAAGACCCAAAUGCUAAGGUGGGAGUUGUCCUUGCUUUAAAUGAAAGUAGUUGUUAAAUAUUAAUGGUUUUUAUUUUAAGGUUUAGCUUUAAAUCCCUUAAAAACACCUUGAAUGGCCAAUACUUGGUAAGCUUUUCGGAUUCUAUGGAUGCUUAUUGCUAGAUCCAUGGAUGUCAUUAGUUAUCAUUUAUGAGCCAUUGGAAGGUGGUUCAAGAUGAGAGUCUUUAGUGUUUGAAGCCAUUAAUGGGAAACAAUUACCAUUUUUUCAUGAAUCCUUUGGAUAAAAUCUUAAUUGCUAAAUAUAAAACUGGUUCGGGAGAUAACCAUCCUUUAUGUUAUUAUGCCCAAUGCAAGGAGAAGAUUUCGAAUCUUCUCAUUUGUCUAAGGAACCCGAUCCUAGUGACCUAAAGCUCCUAGAGACCUUUUCUUUGUAGUUAACUUCAUUUAUUGUUUUUGCUUAACUUAAAAUCAAUCUUUGCAACCACAAUUCCAUUUUCUUUAAAAGCUAAUUUUUAUAAGGAAAAGCACCAUUUUAUUUCCUUCACUAAGUCAACUGUAUGAUGAAAACCCAUCCCUGUGGACGAUCUUAGAGCCACUAUACUAUGUUAUCUAUGCUAUCCUAGUGUGAGGUGAUUUAGGUUUUAUAAAUUUUGUUGAUAACACCCGUCUGAGCCAGAAUCAAAUGGAACCACUGAACCAGGGACAAAUCAACAGCCUAUAUGGGAGGGACACAAGUUUAAUUGAUUUGCAUUUCAGCGUUAUAGAUAAGUAUGUUUUGGAAGAUUUGUUCUGGAAAUACUGCACCAAGUACGAUUCUUUUUCUCUUGAGUGAGUCCAUUUGCAUGCCAAUUAACGAGUUGAAAAGUAGGAGCACCUACCUCGUGCUCAUGGAACCGAAUGUCAGUGAAGUGGGGCUCCUUUUAGCCUCUUGUGUUUCUGUUCCAACCAAGGCGGCGUAGGGAAAAACAACAAUAUGUCUGUGCUAAAUAUCAACGCAUGAUAGAUGUUUUUUUUUUUUUUUUUGGUAUGUCAAGGCUAACGAAUGAAAUGCAUUAGCUUGUUUUGUGACUAUAACUGCAAAUGUCCAAAUUGGAGUAUCUCCAUUUCUCACUUCGGAUGGUUAACUUUAUAAACAAGAUAUAGGAAACAUGUGAACAUCUUGAGGAACAAUUCAAAUUAUUCAUUAGAAGUCCUGGGUUAAGUUCCAAGAUUUAAAUCAGACCCUUCUAGCAGCUUCAAGGGUACUUAGCAACCUAUAACAUAUUAAUGAAGAUUUAGGAUUUAGACUCCGGAAUACAAAUAAAUAUGUAUCUCAUGCUUUGACUAGCUUCCCUACAUAUGCAUAAAAUGGAGAUGACCCAAAAAAAAUAGCAGAAUCUAGCUUCCCUACAUAUGCACAAAAUGGAGAUGACCCAAAAAAUAGCAUAAUCGCCUUAGUUUCUGUGGUUAAGGUGAUUCUCCGCUUAAUAUCCACAUUGACUCAUUAUGCAAAAUCAACUGAGCUAAUUUUAUUUAUUUAUUUAAUGUCAAAUAGGAACUCCUAAUUAACUGAUUACUGUCGAAAAGUGCUAUUUUGUAGACCUAAUUAUAAGGGUUUUAAGCACCUUUGAGUAGUAAUCAUAUUCAUUUAACCUAAUUAAUUCAUUAAGCUCCUUAGUAAUUAGUUCUAACCAUUUUUAGUGGCAAGUUUACAUGUUUUUCAUCAGCUUAUGAACCAAUUCAAGCAUGCCAAUUGAUGGAGGAGCUACUUGGGCGAGUUAAGCAAGGAUUUUGGACGUUUACAGGCUUGAAUUUCAAGUGGAAACACGAGCACAAGCAAUGGGAACACCAUUUCGCAAGGGGAGGCAAUUCACCUUGCCAAAUGACCAAUUUCGCAAGGGGAUUUUCCUCAUGGUGCAAAAUUUGGUCAUUUCGCACCAUGAAGAAACCACCUUGCAAAAUUUCGCAAGGUGGAUUUAGGCACCUUGCGAAAUGCCAAAUUUCACAAGGUGGCUUUUCACCUUGCGAAAUUUGGACCUUUCAUCUUCCCCCCUUGCGAAAUGCCUUUGAAAUCCCCUGUUUUGAGACGCUGUUGAUGAUAUUCCACUGCCGGUUCUCCAAGAUAUUUUGCUUGACUUUUAGCUUUAUAAAUACCUAUUUUACCCUUGUAAUCAACCAAUGAAAAGGUUGCUUUUGUAAUAGCUCUUGUAAUUUAGCUUUUUAUUGUCUUUAAAUAGAGGUGAAGAGCCUCAGACACGAUCAUCUUGUAACCUGUAACUUUAUAAGUUAUAAGAGCACUUUUGUUCAUACGCUUCUUUUCUCUUUUCUUUCUCAUUUUCUUAGUAGCCAAACAUCCUUGGAGGAUGAAAUCCCCAAGGAUGAGAGGCUAAAACCUUUUAGUUUCUUGAAGUAAUGGAUGCCAUGUGAAGCUCCCGUGUCAGGAUGGAGAUUUCCAAGCCAUAAAUGUAAGUAGCUGAGCGUCAUAAAUGUUUUCAUUCAAAGUAAAGCUUUUAAUCCCUCUGACUUGCUUUGAAUGGCCAAUACUUGAUAACCUUUUGGUCUCAAUGGAUUCUUAUUGUUAGAUCCACUGACGUUCAUUAGUUAUCUCCUACGAGCCAUUGUAUUGCAAGUCGAGGAGAUGACCUAUACCAAUAAAAGAGCAUUUAUGAGGUUCAACUACCCUUUUUGUAAGUUUUCAAGGACUAAAACUCAGUUGUUAAACUCAUACCGGUUCGAGAAGUAAGCAUCACCUUAGUUGCUUCCCCAACUCGAGGUGAAAAGUCCCAAAAUCUCCAUUUUUACACAGUGAGUUAAGCAUGGCUAUCCAAAGCUUUAAGAAACUUCUUUUUCCAUCUUUUAACCUAUUUUCAUGUUAGUUUAGUUUACAACACCUUCAUCUUUUUAUGUUUUCAUCUUAACCUAAUUUUUAUUAAGAAAAGUUCACUCCAUCCUCCGAACUUCACCAGUUAAAGUAAAAACCCUUCCCAGUGUUCGAUCCUAGAGCCACUAUGCUAUAGUAGCUUUGCUACUUUAGUGUAAGGACCUUAGGUAUAAAUUUUGUUGAUACCCUUACAUGCCAAGCUACCAAGAGUCGGGUUAUCAUUAACCUAACCAUUGGCCUGUGUAAAUUGAUUUCACAUGCACAAUGUUGUAGUAGAAGUCCAUAUUUUGAAUUUUAUUUUUGUAAAGGUAAGGAAAAUGAAGCAUUGUGUAAUUAUAAAAAUAACUUCAUUGGAAUUCACAAGGUUCACCCAAAAUGGAGCUACAUCUGUAUUCUAUCCUACAGUAGACUAUAUAGAUUGUACAAUAGUAAAUUGCAAAUACAAUUAAUAAGUCUUGUGCUUCCUUACUAAUAAUCCUUUGACAUGAACAUUGCAGCACUAAGGUCCUCUUGGGAAGACACCUUGCACCCAUGAGAGCACUAAGAGGAAGCAAGGCAGAGUCAUGGGUGCAAUGUCAUGACUUGUUGUUGCACCAAGAGAGGCUUGGUGAUGCCAUGGUGUUGCAGUAGCAAGAAUGUUGCCUUGGCAGGGACACGAUCUAGGGAUAGAUGCCAAGAAAGGCUUAGCACUCACAUGAGUUGCACAAAGAUGAAUGUAAUAGAGCAUCAGAGAGACGUCUUGGCAAGUAAAUGAAUGGAUCCAAGAGACAACAACAUGAGGAGUUUCAAAUGGAUAAGGAAUGACUCAAAGACAUUUGAAAGCUACAAGUUGGAUUCUAAUUACGAUUGCAAUUUGAGUUUGAGUAGGAGUUUAGAUUUUGAUUGUAAUUGUAGUAUGAGUUGGACUAGGAUUGCUUAUCCUUAGUCAAUAUAGGAGCGGUUCGUGUCACCCUAUGAAAAGAGUUUGAGUAGGGACUAGGAUUGCUUACUCCUAGUCAAAUAUGGAGUAGGUGGUGCCACACCUAUAAAAAAAAGGGACAACAUGAGAGAGAGAGAGAGAGAGAAAGAGAGAGUGAAUUCACUAAAGAUAUUGUGGGAGUUUUGCUUUGUUACGUCUUGUAUUAUUACUUAGAAUAGGAAUAAAAUACAAGUUGGGGCUAGAGCCCCAUAAUUAAUCUCGUGUGCCUUUGUGGUUAUUCUUUAUUUGUCAUCUCGUGUGGAUUGGAUUAGGUUGACUUAGAGGGCUUCUAAGCACCACCUUUGUGGGUUAUUAUUUAUUUUCCAUCUCUUGUGGAUUAGAUUAGGUUGACUUAGAGGGCUUCUGAGCACCACCUUUGUGGGUUAUUAUUUAUUUUCCAUCUAUUGUGGAUUAGAUUAGGUUGACUUAGAGGGCUUUUAAGCACCACAUUUGUGGGUUAUUCUUUAUUUUCCAUAUCGUGUGGGUUGGAUUAGGUUGACAAGGAGAAAAAUUAUGUGGGAAAUUUGUGUUGGGACACUUACCAUAACCAAGUAAAAUCUACCAAGUCCUUUGUAAUAUCUUCAACAAAUAUUUUAGACUAGUUCUUUCAGUUAGUGUAAAGGAGGAAGAAGUGGUAUUGAUUCUAGAAAUAGGGUGUGUGUAUUUGAACUACAAUCCUUAUGAUCCUUAGGUCUCUAAACCUUCGUGAUGGGCUCCCUGACAUUUCAUAGGUUGUGCUACACAUGCGUUUGAAAUUUAGAGUGCGUUUGACAGUGAUUCCGGGAAGUGUUUUUGGCCUUUCUUACACUUGAAAAUUUUUAUUUUUCAAGUAUUAGAAAUGCUACAAACACUUUUGAAAAUUACUGUCAAACACACUCUUAGGAGCGCACAUAUAUAGUAGAAAACUAGAAAUUGUGGUUUUUUUAGGAUUUACUGUAAUGUCAUUAGGAGGGUAGUAAGUUGAAAUUGAGUAUGAACAAAUAUUUCUUUCUUUGGGAUGUUCUUCUAGUAGGUGCUGAUGAAACUGUUCUUUCUACUGCCAAUGUCACAUAUCAGCCAGAAAUUGAAAAUUUCAGUCAAGGUGUCCUCUGUUUUAGUGGUGAGGAAAGCUAGAAAUUUUAAGGUGAAGUUUUGUUAAAAACCUUAAGUAGCUGGGAUAUCAGGCCUGUUUUGCUUGAAAAAAAAAGUUGCAAGAUAACUCAUAUGCCAAACAGGUUCUGAUAUUGUGAAUCUAUCGGCAGACAUCAGUAAUCUCAUCUUCUGAGAUGGAUGUUGGGGGUGCAUGUGGUGGUGGAGGGGCAAGGUUUCAUUUGGUUUAUUUUGUUGAUGGAUAUUGUCUAGCCACCUGCGCCAAGUUUGAGGGGUGGUGGGUUGUGAUGACCCUACAAUUACUAUUAAUUUCUUCAUCUUUUACCGAUUAAAGUGUCCGAACAGUCGAAGUUACCCUUAUGCAUGUCAACUUGAUCACUUACCUCUUCAAUGGAGUUUAUGCUGGUUCAUUUAGGAACUGAUUUUUAUUGUUAUGUAUUAUAUGCUGAUGUUUAGGUCUCUCCAUCAUCACUAUAUACAAAAAUUCUAGGUUGAUACUAUAGGUUGAGAUUUAUUUUUUAAAUAAAAAAUAAUAAAAAUAAAAAUUAUGGUGAUGUUUAGUUGUUUUAUGGAAAAUUUUAACAAGUAAAAGUUAUUUUUGGGCAAGUUUUCAAACAAAAAGAAAAGUAAAAGUUGUUUUGACAAAAACAUAUAGAAAAAAAAAUCAUAGAAAAUAAAUAAUUUCCCCAUAUUCUAACUUUUUUGAAUUUUUCUCAAUGGGCAAAGGAAUAUCAAAUCAAGUUUGAGUAGGAUUUCUUAAUUUUUAAAAUAACUUACAAUUAAAAAAUUUUGGUGUUUUCAUUUUUGGACAAUUUUUUAUUAAGCAAAUGGACUCUGAGUCAUGCAAGAGAUAUGGUUCAUUAACCGGUCGAACAAUUUUUUUAAAUUAAUUUAAAAGUCAAAUACAUAAUCAAUUUCACAAAAUUUAUAAACAAAAAUAGGUUUAGAGAAGAUCUACACAUAAUUUUACUUUUCUAAUUUUAUUUUAUUUUAUUUUUUGUUGGAAAAUAGUCUUCAAAUCAUGUAAGAUUUAAUAGGUUAAAUUUGUUAACAAUAAAUUUUAAAUUAUAAAAUAUAAUCUGGAACUCAAAAAUCAAUUCAAGUAAUGCUAAAAAAAAAUCAAAUUUGGUAUAGAAUGACUUUGUAAAUUUUUUUACAAAACAAAUGAAUUUUAAAUCAAGUGAGAUUUAAUGCAUUAGAUUUUUAUCAAAUAUAGUAAUUUUAAAAAUAAAUUUGGAACUCAACAAUAGACACAAUAAAUACCAAAAAAUAAUGAACCAAAAUUGGUUUGGAAUAACUCCACAACCUUUUUUUUUUUUUUUUGGUGCACACGAAUUUUCUUACUAGGUAUAUUGCUUUCAAAUUGAGAAAGAUUUACCAUUUAGAUUUUUUUUUAAUGAGUUUAAUGGUAUUUUAAAAUAAUUCAAAAUUUAAAAAAUUGACUAAUUAAUAUUAUAAAUUGAUAAACCAAGACUAUUUCAAAAUGCAUUGGGGGCUAAGGGGGUUGAAAAUAGGGACAAUGGGAUGGGUUUGGGACAUGACACUCAUAUCUCAUUUCCAUUCCAAUUACACAGUUAUCUCCCAUCCUUAUCCCAAACUUGUGUUGGAGCAAGUUGAUUUGUUCCCAUCUUUGUUGACGAAAUGACUAAUAACCUCAUCCCCUCCUUAUCUUAGAUGUACAUUUUGUCAAAUUUGAUCAGGUAUGAUUGAUCCAAGCCCUAACCCUAAUUGGUAAUGAGUGAAUACUACACCUAAUUGCAUUCUUCUUUCAUUGCAAAAUAAUGAGAUUAUAAUAAUCUAGCAAAUAAGAAAAAAUAGUAUGGAAGUUCAAAUUAACACCAUAACUAUCAAUAAUUUUAAGCUUAUAGAUGACUUAAAUGAUUAAAAACUAAUGCAAAAUCCUAAAAAAAAUAAAAAUCAUAUAAAGAAUUCACAAGAGAACAGAAUGAACAAAAACCAAAUAUGAACAUGGGUCAACAUUAGUUAUGGAUUUGGAUUCCUUUCAAGGCCAAUCUUUGAACCAAGACUUCAUCAAAUCAACUACUUCAAAGGCUUUUGUGUUCUUCUUGGGUUGUGCUCUCAAACAAAGACUUCGAGGUGAUGUUCUAGAUGAUUGAAUUACACAUAUUUAGGGUGGAGAGAUUGGAGAAGCUUGAAGAUGCCAACGAUGGGUACAAUUGAGUGGUCAAUAAGAACAAUGUAGCCUAUGACUAGUUUGAUGUCAUGGUACAAGAGUUUUAGGCAUUGAGGUUAAAGCAAGAGCAACAUGGAAUUGAUUUCGGAGUCUUUCAGUUAGUGUAAAGGAGGAAGAAGUGGUGUUGAUUCUAGAAAUAGGGUUUUAAGUGGUGCGUGAUUACUACUCAAAAAGUGCUAUUUGAUAGCCUUUAAUUAAUCCUUUUUAACACUUUUGAGUAGUAGUUUAGGCCUUUUAACUCAAUUGGCAUGUUAAGGAUCCUUUAAAGCAAUUUUGAUCACUUUGUGCAAGUUUUGGUGUUUUUGUUAGUAUUUUGAUCACCAAAGCAAGUCAAGAAUGAGGAGAACUAUGAGGAAUCAUGGGCAAAGCUUAGAAUUCAAUUGCCAAGAGUGAAUCCGGAUUGCAAGGAGAAAAAGCAAAGAGAAUCUGUCAUGAAGCCUAUUCUUGAUGACAGUCGUAGCAGCCACUUUUGGAGCACUUUCUGAAGUCCAAAUGAUGCAAGCUAUAUACCAUUUCAAAGAUCAGGAAGUCAACAAUCCAAUGCUUCAAACGGUGCGCGAUUCGGAGUUGAAACGAAGAAGUUGCAGCCAUUACAAGCCAGUCACUCUAAAGUGUUGCGGAAUCAGCCUUUUGUUGCGAGAAUUUCGCAGCACUUUUGUACAGUAAGGUGUUUCUCCUUCUGACGAUGCACGAACCAUGCCGCGAGAGGGAAGCUAGGAACUUCAAGAUGGAAGCCAACUUUGCAGCCUGGUGAAGAUAGCUUGGUCUUGCGAAAUAAUUUCGCAGCCCUCUUGGGUGUCUGCGAAAUUUCGCAGGCACCACUUUUUUCCUGCGAAAUGGCUCCGGAAGCCUCCCGAAGCUUGCUACCGACAUUGGGAGAUAUUUUCCAUUAGAUUUUUGUUGUCUAAAUUCCAAAAUACUCCUUGUAAACCACCAAUUACAUGAUUCCUUAGUUUUUAAGUUAGUAAAAAGACCAAAUAUCUAUGUAAUAAUUAGUUUUAUAUUAGUUUGCUAUAAAUACCUCUCGGGAGCAUGUUCUCAGAGAGGAGUUCCUUCUGUAACCAUUUUGGUAAGCAAGUAAAGUCUUUUCUUUCUACUGCCUUACCUUCUCACUUUGUAUUUUCAUUUUAUUUCUAAGUUAUGAAUUCUCUGAGGAGCUUUCCCCAGAGAAUGAGUAACUAAACCUCCAAUUCCUUGGAGCUAAGGUUGCCGGGGAAGGUUCCAAGUGCAAGAAUGCAAAGCUCUGUGGUUUUAGCUAGUAAUGAAGAGGAAGUGAAAUCCUUUAGUGAUUUCAAUGUUUUUAGUUAACUUAAAACACCUUGGAGUCACCUGGGCCAACACUUGGUAAGGCAAGUGAUUUCCAACCGUGGAAAUGCACUAGUUUACCCCUUGCGAGCCUCUGGUAGGUGACUUCAAGGUAGGAUUUUCUGGAAUUACCAACACUUGGUAAGCUUUUGGACUCCUAGGAGACAUCCAUUAGUUAUCUCUUGCGAGUUUGUGAAGGGGAAUCCAAGGUUAAAGAUCACCUUGAAUGGUAAGUGCUCGUGAGAGGCAUGAACCAUUGCAAGUUGUAUCAGUGAGAGAAUUAAAGUGAAAUCUAAUUGAAGGAGUCUCUGUACAUCACCGGUUAGAGAAUUGACUAUAAGUUGAAUCUCUAAUGCGAGGAAAUGAACCAUCUGACCGGAGCUAUGUCUUUUGCAUGAGGAACCACCCCAGUGAACCUAAAUCUCCAAGGAAUGCUUUUCUUCCUAAAUUAUUCCAAACUUCUGUUAAGUUAGUUAGUUUAAGUCUAAACCUUUACCAAUCAAACUUUGUGUUUUAUUUCUUAAGCUAACCGUGAAAUGAAACAAAACCAAUUCACUUGGAAUUGGUAUCCUUGAUUGCUUGCAAAUCAUUCCCAGUGAACGAUCCUUAGAGCCACUAUACUAUAGUAGCUUUGUAUUUGCUACCCUAGUGUAUGGUGUUAUAGGUAUAAAUUUUGUUGAUCACUUCCUCAAUCAAGGAACACCAGCUGAACACAAAUCAGCUGAGACACCAAUUGGGCAUGAGUCAAAUGGCGCCGUUGCCGGGGAAUGAGUGUCAAGAUCAUUGUGAUACCAUUUUUGAGCACUUGUGAUUUUCAUCACAAGUUGGUAAAGUUUCUUUCACUUUACUAAUUUUCAUUCUCUCUUUGUUUAUUUACAAUCUAAGUUUAUCUUUUUAAAAUUUAGUCUAGUUUAAUUUUGCUAUUGUAGCCUUGUUUCUCUUGUUGUCCUCUGUUCUUGUUGUCCUCUGUUUUCAUUUUAGUUGCAGCUGAAUACUAGUUGUGUAUGCCAAAGUGGAUACGAGACAUUGGAGGUAGGCUUAUUAAGUGUGAUACACCUCAGAGAGGAGAAUUGGAAGUAAUCUUGAAUAUCAUGGAGGCUGCACCUGAAGAUCAGCAUAGUCACCAAGGUCGUCAAGACAAUCUCAAUGAAUUCAGAUCAAUGAGGGACCGUAUGCAUCCACCUCGUAUGAGUGCACCAUCAUGUAUAGUGCCCCCUACAGAGCAACUAGUGAUCAGACCAUAUCUUGUUCCACUUCUACCAACUUUCCAUGGGAUGGAAAGUGAGAAUCCGUAUGCACACAUCAAGGAAUUUGAAGAUGUUUGUAAUACAUUCCAAGAGGGAGGAGCUUCAAUUGAUUUGAUGAGGCUUAAGUUAUUUCCUUUUAAUUUAAAGGAUAAGGCCAAAAUUUGGCUUAAUUCUUUAAGGCCAAGGAGUAUCCGCUCUUGGACUGAUUUACAAGCUGAAUUCCUCAAGAAAUUUUUUCCUACUCAUAGAACAAAUGGCUUGAAAAGGCAAAUUUCAAACUUCUCAGCUAAAGAGAAUGAGAAAUUCUAUGAGUGUUGGGAAAGAUACAUGGAAGCUAUAAAUGCUUGUCCUCACCAUGGCUUUGAUACUUGGCUACUGGUGAGUUAUUUUUAUGAUGGUAUGUCCUCCUCAAUGAAGCAACUCCUCGAGAAAAUGUGUGGAGAAGAUUUCAUGAGCAAAAAUCCAGAGGAAGCUAUGGAUUUCUUGAGCUAUGUAGCUGAUGUUUCAAGGGGAUGGGAUGAACCAACUAAAGGAGAAGUGGGAAAGAUGAAGUCUCAGUUGAAUGCUUACAAUGCAAAGGCUGGGAUGUAUACUUUAAAAGAGGAUGAUGACAUGAAAGCAAAGUUGGCAGCUAUGACAAGAAGAUUGGAGGAGCUGGAGCUGAAAAGAAUGCAUGAAGUGCAAGCUGUUGCUGAAGCACCAGUGCAAGUGAAGUUGUGUCCCAAUUGUCAAUCGUUUGAACAUUUGGUAGAGGAAUGCCCUGCAAUUUCAGCUGAAAGGGAAAUGUAUAGAGAUCAAGCAAAUGUUGUUGGACAAUUCAGGCCCAAUAACAAUGCUCCUUAUGGAAAUACCUACAAUUCAAGUUGGAGGAAUCAUCCAAAUUUUUCAUGGAAGGCCAGAGCAACUCAAUACCAACAGCCGGAUCCACCAUCUCAACAAUCUUCAAGUAUUGAACAAAUAAUAGCUAAUCUCAGCAAGGUAGUGGGAGAUUUUGUGGGAAAGCAAGAAGCCACCAAUGCUCGAGUGGAUCAAAGAAUGGACAGAGUGGAUCAAAGAAUGGACAGAAUGGAGAGUAUGUUGAACAAAAGAAUGGAUGGAAUGCAAAAUGAUAUGAAUCAAAAAUUUGAUAACAUCCAAUAUUCAAUUUCAAGGCUUACAAAUUUGAAUACACUGCAAGAAAAGGGAAGAUUUCCUUCUCAACCUAACCAAAAUCCCAAAGGUGUCCAUGAAGUGGAAAGCCAUGAGGGAGAAUCAUCACAGGUGAAAGAUGUGAAAGCUUUGAUCACUCUAAGGAGUGGUAAGAAAAUUGAGCAGCCAACACCCAAGCCACAUGUUGAGAAAGAAGAAGAGAUGAAGAAAGGGAAGGAAAUGGAAGAUAAAGGCAGUGAGAUCAGUGAAGAAAAGAAGGACUCUGAUGCAACAAUGAAAGUAAUUCCAGAGAAGGAGCUUCUGAAGGAAGAAAUGCUGAAGAAAUCAACUUUUCCACCUUUUCCUCAAGCAUUACAGGGGAAAAAGGGGGUUAGAAAUGCAGCUGAAAUCCUAGAAGUAUUGAGGCAAGUGAAAGUUAAUAUUCCACUGCUGGAUAUGAUCAAACAAGUUCCAACGUAUGCAAAAUUCCUAAAGGACUUGUGUACUAUCAAAAGAGGGUUGACUGUAAACAAGAAAGCCUUCUUGACUGAGCAAGUAAGUGCAAUCUUACAGUGUAAGUCUCCUUUGAAGUACAAAGACCCUGGAAGUCCUACCAUUUCAGUCAUGAUUGGAGGAAAGGUAGUGGAGAAAGCCUUGCUAGACUUGGGAGCAAGUGUGAAUUUGCUUCCAUAUUCUGUCUACAAGCAACUGGGACUUGGAGAGUUGAAGCCAACAGCAAUCACUUUGUCUCUGGCAGAUAGAUCAGUGAAAAUUCCAAGAGGGGUAAUUGAGGAUGUAUUGGUUCAAGUAGAUAAUUUCUACUAUCCUGUAGAUUUUGUUGUUCUUGAUACAGAUCCUACUGUAAAGGAAGCUAAUUUAGUUCCUAUCAUCCUUGGAAGGCCAUUUCUUGCAACUUCAAAUGCAAUCAUCAACUGUAGAAAUGGGCUUAUGCAACUCACUUUUGGUAACAUGACACUGGAUCUAAAUAUUUUCUAUAUGUCUAAAAAGCAAAUCACUCCAGAAGAAGAAGAGGGUCCAGAAGAGCUAUGUAUUAUUGAUACUUUGGUGGAGGAGCACUGCAAUCAACAUAUGCAAGAUAAGUUGAAUGAAAGUUUUGUGGAUAUUGAGGAAGGUUUUUCUGAAUCUCCUAAUGGGCUUGCUACUCUACAAAGUUGGAGAAAGAUAGAAGGAAUUCUACCUUUGUUCAAUGAAGAAGAGGAGGCAGCUGUUGAAAAAGAAAUUCCAAAACUCAAUCUGAAGCCUUUACCUAUGGAGCUGAAAUAUACAUAUCUUGAAGAAAAUAAUCAAUGUCCUGUCGUAAUAUCUUCAUCUCAAACCAAGUCUCAAGUGAAGGAUGCAAGCUUCAAAUGGGAUCCGGGCAAACUGAAUCAGGAAGGGCAAAAAGUUUUGAUGUAUGACACAAGACUCCAUAUCUUUCCUGGGAAGCUCAAGUCAAGGUGGAUUGGUCCAUUUGUUAUUCACCGAGUAUAUUCCAAUGGAGUGGUGGACUUAUUGAAUUCCAAUGGCAAGGACAGCUUUAGAGUCAAUGGAUAUCGUCUUAAGCCGUUCAUGGAGUCAUUCAAAUCAGAAAAGGAGGCAAUCAACCUCCUUGAACCUCAAAAAGCCUAAGUGAAAUGGGUUUGCUGGACGUGGUUUUACCACAGUCCAAAAAUUUUUGUAAAUUUUGUAAAUUUUCAAGUUGUUUCCAUGCUUUUAAUCUUAGUUUUUGAUUUUAAAUCAUGUUUUUAGGUGUGUUUUAAUCGUUUUAUAUGAUCCCAGGCGGAAGAAAUUUCAAGGGGAUUGAAAAGAAAAAAAUCGGGUCGAAAUUGGAGCCGAAACAGAGCAAAAACAGGGGAAAAACAGAGCUCUGCGAAAUUUCGCAGGGUGAAGGAAACUUCUGCGAAAUUGGCAUUUUGCUGCCAAACCAUUCCGCAGCACUGUAGAAGCCUCUGCGAGUGUAUUUCGCAAUUGCGAAAGUGGAUUUGGCACACGAGUGCCACUUCGCAGCACAGUGACAUCAAUUUCGCAGCUGCGAAACUCACUGCGAAGUUGCUGCGAAAAUGGCAAGUUGCUGCGAAAUUGGCGUUUUGUUGCGAAACGUAAUCUGACCCCUGGGCUUCCGUUUUUCCUAUUUAUACCUGUCAAAAGUGCUGCGAAAAAGGUUUCAAAAAUUAGAGCACCAUUCUCGCAGCCCUUUCAUCUUCUUCGCCAAGCCACGCCGUCCGUUUCUCCGGUCGUCUUCUCCGUUUAGCAGCGCCGGCCAAAGAUCGAUAGCCCAAAAAUGGCACGAACGCGAGGGGCAAAGUCUUCAUCCCCUUCGAACCGCAAAAGGAGUCUGCGAAAGGAGCCAAGUUCAGGCUCUGUUCCAGAACCUGCUCCAAAGCCUUCGCCGUCGAGACCACAACCUUCUCCAGUGAAGCCGGCGCCACCAAAGCCGCCGGCAAGGCGAUAUUUAACCAGGUCAGGUGGUCAGCCAUUGAAGAAGAAAGCCAGAGUUGAGAGCUCUGAACCAAUCGAUUUGACUGAGCAAUCCCCUGAGAAAUCACCAAAUCCUUCACCGGUACAAAUUCCAGUGCCAUCACCGGUUCCCUCGCCAAUUCCCUCACCAGAAGCAACUCCAAUUCCAUCGCCGGUACCAUCUCCGGCACCCCAAGAAAAAGCUCAGGAGCCUCAAGCGCCAAUUCCAGAGCCCCAAAUUGCAGCUGAAGCACCUCUGGAAGAAGUGAUCCGAAGGCCAAUGCUGCCUCAGCCCCCAAUCGAAGGAAACCUGGAUUGCCGAACUCGGGCAUUCCAUUCUGAGCUUUGCUUCGAUUUAACAGCAUUCAGAGUGAGGCCAGAGCUUGCCCAAUCCUUCCAACUGCUGAGGAGAUAUCAUAUGGAGCAUCUGCUAGCUCCAAGGGAUUUUUUCUAUCCCCGGGUAGUCACGGAUUUCUACCAAACCAUGACAACCAAAGAAGUAAGAAAUCCAACUCUGAUUCAUUUCAUAAUUGAUGGAAGGCAUGGUAUUUUGGGAGCAAGACAUAUUGCUGAAGCCCUGCAAAUUCCUUUUGAGCCAACUCAAUUCGACAAUUUUAAAGCUUGGACAAAUCCUACUGAGUUAGAGAUGGUUAGCACACUAACCAGAGGAGCUGCAAAUCGAUCGCAUUUGUUGAGGGGGGAGCUACCUCCAGUUAUGUUUUUGAUUGAUGCCUUUUUGAGGCAUAAUAUCUAUCCCCUGCAGCAUUGGACCCAAAGAAGGGGAAUUCUCCUAGAAGCCUUGUACAAAAUGUCUGAAGGAUUCUUCUUUGGGCCUCAUCAUCUGAUCAUGGCAGCCCUUCUAUACUUUGAGGAGAAGGUUCACAAGAAGAAGCUUCAAAGAGCAGAUUGCAUUCCACUCCUCUUCCCAAGGCUGCUAUGCCAAGUUUUGGAGCAUCUCGGAUACCCCUCUGAGCCUCAGCAGGAAAGAAAGAGAAUAUGCCGUGAGCCUUUUACCCUUGAUAAAUGGAAUAAUAUGACGGCCUACAAAAUUGAUCAGCCUGGGCAGCCUCAGCCAGCAGCAAGGAGAGUCUCCCCAAGACAUAUACCUGAAGGUAUAACACUUGCUACUCCUGCCAUCCCUCGAGCUCCACCAGCUGCACCUGCUCCAUCACAGCCAUCCACAUCAGCUGAGCCGAGGAUGGCCAUCCCUAUAUCCGAAUAUCGAGAGCUGUGCCGUGCAUUGGAGACUCUUACAGCUUCUCAGAGCAAUCUUGCUCAGGAGUUGGCAGCCAUUAAAGCAUGCCAGGAGCAGAUGUUAGCCUCUCAGACUCAACAAGCUGCCAUCCUAAGGCAGCUUCAAGUCCAUUUCGAUCUGCCACAAGCUGUAGAGCCCUCUAUUCCUACUCCACCAGAGCCACACUCUCAGCCUUCAGAGUCUCAUCCUCCAGAACCCGAAGCACCAGCUGAUCCACCUACUGAGGAGGCAGAUCCUUCUGCCUAGCACCAUCACCCCCCUCAUCAGACAUUAUAUAUAUAUUUGCUGUUUAUGUUUUUAUGCAUGUUUGUUUUGUUUUAGUUGAAAAGAAAUCCCAGUAUUUUGGUACUAUAUAUGGGAUUCCUUGUGUUACUUGUCUUUAGUAUUGUAAUCACAUGAACUCAAAGUAAUACAAGUUGACUAUUUCUUGUUAAAAGUUAGCAUUAAAGUUUCCUUAUUUCCUUUUCUCACAUAUUCUAUUCUUUUUGAAACAUGUGGUUUUCCCCAAUCAAUAUUCGAAUUUGAUAUCAGCAUGGAGGUACCACUUCCUCCCUUUUAUUACAGUCACUCAAAUCACAUUGAGGACAAUGCUCAGUUCGGUUGGGGGGUAUGAGGAAGGAAGUAUUCUAAACCUUUUUGGUAUUGCAAUUAUAUUGGUUAAUUAGUUGUAGAUUUUACUUUUUACUAGUGUUACUCUAUUCUCCAUGAAUUUUGAGGAAAAAUUUUCAAAUUAAACCAAGAGAAAUUGAACUGUUGUUUUUCACUUGACUUAGAGUAUGGAUUAUGCUUACUAAAGUGGUUCAAUUGUUGAAACUUCUACUGAAAUUGAAUUGAGUUCUUCCACUUUAAGCUAUCCACACACUGUGCACAUUAGUUUCCGAUUAUAAGAUGAAAAGCUAUUUCCCUCUUGACUUAGUAUAUUUUUGGGACUUGGUAUAUUUGACCUCAUUUGAUAAAAAUUGAAACACCCUGCAAAAGGCCAAUGAGCCUUUGAAAUAAAGAAAGUUGUUUGCUUGCCUUGAAACCCGAGCAAGGUCUGAGGGGUAUAUGGUGAAAAUCUUUAAAGCCUGGUGCCCUAAGCCUUAAUUGGUUGGGAGUCACCGACCUCAAUGCUCGUUACAAGGGUGAAUAGGUAGAGUUAGCAUAUGGUAGAUGCUUGGGUAUUAGAAAUUCAUUCUUAAAAGUCCGGGGAAAAAUCCGAGGAGUUAGUGGUUGAAAGAUCCUUAAAACUUGGUGCCCUAAACCUUAAUUGGUUGGGAGUCAUCGAUGGACCCCCAUUACAUGGACAAGUCAGAAAGAGUACCCCAUAAAGCUACCUUAAAAAAAAAAAAAAAAAAAAAAAAAAAAAAAAAGAUGAAAGUGUGUUCUUUUCUUAUUGAUUUUGGUCAGUUUGCUAAAGUGUUGAAAAGAGAUAGGUUGGGGGGUGAGAUUAGUAGCAUAUUAUUCUCGGAACCUAAGGAACCAAUACACAUAGAUUUUUGUGGAAGAUUGAAGUUUAGUUCUUAGAAAAUGAAAUGAUUUUAAAACUUCAGUUUGCAUAAUGCACUCCCUUGAUUGACAGUGUUUAGCAUAGGUGUUAUGACUCUUGUUGAGAUUUGGGUUUGUAUUUCUUUAAUGAUUCAUGUGAGAAAUAGAUCAUCAUGCCACUUGAGAAUUAUUUUCCUUUUAGCAUGAUGUUGUAAAUUUUAGAUUAGUUUGCUAUUUAUUUUUUAUUUUCUCUCCUAUAUUGCUAAGGGACUAGCAAUAUGUCGGUUGGGGGGAGUGAUUACUACUCAAAAAGUGCUAUUUGAUAGCCUUUAAUUAAUCCUUUUUAACACUUUUGAGUAGUAGUUUAGGCCUUUUAACUCAAUUGGCAUGUUAAGGAUCCUUUAAAGCAAUUUUGAUCACUUUGUGCAAGUUUUGGUGUUUUUGUUAGUAUUUUGAUCACCAAAGCAAGUCAAGAAUGAGGAGAACUAUGAGGAAUCAUGGGCAAAGCUUAGAAUUCAAUUGCCAAGAGUGAAUCCGGAUUGCAAGGAGAAAAAGCAAAGAGAAUCUGUCAUGAAGCCUAUUCUUGAUGACAGUCGUAGCAGCCACUUUUGGAGCACUUUCUGAAGUCCAAAUGAUGCAAGCUAUAUACCAUUUCAAAGCUCAGGAAGUCAACAAUCCAAUGCUUCAAACGGUGCGCGAUUCGGAGUUGAAACGAAGAAGUUGCAGCCAUUACAAGCCAGUCACUCUAAAGUGUUGCGGAAUCAGCCUUUUGUUGCGAGAAUUUCGCAGCACUUUUGUACAGUAAGGUGUUUCUCCUUCUGACGAUGCACGAACCAUGCCGCGAGAGGGAAGCUAGGAACUUCAAGAUGGAAGCCAACUUUGCAGCCUGGUGAAGAUAGCUUGGUCUUGCGAAAUAAUUUCGCAGCCCUCUUGGGUGUCUGCGAAAUUUCGCAGGCACCACUUUUUUCCUGCGAAAUGGCUCCGGAAGCCUCCCGAAGCUUGCUACCGACAUUGGGAGAUAUUUUCCAUUAGAUUUUUGUUGUCUAAAUUCCAAAAUACUCCUUGUAAACCACCAAUUACAUGAUUCCUUAGUUUUUAAGUUAGUAAAAAGACCAAAUAUCUAUGUAAUAAUUAGUUUUAUAUUAGUUUGCUAUAAAUACCUCUCGGGAGCAUGUUCUCAGAGAGGAGUUCCUUCUGUAACCAUUUUGGUAAGCAAGUAAAGUCUUUUCUUUCUACUGCCUUACCUUCUCACUUUGUAUUUUCAUUUUAUUUCUAAGUUAUGAAUUCUCUGAGGAGCUUUCCCCAGAGAAUGAGUAACUAAACCUCCAAUUCCUUGGAGCUAAGGUUGCCGGGGAAGGUUCCAAGUGCAAGAAUGCAAAGCUCUGUGGUUUUAGCUAGUAAUGAAGAGGAAGUGAAAUCCUUUAGUGAUUUCAAUGUUUUUAGUUAACUUAAAACACCUUGGAGUCACCUGGGCCAACACUUGGUAAGGCAAGUGAUUUCCAACCGUGGAAAUGCACUAGUUUACCCCUUGCGAGCCUCUGGUAGGUGACUUCAAGGUAGGAUUUUCUGGAAUUACCAACACUUGGUAAGCUUUUGGACUCCUAGGAGACAUCCAUUAGUUAUCUCUUGCGAGUUUGUGAAGGGGAAUCCAAGGUUAAAGAUCACCUUGAAUGGUAAGUGCUCGUGAGAGGCAUGAACCAUUGCAAGUUGUAUCAGUGAGAGAAUUAAAGUGAAAUCUAAUUGAAGGAGUCUCUGUACAUCACCGGUUAGAGAAUUGACUAUAAGUUGAAUCUCUAAUGCGAGGAAAUGAACCAUCUGACCGGAGCUAUGUCUUUUGCAUGAGGAACCACCCCAGUGAACCUAAAUCUCCAAGGAAUGCUUUUCUUCCUAAAUUAUUCCAAACUUCUGUUAAGUUAGUUAGUUUAAGUCUAAACCUUUACCAAUCAAACUUUGUGUUUUAUUCCUUAAGCUAACCGUGAAAUGAAACAAAACCAAUUCACUUGGAAUUGGUAUCCUUGAUUGCUUGCAAAUCAUUCCCAGUGAACGAUCCUUAGAGCCACUAUACUAUAGUAGCUUUGUAUUUGCUACCCUAGUGUAUGGUGUUAUAGGUAUAAAUUUUGUUGAUCACUUCCUCAAUCAAGGAACACCAGCUGAACACAAAUCAGCUGAGACACCAAUUGGGCAUGAGUCAGUGCGUUAGAGGAUCAAGAAGAAGAAAAAGAAGGAACUGUUGGAAUUAGUAUGAGUGUGAAGAGAAAAGUAUAUAAAUAAGGGGAAGUAAAAGCAAAGUUCAAAAAGCUAUAUUUUUUUAUUGUUGGUGUAUGGUUGCAUGAUUAUCCCUAUAAAUAAUAGGAGUUUUUUGGUAUUCUACUAGUAGUUGAAGCAUAAUUUCAUAAAUUAAUAUUUAGAGCGGGGUGGGGUGAGUUGUGACAAAAUUCAUACCCGUCCCAAACCUUGGUUCAGAUUUUUAAAAUAUUCUCAAACUUAUCAUAUACCCAACUUUUAUAUUUCAUACUUGUCCUAAUAGAGGCACGUUAGGCCGGGUUACUUGAGUAACCUACAUAAUUGUCAUCCCUAGUUGAAAUACACUUUUUGGCAGUGGCCACCAACUGAGCUAGAAGCUUGAUUGAUUGACCUACAAGAUUAGUUCUCAUCAUUUUAAAAAAAGUUCUGGCUUUGGUUGUGAGUGCAAUUGAAUCUAAACUGGCAUUUGCUUAAUGCAUCUACUUCAAUCCUAAACUUCUUACUUCUUAAGCCUCAAUUGUUGUUAGGAUUUUGGAAAACCCAUUUCCUUAAAUUGUAAAUUUAAGAUAAAAUAAAAUAAAAGUGAGACAUUUCUUGAUUGAAUAUUGUUAAAGGUCCCUUGGCAUUAAGACUUGGUUGAAGCCUUGGAAGAUUAGUGGAACUCUCAACAUGUGUUUGAAUCUUGAGGAGAGUGGAUGUAAGCCAAAAUUUUGUCAAACCAUUAUACAAAUUGAGUUUGAAUCCUCAUUUCUUGAUUUCUUAUUUAUUUGCUUUUUCUUAUUAUUACUUGAAUUGUCAUUUGCAUUCAUUAAUGUUAAAAUUGGUUAUAAUUAACCAACACUAAUUCUCUUUCCCCUUCCCUUUCUUGGGUGUAAACCUAGGUUGGAUUAACUAGAUAAAUCUAUUAAGAUGGUAAAAGAAUAAUUAUUCUUAACAUACAUAAGAUCAUCUUCAAUCAAAUGACUCAUUGGCUAAUAUGUUGAAUUUGCUUAUUACUUGCAACUCAAAAUUGUGUUCUAGUUGUGUCAAGUCCCCAGUGUAUGGACAUUAAAUUUGUAGUACGUGAUGAGUAAUUAGAUGGUCCAACUCCAAGAAAGUGAUUGAAAAGUAGUUCAAGAAAGGUGCAAAAGGGAAUUGUUUUGGUAUUUUCGUUUUUAUUCUUGAAGGUGGCAGAGCUAAAAUUUGAGAAAUCAAGCAAAACAUACUGAAAUUACAUUGAAAGAAAGAAGAUGGGAGUUAAUGUCUUGCAGUACAUGAUAAGGACUUCAUGCAUGUAGUGUGACCCAUGUCUUGGACUGAUGCCAACUCACGGUUACACUUAUACCCUUGGUUCUCUCUUUACUACCUUGGCUAACCUAGAUCAGGCUAUGAGAUAGGCUCCUCACCACACCAUUACUUGCCCAUUAAUUAGAGACAUUUUCAAGCAAUGAGGUAACAUGGUGACACCAAGAGGGUCUAUUCCUCGCCCGGAACAAGUCUAGACUUGGUCUCAAAAAAAUGGAGAAAAAUGAGGUGUCGUUAUGUAGAAAUACAACAACCAUGCCUUCCUCAUUACUUAGAUUCAGAAUGUGAAGGUGAAAUUGAGAAACAGAAACUCUUGAAACCAAAAUGAAAAUUGAUACUUUUACGAAGAAUUACAACAACAUUAGAGGAAGACUACAUUCUUCCUCUUUAUUCCUACAUUUCUACACUACUUCUACUCCACUCCAUAUUUCUACAUACAUCUUUAAUCAGUCUUCCCUCCUUUAUAUAGAGCCAUCUUCACACAAAUUUCGCAAGGUAGAAAAGAGGAAUGAAACUUGGAGCAAGGUUCGACUACUGGUUGUAGCUUGUCAAGGCUGGAAGUGAACUUUUCUUGGCUUUCUGGGCAUGGGUAGUAACUUGUGGGUUCCUGUUUGGCAUAAAAAUGGCUAGAACAUGUGGCACUAUCUUGUUGGAUGAUGUGUCAAGCAUGUGGCAGCCAUCUAGUGGCGAUUAUGUCAAUUUUGGGAUGGAGAGUUGGCAUCCAAUUGCAAAGAAAUAUGACGUCUACCAACAUGCAAUGUAAACCUAUGUAGAUCAUAUGAAGAUAGAGAGGAAAAAUAUAGAAAUGGAUAUAUACCUAGAACUAGCUUUUUAUUAAAUGAAACGGAGAGACAACAAUGAAGGAAAAUAAAAUUUUUUGGCUUAUAUCAAAGAGUUCACAUUGUGUUACCCUAGGUUUUCUUAAAACUUACUUUUAUGAUAACAAAAAAGAAAAAACCAUUAUUGUUUAAUCCUUUGUUUUAAACGCAUGUAAGGUGUAAUUAAGUUAGUUCAAUGCAUUAAUUUAAGAAACUUGACCUAUCAAAAGUACAAAAUUAGAUGAAAUCCAUUUCAAUGGUUAAAAUGAUCAAAAUCAAACUUUUUCUAAGUAUUUUUUAAAAGCAUCAAUAGUGAAAGACAAUUUUAUAUUUAGUCGGAGUUUGGACAAAACUGAAAAACACACAAAAUCCAAGCGACCAUCUCUAGCUUGGAUGGUCGCUUGAUCCCACCUAGAGAUGUGCAUGAGUAAAAGGAUUUGAAAAUGGAAAUUGACUAUGUAGUCGAUCAAUUAACUUUGCAACAUCAUAUGCAAUCCUAAUUGCUAGUCAUCUAAUCAAUUAGGUAGUCAAUCAACAGGCCAAAAAUAUGUUUAUAAUGACUAUUUUGUACAAAAACCACCUGUAUAGUUAAAUAUAAUGCAUUUCAUUUAUAAAUCUUCUAAUUCUUGAAUAACGAUCCUAUCAUCCUUUGAAAGUUUUUAUUACACUUUUUUUACUUUUGUUCUAAAACUUACACAUCACCCUUAAUUGUACCAUGAGAACCUAGCUAUUUUUUAUUUUUUUUUUUGUAAUUCAUCAAAGUUAGCUUUUGUAUUCAUUGUUGUAUUAUUUUUAGUAUAACUUAGAAAGCUAGUGUUUUCAAGUGAGUAAAAUUAACUUGUAAAUAUUGUAAAGAUUCAUCGACAUGUAUCUUAAACUAAGUGUACAAGUUAAAACAUUUGCUAGUAGAUUUUCUCAAAAUUUAGAAUAGAGCUUGAGACUAUUGAAAUAGGUGGGGUUGCACCAAACCACAUCACAUCGUUGUUUGCACCUUUUUUCACUCUCUUUUACUUAGUUGCUCUAUAUUUGUUGUCUAGUAAUAUCCUAUAGGCUUGAUGGGUUAGGGAGCAUCCCUUUGUGAAAAAAUUUUAUUCAAUCCUUAGUUGUAUCACGCAUAUAUAAAAUGCCUCAUUGUUUUAAUGGUAUUCAGUCGUGGCAUCACAGAUAUGGGCAUCUAAAUUUUAAAAGUUUGAAACUUUUAUCUAAAGAAAAUAUGGUGCUUUGCCUUUUUGUAAAGCAUGUUGAUGAAAUCCAUGAGAAUUGUGUACUUGGGAAGCAACACCGAGAUGACUUUUUUUUUUUUUUUAUAAUAUUGUUUGUCCAAAUUCCCUACAAAUUAGGCCACCAGAUGUUCAUAAUUCUCCCUUCUUGAAUUUGAAAACUCGGACAAUUGGACAAUGCGACACCUAAGUCCGGUUUCUAAAUGCUAAAGUGAAAGGGUAGGUAUGGACCAUUGAAAUGUGAUCACAACUUUUCUCUGUAGCCAUGUUGUCUCUUUUUUCUUUUGCAUGAUUUUCUUACCUUAACAGAAUCAUAGACUUGUUUAGUCUCUAAAUGGGAUUAAUUUCAUCCAGCUUUAAGCUACUAUAUUAUAUCUAGGUGGAGGACUUUUAAGAGUGCAACCGACAUAGAGCACAUGGAAGUGGGUAUAUGGGACAUGAAAUUUCUUCUUAUAAAGAUUGCAUGAUUUUUAUAUUAGAGUUGUUGAGGCGCUAUGUAUUUAGCUUGUUUUGCAGUUAAAUUAAUUGGAUAAGUAGACAUUGGCGUUUCUAAAUCUACUGUGAAGUGCUUCAUGUACGUGUGAAGUAUUAGAAAUUUCUUUCUUGGCAACUUGUUUUUCUUUGCGGUCUACUGAUAGGUUUGACUAAAAUUAUAUUCCCUGUCAUGCUAAUUAAUUUUCACGUGCAUGCUCAAAAGAAAAGUAUGACCUUAGUGCACCAAAAUCACUUUGAUUAAUUUGUGAUAGGUUUUUGUGCAUCAUGACAUUAGCCUUAUUCAUUUAGAUAAUGUUUAGUUUUUAGAAAGUAUUAAGAAAAGGAAAAUAAAUAUUAAGAAAAAUAUUCUUAUAUUUGAUUGUAUUAUGAAAAAUAUCAUAAAAAAAUCAAAUAUAAUUUAAAUUAAUUAAUAAUUUAUACAUUUUCAAAUUAUUUAAUCUUUAUAUUGAAGAUAUAAUAUAAAUGAAAUGAGUUUUAAGUAUUAUAUAAAAGUGAUUUAUUGAUCUUACAUAUAUAUAUUUCUUUUUUUUUUCCUUCUAUUUUUUCUCUUUAUUUUAUUUUCCUUAUGUUUUCCUCAACAUUUUCCGGAACCAAACAUAGCCUUAGGAAAUCCACAAUUACCUUCAACUGAGUAGAUUCUGUUGUUUUAGCAAUGUUAGGCUGCUAACUUGUGUUGGUACGAACCUAUUAAGCCUAAAGAUGUAAUUAGUUAGGAUAUUCUUUUCCCUCUAGUCUUGUAGCUCCACGUGUACAGUUGGUUAGGACCUCAUUGUAUAUAAUGCUUGCCCUGUUAUUGUAGAAGACAACAAAGAUAAAUAAUAUUAACAUUUUUCCUCUCAUCUCUCUCUGUUUCCCUCUGUUUUCAUCUCCUCUCUCAUCUUGGUAUCAGAGCCUCCAUGGCUUCUUUCAAAGAAACCUCCGAAUCACCUUCUGCUAGCAUUGUUAAUGUGCAAAACCCAUUAUCUCAAUCAAACAACCUUCCUUCACCAGUAGCCACACCCUCUUUUUCUUUCUCGUCUAUGAAUCAACCUCUCACAGUGAAGCUGGAUAAUGGGAACUACCUCAUAUGGAAGAAUUAGCUUCUAAAUGUCAUCAUUGCUAACGGACUCGAUGAUUUCAUUGACGGAUCUCGACCCUGCCCUCCUCGAUUUCUCGAUCUGCAACAACAAACCCUCAAUCCAGAGUACUCAGCUUGGCAGAGAUACAAUCGACUUCUGAUGAGUUGGCUGUACGCAUCCUUGUCCAAAGAUAUAAUGGCUCAGAUUGUUGGGUAUUCAACAGCUAUGGAGAUUUGGAAUGCCCUUAAUCAGAUUUACUCUGCCUCUUCUAUGGCGCGGUUUACUGAGCUUCGCACCAAGCUUCAAACGCUCAAGAAAGAUGGACUCUCAGUUGGUGAAUAUAUUCAAAGGCUCAAAUCCAUUUGCAAUAGUCUUGCAGCAAUAGGAGAACCAGUUUCUGAGAAAGACCAUCUUAUCUAUUUGUUCAAUGGAUUAGAUUGUGAGUAUUAUUCUUUUGUUACCUCCAUUCAAAAUCGAUCUGACCAACCAACUAUUGACAAAAUCCAUAGCCUAUUGCUUAGCUAUGACUUCCGGCUUGAACAACAAAACUCUGUUUCUCUCCAUUCUGCCCAAGUCCAUAUGGCUCAUCUGAACAAGAAACCUUAUAAAUCAACUCCUCAACCUACAUUCAAUCAUAUUCACAUUCAACCUAGAUACUCUUCUCCACCUUUUAAGCCAACCACUAGUCAAUAUCAACCCAACAUUUUGGGCAAACCACAACCACAACCAUGACAGCCUCAACCUCAAUGGAAACCACAUUUUUCAAUCUAAAAUCAAAAGCCUCAGCGCCAAAUUUGUGGUAAAUUUGGACACACUGCUCUUAUUUGCUUCCAUCACACAAAUUUGAACUAUUCACCCCAACCUUCUCCUAAAUCUUUCAAUACUGUUCUCACCACAAAUUCCCAGCUCCCUAAUCCUCCAAAAUUUUCUUACCCUACAAUGGCUCAUCCUGCUGCUACGCAUAACACGGUUCCCGAUACAAAUUGGUACAUGGACUCAGGUGCUACACAUCACUUUACUCUGGACAUCAACGUGCUUGACACUGUGACACCAUUUAGUGGUUCAGAACAGGUGACAGUUGGGAAUGGUAAGCAACUCUGUAUCUCACAUCUUGGUACUGCAAAACUACCAUCUUCGUAUUCUCCUCCUGUUCUACAUCAGGUAUAUCACACUCCAAAAAUUUCAAAUAAUCUUAUUAGUGUUAAAAAAUUGUGUUCUGAUAAUAAAGUUUUUGUUGAAUUUUAUGCCACUCAUUUUCUUGUCAAGGAUCAGGUUUCGAAGAGAGUUCUCCUUUAGGGUCAACUUGAUAAUGGCUUAUACAAAGUUCAGUCGUCAUGCUCUCCUUCUGCUGUUUCCUUUCCUCCUCAAGUUUUCAUAGCCAACAUCAAGUAUCCAAAUCUGUGGCACAAGAGACUAGGCCACCCAGCUUUAUCUGUUGUUAAUCAAAUCUUGGAUUCUUGUAACAUUGCUCGAACACAGAAAAUUUGUUUUAAUUUUUUAAAUUCUUGUCAAUUAGCAAAGAGCCACAGGCUUCCUUUUUCUCUGUCUCCAUCCAUUGCAGAAAAACCUUUUGAGUUAAUUCAUACAGACCUAUGGGGUCUUUCGCUCGUUCGCUCUAUUUCUGGUGCUCUUUAUUUUUUACUUUUCAUUGAUGAUCAUACUCGUUUUACUUGGUUUUAUUUGCUCAAAACAAAAGAUGAAGCAUAUCCUACUUUUCUCAAGUUUCAAGCUCUCAUUGAAAAUCAAUUUAAUACCAAGAUUAAGGCUGUCCAAUCUGAUUGGGGAGGUGAGUUUCGAUCUCUCUCCAUACCGUUUUCAAAUAUGGGCAUUGUCUAUUGUUUAUCGUGUCCAUACACCUCACAACAGAAUGGGCGAGUUGAGCGAAAAAAUCGCCAUGCGAUUGUCCUUUCUUGCUUGCUCUAUGCCCUUAUCUUAUUGGCCUUAUGCCUUUCAAACUGCCACUUACCUUAUUAAUCGUCUCUCUACCCCUGUGCUGCAUCAUCAAUCCUCUUACUUCGCACUCUAUCACAAACUCCCAACUUAUACUCAUCUUAAGGUCUUUGGUUCCUCUUGUUUUCCGUAUUUGCACCCUUAUAAUACCCAUAAACUCCAAUACAGGUCACUAGAGUGUGCUUUUCUUGGUUACAGUUCACACCACAAAGGUUAUCUAUGUCUUGACAUUCAUUCUAGCAGGGUGUAUAUUUCUCGCCAUGUGAUUUUUAAUGAAGAUUCUUUUCCAUUCAAGAAUUUGAAAUCUUCUCUCUCUCAGUCUAUUUCUUCUUCCUCUUCUUUAUAAGUUCCUCUGUUCAUUCUCUUGCCUCCCCUUUCCCCAUCUCCUCUUAUUUCUUCAUCUAUACCUCAUUCUUUUCCCUCUUCUUCUUCUACCUCUAGUACUUGUUCCCCUCUCGUUGCUCCUACCUCUCUUCCUUCCUCUUCACACUCUGUGUCUCCAUCUAUUCCACCUCCUUCUCCACCUUCUCCGAGUGUGGACCUGCUUGCACCUUGUGUGAAUACAAAUUUACAUACUUCUUCUCGCACUCACAAUAUUCAUCCUAUGGUGACUAGAUCUAAGGUUUGUAUCUAUAAACCUAAGUUGUUGUUGAGUGUCUCCAUAGGUUCUCUCACUAAGCCUACUUCCUUUCUUCAAGCUAUUAAAGAUCCUUCAUGGAAGCAAUCCAUGGAAUUCGAGUUUGCUACCCUUCAACACAACAAGACCUGGCAUUUGGUUCCUUCACCUUCCUCAGGCGAAGUAAUCGGUUGUAAAUGGGUCUAUAAGCUAAAGCUUCAGCCUGAUGGCUAAAUUGAGAGAUACAGCCUGCUUAGUAGCUAAGGGUAUCAUCAAAUUGAAGUAUGGACUACUUCGAAACAUUCAGCCUGAUNNNNNNNNNNNNNNNNNNNNNNNNNNNNNNNNNNNNNNNNNNNNNNNNNNNNNNNNNNNNNNNNNNNNNNNNNNNNNNNNNNNNNNNNNNNNNNNNNNNNAGCUUCAGCCUGAUGGCUAAAUUGAGAGAUACAAGGCCUGCUUAGUAGCUAAGGGUUAUCAUCAAAUUGAAGGUAUUGACUACUUCGAAACAUUCAGCCUGAUUGUCAAGCUUUCUACUAUCUGUAUUGUGCUCAGUCUUACUUUUUCCCAGAAUUGGUGUAUUAGACAGCUGGAUGUUCAUAAUGCCUUCUUACAUGGUGACUUAGCUAAAGACGUUUUCAUGGAACAACUGCCUGGAUUUGUUGAUCCUCUCUAUCCUACUCAUGUCUGCAAGUUGGAUAAGUCUCUCUACUGUCUUAAAUAGUCACCUCGGGCUUGGUAUACUAAGCUGAGUACUUCUCGCUACACUUGGGAUUUGUUACUUCUAAGAAUGACUCUUCCUUAUUUAUUUGUCAUUCGUCUCAUGGGUUACUUCUUGUUCUUGUCUAUGUGGAUGAUAUAAUCGUCAUUGGGAGCCACUCUCCUCAGGUUACUCACCUUAUCCAACAGUUGCAUCAUUAGCUUUCUUUAAAGGAUCUUGGUCCUUUACAUUAUUUUCUGGGCUUGGAGGUUCAUCACACCCCUACUGGUAUUCACCUCAGCCAAGCAAAGUAUAUCACUGAUCUCCUUACCCGGGCGGCUAUGUUGGAUGCCAAGCCAUGUCCCACUCCUAUGUCCUCCAACACAUAUCUCUCUUUUCAUGAUGGAGUGGCUCUUGAAAAUGGUUCAGAUUAUCGAAGUUUUGUUGGUGCCCUUUAGUAUUGUACCAUGACACGCCCAGAUAUAGCUUUUGCAAUAAAUAAAGUGUGUCAAUUCAUGCACCAUCCCUCUAAUGUUCACUGGCAGGCUAUAAAACGUAUUCUCCGGUACUUAAAGGGCACAUCUCAUUUUGGUCUCUUCCUACAGCCUUCCUAUGACUUCAACAUCACUUGCUAUACAAAUGCCGACUGGGCUUCCUGUCCUGAUGACAAGUGUAGCACCAGUGGCUACUGCCUCUUUCUUGCCUCUAAUCUGGUUUCUUGGUCAUCUUCCAAACAAAAAGUGGUCUCCCGCUCCAGCGCCGAAUCAGAGUACCGAGGGGUAGCAAAUGGGGCUGCUGAAAUUGCUUGGACUGAAUCUCUUCUUUGUGAACUUUCCAUUACUCCCCCUCCCCUCAUUCUCUGUGACAAUAUCAGUGCCACGUACUUAGCUGCCAAUCCUAUUUUGCAUGCCCGCACCAAACAUGUGGAAAUCGACUAUCACUUUGUCACGGAACGUGUUCUUCAAUGCUCUCUUUUUGUCCAGUUUACACCUUCUGAUGAUCAACUUGCUGAUUGCAUGACCAAGCCUCUCUCCACCCAACGUUUCAUCACUCUACGCUCCAAGCUCACUGUUCUCACUAGACCAAUGAGCUUGAGGGGGGAUGUUAAGCCUAAAGAUGUAAUUAGUUAGGAUAUUCUUUUCCCUCUAGUCUUGUAGCUCCACGUGUACAGUUGGUUAGGACCUCAUUGUAUAUAAUGCCUGCCCUGUUAUUGUAGAAGACAACAGAGAUAAAUAAUAUUAACAUUUUUCCUCUCAUCUCUCUCUCUGUUUCCCUCUGUUUUCAUCUCCUCUCUCAUCUGAACCAAAUGAUCCAUGUUAACCUUGGCUUGGUUUGAUUUGGCUCUAUCUUAGAGAGCUCAAGGAUCACGUCAACUCUGGUUUCUACUAUUCAGGUCCAUUCCCAUAUGAACUGGUUCAAAUUUGAGAAAAUGGUAACAGACCUUUAGUGAUGUUGGUUUGGAGCCAGUUGCCAAACCCGCCCUGAGCUUUACCACUAAUGUCAAGGGAGAAAGCCAUUUGAACAAAAACAAUAGCUUCAAGGGACUGAAUCGUGGAUGAAAUCUGAUCCACAUUUCUUCUCAUUUUGGAAACAAAUGAGAACUUAACUAAGAAGAUUCUACGGCCUCAUAGUGCUUUUCCUGAUCUAAGGUUGGUUCGUUUCCCAAACUGUGAGAUGCACGUGCCAGACUUCAGAACUCUCACGCUCAGGAGUGUAUCCACGUGGUGGACAUAAGAUGGUGGCUUAAGAUCUGGUGUCGGUGGCUUUACUUUACUAGGAGAGUAGUGUGUCUUCAUCUCAUUCACUGCCGGAGGGUGGCGUAAGCAGUGACGCUAAGGUGGGGCACAGUCAAUAUCAUUUGCAUUUGACCAUUAUAGUUUUCUCCCGGCUUUAAAGUAACCUUAUCGUGAUAAAGGAUUACUAGCACUAGUUCAGAUGAUAGUCAUGUUAAAUUCGGACCAUGUUUGUGUCACAUUAUCAGCAACCAUGUGUUUAUGGUUCAUGCUUUCUGCAACUAAAAUUGAUAUAUAACCAGGUGAACUUCAAUCUAAAUUCUGAAAGUACUCAUGUGAUAGAUGGUGCCCGUCUGCAGAGUCCAUCAAUUGAAAAAUGGAGUGAGUGUAUCUAUAAGAGGGAAGGCUUGGAAAAUGUUCAGUUUUCUGGGAAUUCAACAAGGAUCUAAAAUAGAUUGUUUUCUUUGCUGAUUUCAAUGGUUGAAAUUUGAGAAGAUUGUGUCCACAUAACACAACUAUUACUGGUCCUUCUGUUGCAAUUUAUCCUCUAAAGCUCUAGCAUGUCUUCCAAUUCCCACUUCCCUGUUACUCCAGGAAAGCUAUUUCUGUCAUUGUGAAGAAGAAAAGAGAAUGUACAUAUCGAUGCUUUUAAGUGACUGGAGCAUUUAUAUCAGGUGGUCUGCAGCCAUAUAUGCCACUUUGUGAAGAUUGGAACAGUCAAUCACUAGGCUAUAUAUUAGUGUGGCCCAGCCACUUUAAUCAAGGACAAGUCUUCAUACUUAAAGUCAAAUUCUGCCUUUAGUCUCAUUAUAAAUUUCUGUUUAAAUAUUAAGCAAACAUUUGUUUAAUGCGAUUAAGACAGUACUAACUCAAUACCUGUUCUAUUUUUGGAUGCAAAUGCUUGAUGGUUUCAUCAUUGGAUGGGAUAAAGGUGCAUUCAUGAUUAGGAAUACUAGUAGUUAUAUUUUAAUUCUCUUUUUUCUCAAUGAGACUUGUUGGCACAAUUUUGCUGUUGAGAAACCUACCUCUCCAUGGAAAAUAAGUUGUGAUUGAUAGUACUGGAUAUAUUCAAGAAAUCUAAAUAUAGAUAGCACAAAAUAUUAUCGACAUAAAUAGCAUUAACAGCGUACGUAUGUCUCAGUGCUCAUCAGCUAUAAGCAUGGGGCAAACACUUACUAUGAGCAACUUACGUCAAAAUUCCAGAAUAGGACAUAGAAGUGACAGAUAUAGAACAUUGCAUAUGAGUCACAAGAAAGGAAAUUACGGGUGCAUAGCAGCUCUUAUUUUACAUACUACUACUCAUACUGAUCAAAGUCACUCAGUUGGGAUGGGUGGGAGUAGGAGGUUUGUGGGGUGGCUUGUGCGGAGGAGUUGGCAGCUUCUUUCCAGGACCUGGUUGCUUCUCUGCUGGAGUUGAAGGAGGCUUAAUCUUCCGAGGUGGCUUGUAUGAGUCUUCAGCAUUCUCAGCUGGAGGGUGACCAGGGUUGUGACCAUAAUGUGGUGGCUUCUCUCCCUUAGGUGGUUUGCCAACUGGGGUUGGUGGCUUGUAUGAGUCUUCAGCAUUCUCAGCAGGAGGGUGACCAGGGUUGUGACCAUAAUGUGGUGGCUUCUCUCCCUUAGGUGGUUUGCCAACUGGGGUUGGUGGCUUGUGUUCUGGGAGUGGCUUCUCCCCCUUGGGAGGUUUUUCCAAUGGGGUUGGUUUGUGUUCAGGAGGUGGCUUCUCCACUGGAGGCUUGUGUUCAGGAGGUGGCUUCUCCACCGGAGGCUUGUGUUCAGGUGGUGGCUUCUCCACCGGAGGCUUAUGCUCUGGUGGUGGCUUCUCGAAUGGGGGAUGCUUAGGAUAAUCAGCAAGUGAGGGGGCGGUGAGAACCACCAGGCCAAGCAACACCACUAGCAAAUAUGUAGGAGACAUCUUUGGGUUUGGGCUCAGAUGGUGCAAAACUAGGAGAAUUGGCUAGCCUUUUAUAGCGGAUCGUACCCAAUAAUGAAAUGACACGUGUCAUUAUGACCCAUGUGUAAUGGGGUCGAUUUGGGUCCUACAGUGUUGAAAACUUCGACAUCCACUUUUGGCCUUUUGCUUUCUCUACAGCCGCCUUGCUUUUUCCCUCUUUCCUUUUGUUUUCCUCCUGCCCCAUUCUAUCAACUAAACACAAUUAUGUAGUUGUUUAAUUCUUAAAUGAGAUAUUAUCCGUCAAUCGUAUUAUAUUUUAUCAAGAGAGAACGGAGUGCAAUGUGGCUGUAAUUUUAUCGUUUAGUUUUAUCUCUUGGACCACUGCAUUUUUGUUAAGAGGUGCAAUAAUACACGUCUUUAUCUGCCAUUCAAUAUUUACAGUAAAGAGAGGGCACAAAACUCUUCACUUCGCACCAUAAUUAUUUUGUUUUCUGGACACCCCGGGGCCCUUUGGUUGGUUUGGGGGUCAGAAAGUGAACAUCAUAGGGGGUUUUUCCCUUAUGUGCAUUUGUAUCUGAUGGCUUUAACUCGCCUUGUUACUACAAAGAAACUGUCACAGAUAGGAACUUAUUCCAGGCUGAGUAUCUCCUCAUAGACCCUAUAAAAGAAGACAAGUCAUAAUGAACAUCUAACCUUUGUUCAAUUUGAUUCAAUGCCCCCAUUGUGUCCAUCUCACAAAUCUGAAUUAUUAUAUCCAUUGAAUACAUAAAUUAAUGAAGAAAAUAUGAAACCCAAGAUACAUCUCUGCACAACCUCAACCCUGGUUGCUAUGUUUCCCUUCUAUUCACAUGAUUUGAUGCUAAUUGCCAAACUUGCAACAAGCCCUGAGUUUGACACCUAGUAUCGAUGGGCGAAUUUAAAGUCUCCUCCAAACAUAUAUUCCACAGCUUGAAGCUCACAGAAGAUGUUACAGGCAGGGAAAAACCUUCAGAGUUCGCUACCAAAGAUAAUUAUUAAGGAGAUAUCACAAAGAGAAUUCCAAGGGGUCUGAAUCAAAGACAAAUUGGUCGUUCGUGGGGGUUCUUACUUUCUUUUGGGUAUAACUCACUGAGGGCACUGUCUUUGUUAUUUGCAUUUCACAUUUAGAGUUCUGUUCUGGAAACAUAUAAAAGGAGCAUCAUUUUGUUCUUGGGUAACCCAUAGUCGUGAGUGGGUCCAUUUGCAUGCUACUUAGUUGAAAAGUUGGACCAUUUGCUCCGACGCCUACCUCCCGGAUUCCAUGCUCGGAUAAAACAAGAAUAAAAAAAAUAUUUAUAAUUUACAAAUGGGGGAAAGAAAAAAAUGUCAACAACAAACCAGGAAAAAAGAGUAGUAAAAUUCAUGUCACAUGCUAGUGAGAGAAGGGGUUGUUACACUCACUCGAAGUUCUUUCCAAAAUAUCGCAUGGUAUUUUAUUUUAUGUGUCAGCGCAGUUGUGAAUGGAACGUGCAAAAGUCCAAAUUGGCGUUUUUCCUUUUCCCGUGUAGGAUGGCGACCUUUAAUAAAUAUUUAAAACAAAAAACGAAAAAAAGGAGGGAAAAGGGAUCAGAAAAGAUAAAACAAUGUGUACAAGAGCUCAAUUAGUUUGCAAAUUACUGUUUGGAUUUUGAUAGUAUUUUAUUUGUCCAUCUAUAUUUGAUGGAAAAGAGAAUUUAAGAUAUUUCUGAAACAAAAGCAUUAGUGUAAAACUAAAUUAAGGUAUAAUUAAGUUAGUUCAAUGCAUUAAUUUAAGAAACUUGAUCUAUCCAAAGUACAAAAUUAGAUGAAAUCCAUUUCAAUGGUUAAAAUGAUCAAAAUCAAACUUUUUCUAAGUAUUUUUUAAAAGCAUCAAUAUUAAAAGACAAUUUUAUAUUUAGUCGGAGUUUGGACAAAACCAAAAAGCACACAAAAUCCAAGCGACCAUCUCUAGCUUGGAUAGUCACUUGAUCCCACCUAGAGAUGUGCAUGAGUAAAAGGAUUUGAAAAUGGAAAUUGACUAAAUAUUUAGUUGAUCAAUUAAAUUUGCAAUGUCAUAUGCAAUCCUAAUAGCUAGUCAUCUAAUCAAUUAGGUAGUCAAUCAAGUGUUUGUAAUGACUAUUUUGUACAAAAAACCACAUGUAUAGUUAAAUAUAAUGCAUUUCAUUUAUAAAUCUUCUAAUUCUUGAAUAACGAUCCUAUCAUCCUUUGAAAAUUUUUAUUACACCUUUUUUACUUUUGUUCUAAAACUUACAUAUCACCCUUAAUUGUACCAUGAGAACCUAGCUAUUUUUUUUUUUUUUGUAAUUCAUCAAAGUUAGCUUUUGUAUUCAUUGUUGUAUUAUUUUUAGUAUAACUUAGAAAGCUAGUGUUUUCAAGUGAGUAAAAUUAACUUGUAAAUAUUGUAAAGAUUCAUUGAUAUGUAUCUUAAACUAAGUGUACAAAUUAAAACAUUUGCUAGUAGAUUUUCUCAAAAUUUAGAAUAGAGCUUGAGGCUAUUGAAAUAGGUGGGGUUACACCAAACCACAUCACAUCGUUGUUUGCACCUUUUUUCACUCUCUUUUACUUAGUUUCUCUAUAUUUGUUGUCUAGUAAUAUCCUAUAGGCUUGAUGGGUUAGGGAGCAUCCCUUUGUGAAAAAAUUUCAUUCAAUUCUUAGUUGUAUUACGCAUAUAUAAAAUGCCUCAUUGUUUUAAUGGUAUUCAGUCGUGGCAUCACAGAUAUGGGCAUCUAAAUUUUAAAAGUUUGAAACUUUUGUAAAGCAUGUUGAUAAAAUCCAUGAGAGUUGUGUACUUGGGAAGCAACAUCGAGGUGACUUUAUUUUUUUUUCCUUUUAUAAUGCCACACCUAAGUCCGGUUUCUAAAUGCUAAAGUGAAAGGGUAGGUAUGGACCAUUGAAAUGUGAUCACAACUUUUGGCCUUUUCCUUUCUCUGCAGCCAUGUUGUCUCUUUUUUCUUUUGCAUGAUUUUCUUACCAAAACAGAAUCAUAGACUUGUUUAGUCUCUAAGCUACUAUAUUAUAUCUCGGUGGACUUUUAAGAGUGCAACCGACAUAGAGCACAUGCAAGUGGGCAUAUGGGACAUGAAAUUUCUUCUUACAAAGAUUGCAUGAUUUUUAUAUUAGAGUUGUUCACGUGCAAUGUAUUUAGCUUGUUUUGCAGUUAAAUUAAUUGGAUAAGUAAACAUUGGCAUUUCUAAAUCGACUGUGAAGUGCUUCAUGUACGUGUAAAGUAUUAGAAAUUUCUUUCUUGGCAACUUGUUUUUUCCUUGCCAUCUACUGGUAGGUUUGACUAAAAUUAUAUUCCCUGUCAUGCUAAUUAAUUUUCAUGUGCAUGCUCAAAAGAAGAGUAUGACCUUAGUGCACCAAAAUCACUUUGAUUAAUUUGUGAUAGGUUUUUUUGCAUCAUUUAGAUAAUGUUUAGUUCUAAGAAAAAUUUAUAUAAAAAUGGUUUAUUUAUCUUACAUAUAUAUAUAUAUAUAUAUAUUUUUUUUUUUUUCAUUUUUUUUUCUUCUAUUUUAUUUAUUUAUUUUAUUUUCCUUAUGUUUUCCUCACAUUUUCCGGAACUAAACAUAGUCUUACGAAAUCAACAAUUGCCUUCAACUGAGUAGAUUCUGUUGUUUUAGCAAUGUUAGGCUGCUAACUUGUGGUGGUACGAACCAAAUGACCCAUGUUAAUCUUGGCUUGGUUUGAUUUGGCUCUAUCUCAGAGAGCUAAAGGAUCACGUCAACUCUGGUUUCUACUAUUCAGGUCCAUUCCCAGAUGAACUGGUUCAAAUUUGAGAAAAUGGUAACAGACCUUUAGUGAUGUUGGUUUGGAGCCAGUUGCCAAACCCGCCCUGAGCUUUACCACUAAUGUCAAGGGAGAAAGCCAUUUGAACAAAAACAAUAGCUUCAAGAGACUGAAUCGUGGAUGAAAUCUGAUCCACAUUUCUUCUCAUUUUGGGAAAAAAUGAGAACUUAACUACAAAGAUUCUACUGCCUCAUUCAUAGUGCUUUUCCUGAUCCAAGGUUGGUUCGUUUCCCAAAUUGUGAGGUGCACGUGCCACUCUCACGCUCAGGAGUGUAUCCACGUGGUGGACAUCAGAUGGUGGCUUAAUAUCUGGUGUCGGUGGCUUUACUUUACUAGGAGAGUAGUGUGUCUUCAUCUCAUUCACUGCCGGAGGGUGGCGUAAGCAGUGACGCUAAGGUGGGGCACAGUCAAUAUCAUUUGCAUUUGACCAUUAUAGUUUUCUCCCGGCUUGAAAGUAACCUUAUCGUGAUAAAGGAUUACUAGCACUAGUUCAGAUGACCGUCAUGUUAAUUCGGACCAUGUUUGUGUCACAUUAUCAGCAACCAUGUGUUUAUGGUUCAUGCUAUCUGCAACUAAACUUGAUAUAUAACCAGGUGAACUUCAAUCAAAAUUCUGGAAGUACUCUUGUGAUAGAUGGUGCCUGUCUGCAGAGUCCAUCAAUUGAAAAAUGGAGUGAGUGUAUCUAUAAGAGGGAAGGCUUGGCAAAUGUUCAGUUUUCUGGGAAUUCAACAAGGAUCUAAAAUAGAUUGUUUUCUUUGCCGACUUCAAUGGUUGAAAUUUGAGAAGAUUGUGUCCACAUAUCACAACUAUUACUGGUCCUUCUGUUGCAAUUUAUCCUGUAAGGCUCUAACAUGUCUUCCAAUUCCCACUUCCCUGUUACUCCAGGAAAGCUAUUUCUGUCAUUGUGAAGAAGAAAAGAGAAUGUACAUAUCGAUGCUUUUAAGUGACUGGAGCAUUCAUAUCAGGUGGUCUGCAGCCAUAUAUGCCACUUUGUGAAGGUUGGAACAGUCAAUCACUAGGCUAUAUAUUGGUGUGGCCCAGCCACUUCAAUCAAGGACAAGUCUUCAUACUUAAAGUCAAAUUCUGCCUUUAGUCUCAUUAUAAAUUGCUGUUUAAAUAUUAAGCAAACUUUUGUUUAAUGCGAUUAAGACAGUACUAACUCAAUACUUGUUCUAUUUUUGGAUGCAAAUGCUUGAUGGUUUCAUCAUUGGAUGGGAUAAAGGUGCAUUCAUGAUUAUGAAUACUUGUAGUUAUAUUUUCAUUCUCUUUUUUCUCAAUGAGACUUGUUGGCACAAUGUUGCUGUUCAGAAACCUACCUCUCCAUGGAAAAUAAGUUGCGAUUGAUAGUACUGGAUAUGUUCAAGAAAGCUAAAUAUAGAUAGCACAAAAUAUUAUCGAUAUAAAUAGCAUUAACAGCGUACGUAUGUCUCAAUGCUCAUCAGCUAUAAGCAUGGGACAAACACUUACUAUGAGCAACUUACGUCAAAAUUCCAGAAUAGGACAUAGAAGUGACAGAUCUAUAUAUAUAGAACACUGCAUAUGAGUCACAAGAAAGGAAAUUACGGGUGCAUAGCAGCUCUUAUUUUACAUACUACUACUCAUACUGAUCAAAGUCACUCAGUUGGGAUGGGUGGGAGUAGGAGGUUUGUGGGGUGGCUUGUGCGGAGGAGUUGGCAGCUUCUUUCCAGGACCUGGUUGCUUCUCUGCUGGAGUUGAAGGAGGCUUAAUCUUCCGAGGUGGCUUGUAUGAGUCUUCAGCAUUCUCAGCUGGAGGGUGACCAGGGUUGUGACCAUAAUGUGGUGGCUUCUCUCCCUUAGGUGGUUUGCCAACUGGGGUUGGUGGCUUGUAUGAGUCUUCAGCAUUCUCAGCAGGAGGGUGACCAGGGUUGUGACCAUAAUGUGGUGGCUUCUCUCCCUUAGGUGGUUUGCCAACUGGGGUUGGUGGCUUGUGUUCUGGGAGUGGCUUCUCCCCCUUGGGAGGUUUUUCCAAUGGGGUUGGUUUGUGUUCAGGAGGUGGCUUCUCCACUGGAGGCUUGUGUUCAGGAGGUGGCUUCUCCACCGGUGGCUUGUGUUCAGGAGGUGGCUUCUCCACCGGAGGCUUAUGCUCUGGUGGUGGCUUCUCCACCGGAGGCUUAUGCUCUGGUGGUGGCUUCUUGAAUGGGGGAUGCUGAGGGUAAUCAGCAAGUGAGGGGGCGGUGAGAACCACCAGGCCAAGCAACACCACUAGCAAAUAUGUAGGAGACAUCUUUGGGUUUGGGCUCAGAUGGUGCAAAACUAGGAGAAUUGGCUAGCCUUUUAUAGCGGAUCGUACUCAAUAAUGAAAUGACACGUGUCAUUAUGACCCAUGUGUAAUGGGGUCGAUUUGGGUCCUACAGUGUUGAAAACUUCGACAUCCAGUUUUGGCCUUUUGCUUUCUCUACAGCCGCCUUGCUUUUUCCCUCUUUCCUUUUGUUUUCCUCCUGCCCCAUUCUAUCAACUAAACACAAUUAUGUAGUUGUUUAAUUCUUAAAUGAGAUAUUAUCGGUCAAUCGUAUUAUAUUUUAUCAAGAGAGAACGGAGUGCAAUGCAGCUGUAAUUUUAUCGUUUACUUUUAUCUCUUGGACCACUGCAUUUUUGUUAAGAGGUGCAAUAAUACACGUCUUUAUCUGCCAUUCAAUGUUUACAGUAAAGAGAGGGCACAAAACUCUUCACUGCUCUGCAUGUGUCCCAAAAAUGCGAUUGGACAAAUUAUGAUUUGCAUGCUAAAAAGAGGCAAAUGAGGUUAAUUCGCACCAUAAUUAUUUGGUUUUCUGGACACCAUAAAAAGAUGUUAUACAGGCAGGGAAAAACCUUCAGAGUUAGCUACCAAAGAUAAUUAUCAAGCAGAUAUCACCAAGAGAAUUCCAUAGAGUCUGAAUCAAAGACAGAUUGCUCGCUCGUGGGGGUUCUUACUUUCUUUUGGGUAUAACUCACUGAGGUCACUGUCUUUUUUAUUUGCAUUUCACAGUUAGAGUUCUGCUCUGGAAGGUUUGUUCUGGAAACAUAUAAAAGGAGCAUCAUUUUGUUCUUGGGUAACCCAUAGUCGUGAGUGGGUCCAUUUGCAUGCUACUUAGUUGAAAAGUUGGACAAUUUGCUCCGACGCCUACCUCCUGGAUUCCAUGCUCGGUAAAACAAGAAUAAAAAAAAAUAUAUAAUUUACAAAUGGGGGAAAGAAAAAAUGUCGGAAAAAAUAGUAAAAUUCAUGUCACAUGCUAGUGAGAGAAGGGGUUGUUACACUCACUCGAAGUUCUUUUCAAAAUAUCGAAUGGUAUUUUACUUUAUGUGUCAGCGCAGUUGUGAAUGGAACGUGCAAAAGUCCAAAUUGGCGUUUUUAUUUUUCCCAUGUAGGAUGGUGACCUUUAAUAAAUAUUUAAAACAAAAGACGAAAAAAAAAAGGAGGGAAAAGGGAUCACAAAAGAUAAAAUAAUGUUUACAAAAGCUCAAUUAGUUUGCAAAUUACUGUUUGGAUUUUGAUAGUAUUUUAUUUGUCGUUCUAUAUUUGAUGUAAAAGAGAAUUUAAGAUAUUUCCGAAGCAAAAGCAUUAGUUUGCUCUGUGAUGUCCCACAUCGAAUAGGGGAGAAAGUUUCUGGCGCUAUAUAUGUAGAGGCUCCUCUUAACCAAGUAGAUGCGUUUUAAAACCAUGAGGGCCCCCUUAGGUCCAAAGCGGACAAUAUCUACAUGAUUGGGUGUAAGUCAUUACAAAUGGUAUCAGAGCCGAUCCCCGACCCCGGUGUGGGGGUUUGUUUGGCCCUGUAAGGGGUGUUUGUCUGUUUGACCCCACAAUCCCAUGGGACACAACGAGGACGUUGUGUCUGCAUGGGGGGGCGUUUGUGAUGUCCCACAUCGGAUAGGGGAGAAAGUUCCUAGUGCUAUAUAUGUAGAUGUUUCUCUUAACCAAGUAGAUGCAUUUUAAAAUUGUGAGGGCCUCUUUGGGCCCAAAGCGGACAAUAUCUACAUGGUUGAGUGUAAGUCAUUACAUGCUCCAUGUCAAUUUCAGCAUUUCUCAUAUGUUUCACACAUACACAGAAGAGCAUCGUUUUUUAAAGCAUGCAUUUAUGUUGGAUUAAUUUGGAUUUUGUGGGAACUGGGGCAAGGAUCACAUGGAAGAGAGGUUGACUUUUUUCAGUACUUCAAUGGUUGAAAUAUGUGAAGGCUUGAUUGAUACUAAAGCUUGAAAUUGCGACUCUGUCAUUUGUAAAAAAAUAUGACAGCUUCCAUGCUCUCGUUUGGUUGCAUUGUCCGGUCGAGAGGUGCAAAAAGCAUUCUCUCUCUUCUAAUAGUCUUUUCGUUUAAAUCAAGGGAUUUGCCUUCCCGGUCGAGGUCCAAUAGAGGGUAACGGUCACCUACUAAACAUUAAAUGCUCCAACAACUAGUGAACUGAUCGACCCCAGCUCGACUAGUUGAGGUUACUUUUUGGUUUUCUUGUCUCCCGAGGUUAGAAACCUAUAAAUAGAGAGCUUCACUUCAUUUAUGAGUAAGAGAACACCUAAAUUUAUUUGUUUACCUACUUGUUUUUGCCAUAAAAGCUCUCAUUUCUUUUCUUGGUGUAUUAAAUCUCCAUUUGCAUAUCCUUUAGUGCACCUUUGUGAUUCAUUCUAGCCUUGAGUUGUAUUUAAGCCUUUGUUGAGCUAGGUUGAGAGUUUCAUACUUGUUUAUUGAGUGUUAAAGCCUUCAAGUGAGUUAAAACUUGAAGAGAUUGUGUAAGAGCCCAUUGGAGUCGGAAUCCAAGUGUAAAGGUGAUUAAAAGCUUGGUUGAAGCUUCAAGUUAGUGGAACUCUCACUCGGUUAUGAGCUUGAGAAGAGUGGACAUAGACAAGGCAGUGUCGAACCACUAUAAAAUCUGAGUUUGAUUUCUCUAACCUUAUCUCUUUAUAUUUGCUUCUCUUGUGCUUAAAUUUUUUGUGUUUAAAAAGAAUUUUUAAAAACUCAAUUCACCCCCUUCUUGGGAGUUUUUCUCUUUUAAGAUCAGCUUUUAUUUUCUCAAUUGGUAUCAGAACUAUGCCUCUUGUUUAAGACUUAAUCGUCUAAGAGGAAAUGGCUAAUCCAUCAAGUUCAUCUCACAUUGAAAGUUUUGCAACCAAUAGACUUCUUUUUUUUUUUUUGCGGGAACUGAUUAUCCCUAUUGGAAAACUAAAAUGACUUGGUUUUUACAAUCAAUUGAUUUAGAUGUAUGAGAUGCCAUUGAAGAUGACCUAACUUUUCCUUCAAAACUAGUUGAUGGAGUCAUGGUUCCAAAACCUAAGCAAGAAUGGGAUGAGCGUGAUUGAAGAAAUUUUCAAUUAAAUGCUAAAGUCGUUUAUACUUUGCAAUGCUCUAUGGACAGAAAUGAAUAUAAUAGAAUAUGUCAAUGCAAAUCGGUUAAAGAAAUUUGGAGAUUGCUUGAAAUAACUCAUAAAGGAACAAAUCAAGUUAAAGAGUCAAAAAUCAAUUUACUUGUUCAUAGAUAUGAAUUGUUUUUUAUGAAAGAUAAUGAAACUAUUGUUAAGAUGAUCACUAGGUUCACCAACAUUGUUAAUGGUCUUAAAGCCUUGGGAAAGACCUACAAGGAAUCCGAAAACGUGAUGAAGAUCUUGAGGUCACUUCCAUCAAAGUGGCAUACCAAGGUCACCGCAAUUUAAGAAGCAAAAGACUUGAUCAAGCUACCUUUGGAGGAGUUCAUAGGGUCAUUGAUGACAUAUGAAAUCAAUUUGGCAAAGAAGUAACAAAAAGGUGAAGACAAAAAGAAGAAGAACAUAACUCUCAAAGCUACAACUAAGGAAGAAGAAGUUGAAGAAGAAAAACAAAUUGAAGAAGAUGAAGAUUUAGCCCUCAUCACAAGAAAGUUCAACAAAUUCAUGAGGGGUGAAAGGUUUAGAAGAAGAAGGUUCACUUCUAGAAGAGACUUUUCUAAAAAGGAAUCUUCAUCUAAUGGUGACAAAAAGAGAUGGGAAGAGAAAAGAGACUUGGUGUGUUUCAAGUGCAAGAAACCGGGACACAUUAAAUAUGAUUGUCCUCUCUACAAAAGUGAAGUCAAGAGGAAAAAGAAUAAGGCAAUGAUGGCCACUUAGAGUGAAAGUGAAGAUGAAUCAUCCGAAGAAGAAAAUGAGAAAGAAGUGGCAAACAUGUGUUUCAUGGCAAUAGAUGAACUUGAUGAGGUAAAAUCUAACCUUAGUGAUUAAGAUAUACAUGAUGCAUUUGAAGAAUUGUAUGAGGAUUUUUAAAAACUUAGUUUGAAAAAUAUUUCUCUUAAAAAGAAAGUUCAACAACUUGACAAAGAACUUAGAGAAGUAAAAGAAAAAUUUUCAAAUGUUAAAGUUUCUAAAACUCAUCUUGAAAAAGAAAAUGAGAUUCUAAGAAAGAAAAAUGAAUAGUUGAACUCCUCUCUUUCAAUCUUUUCUUCUAGACAAAAAUCUUUUGAAAUGAUUCUAACUAGCUAAAAAUGUGUUUUUGACAAACAAGGGUUAAGAUUUAAAUCUUCAAAAAAUCAAAAGUAUUUUAAAAACUAUUUUGUAAAGGAAUCCACAAGUGCAAGUCCUUCCACUACUUGCAACUUUUGUGGAAGAGAAUGGCACAUUAGUAGUACGCCCUUUAAGAAAUGGUUCUCAAAAGAAUUUAAAUGCAAAAACUAAAAAAGAUUUGGAUUGAGAAAUCCAAGGUCACUAACCCUCAAGGACCCAAAAAGAUAUAGGUACCUAAAUCAACUUGAGUUUUAUGUUGUAAGGUUCAAAGAAUGAUAAGUGGUUCUUAGAUAAUGGUUGCUCAAGACACAUGACCGGAGAUGAAUCCAAGUUUGCUUUUCUUAAAAAGAAAAAUGGAGGAUAUGUUACCUUUGGAGACAAUGCAAAAGAAAGGAUGAUUGGUCAAGGCAACAUUGGUAAUGGCACAUCCUCUCUCAUUGAAAGUGUUUUAUUAGUAGAUGGUUUCAAACAUAACCUUUUAAGCAUUAGUCAAUUUUGCGACAAAGGUUUUUAAGUGAUUUUUUAAGCAUCUCAUUGCAUCAUCAAGGAUAUUCAAAAUGAUAAAACCAUUUUCAUGGGCCAUAGAUGUGAUAAUGUUUAUGCUAUAAAUAUUUCAAAAUAUGAUGGCCAUGAUAGAUGUUUUUCAAGCAUGCAUGAUCAAAGUUGGUUGUGCCAUAGGAGAUUGAGACAUGCUAACAUAGACCUCAUUUCCCAACUCAACAAAGAUGAACUUGUUAGAGGCCUUCCCAAAAUAAUUUUUUAAAAAGAUAAAGUUUGUGAAGCUUGUCAAGUGGGAAAGUAAAUCAAAAACUCUUUUAAAAACAAAAACUUCAUUUCCACAUCUAGGCCACUUGAGUUGUUGCAUAUGGAUUUAUUUGGUCCCUCUAGGACACCAAGUCUUAGAGGAAAUUCUUAUGCAUAUGCUAUUGUGGACGACUUCUCUAGAUACACAUGAGUCUUGUUUUUUAGUCAAAAGAAUAAAGUUUUUUAUGAGUUUUCAAAGUUUUGCAAUAAGAUUCAAAAUGAAAAAGGUUUUUCAAUUACUUAUAUAAGAAGUGAUCAUGGGAGAGAAUUCGAAAAUAUUGAUUUUGAAGAGUAUUGCAAUGAGCAUGGAAUUGACCACAAUUUUUUGGCUCUUAGAACUCCUCAACAAAAUGGGGUAGUUGAAAGGAAAAAUAGAACUCUUCAAAAAAUGACAAGAACCAUACUAAAUGAAAACAACUUACCAAAAUAUUUUUAGGCCAAAACGGUUAACACUUCUUGUUAUGUUUUAAAUAGAGUAUUAUUGAGGCUCAUACUUAAGAAAACUCCCUAUGAGCUUUGGAAAAACAAAAAACCCAACAUUAGUUAUUCCAAAGUCUUUGGAUGCAAUAUUUUAUAAUAAACACCAAAGACAAUCUUGGAAAAUUUGAUGCAAAAUUGGAUGUUGGAAUUUUCCUUGGUUACUCAACUUCAAGUAAAGCUUUUCGAGUUUUAACAAAAGAACCAUGGUUGUAGAGGAGUCCAUCCAUGUUAUUUUUUAUGAAUCUCCAAGAAAGAGAGAGGAUUGAUGAUGAUUUAGGUUUGAAGACCUCUAUAGGAAGAUUGCAAAUCGAAGAUAGAAGACAACAAGAAGAAAAUGGAGAGAAUCCAAAGAAAGAAGGAUCACCAUUGGCACUACCCCCUCAUCAACAAGCGCAAGGUGAAUCAAGUCAAGAGCUUCCUAAAGAAUGGAAGUUUGUCAUCAAUCACCCACAAGAUCAAAUUAUAGGCAAUCCAUCUAGUGGGGUAAGAACUAGAUCCUCUCUUAGAAAUAUUUGCAAUAAUCUAGCUUUUAUCUCUCAAAUUGAGCCUAAAAAUAUAAAUGAUGUUUUAGAUGAUGAAAAUUGGAUAAUUGCAAUGCAAGAAGAGUUAAAUCCAUUUGAAAGAAGUGGAGUAUGGGAAUUAGUACCAAGACCUUCAAAUCAAAGUGUUAUUGGAACUAGAUGGAUCUUUAGAAAUAAAAUGGAUGAAAAUAGCAUAAUUGUUAGAAAUAAAGCAAGAUUGGUAGCCCAAGGUUUUAAUCAAGAAGAAAUGAUAGAUUAUGAAGAAACCUUUGCCCCCGUAGCUAGGUUGGAAGCCAUUAGGAUGCUACUUGCCUUUGCAUGUUUUAAAGACUUUGUUUUAUAUCAAAUGGAUGUGAAAAGUGCUUUUUUAAAUGGUUUUAUAAAUGAAGAAGUAUAUGUUGAACAACCACCCGGUUUUCAAAGUUUCAACUUUCCUAACCAUGUUUUUAAACUUAAAAAGACACUUUAUGGUUUGAAACAAGCACCUAGAUCAUGGUAUGAAAAAUUGAGUAAAUUUCUUUUGAAAAAAAUGUUUUAAAAUGGGAAAAAUUGACACAACUCUUUUUAUAAAAACCAAAGAAAAUGAUAUGCUCUUAGUUCAAAUAUAUAUUGAUGAUAUCAUUUUUGGUGCUACUAAUGUCUCUCUUUAUGAAGAAUUUUCUAAGUGCAUGCAUAGUGAGUUUGAAAUGAGCAUGAUAGGAGAACUCAACUUCUUCCUUGGACUUCAAAUCAAGCAACUAAAGGAAUGAACCUUCAUCAAUCAAGCAAAGUAUAUAAGAGAUCUUCUCAAAAGGUUCAACAUGGAAGAAGCCAAAACAAUGAAGACUCUAAUGAGCUCAUCCAUUAAGCUUGAUAAGGAUGAGAAAGGUAAAUCCAUUGACUCUAUUAUGUAUAGAGGCAUGAUAGGUUCUUUGCUCUAUUUGACCACUAGUAGACCUUACAUUAUGUAUAGUGUGUGUUUGUGUACUAGAUUUCAAUCUUGUCUUAAAAAAUCUCACUUAAGUGUCGUGAAAAGAAUCCUCAAAUAUUUGAAAGGGACAAUGGACAUAGGCUUAUGGUAUCCUAAGAGUGAUAACUUUGAAUUAAUUGGUUUUUUGGAUGCUGAUUUUGUCAGUUGUAGGGUUGAAAAAUAAAACACUAGUGGCACUUUUCAUUUCUUAAGACACUUACUUGUCUCAUGGCAUAAUAAGAAGCAAAAUUUGGUAGCUUUGUCAACAGCAGAAGCUAAAUACAUAGCAACUGGUUUAUGUUGUGCACAAAUCCUUUGGAUGAAAUAAACACUUAGUGAUUUUGAUUUAUCUUUUGAGCAUAUUCCUAUUAAAUGUGAUAAUAGUAGUGCCAUAAGUAUAUCAAAAAAUCUCGUGCAACACUCUAGGACUAAGCAUAUAGAGAUUAGACAUAAUUUUCUUAGAUAUCAUACACAAAAGGAUGAUAUAACACUUGAAUUUGUAAGCAUAAAAGACCAACUUGCCGAUAUCUUUACAAAACCUCUAAGAACAUUUUGUUGAUAUUAGAGGACAAUUAGGAGUGAUUUCUUUAUGAUCUAAUGUGAUGAAUUCUUGAUGAAUAUACUUUUUGAUUGCAUGAAUUUCAUGUCAUAUAUGCAUCAUAUAGAAAUAUACUUAGAUAAUGGUCAAAUUUCGACCAAAAAUCAAAAUUCCCAUGGCAUUAGGCAUAAAAAUUUUGGAAUUUCAACUGAAAAUGGUAGGAGGAGGAUCACAAAAUGAGAAAGUAUGCAAAAAUUGAAAAAUCAAAACGUUGACCAAGCGGUCAAUCGGACUAGACCGAUCGACUAGUUUGUCGAGAUUUAGGAUUUUUAAGAGACUCCAACGCUUCAAUUUUUGCACCGUUCUCCUCUAUUUCUUCACGGUUUCUCUGAUUUUGUCUUUUAGAGACUAAUUUGAGUGCGUUUUGGAUCAAUUGAAGCAUUUUGGAUUGGAUUUUAGGAAGAUUGAAAGUUAAGGUUUCGGAUUUGGGUCGCCUUCUCUUCCUCUCGCGUGUCACAAUCAGCUUUAGCAUUGUUCUCUUUCCAUUUUCACACACCUAGGGUUUCAGUUGUGAGCAUCUCUCUCUCUUUACCAACCACUACUCCCUUGCUUCUUCCAUAUGGCUCCUAGGCGAGAGUCCGCUACUUCUAGGGCACAAGGCAAGCACCCAACUGAGUCGUCUCAGUCAAAGGCACGUCGAAAAGUGAGAUUUGACAUUGCCUUGUUCAGUUCCAUGGAGGACUACCAACUAUACAAGCAACACUUUGCUUAGAGACGAGUAGUUCCCAAGAGAAAUAUUAAUUUUCCUCAACUUCAGCAUUUCGAAUUUAAGGGUCUAUUUACUAGGAUGGUUGGUUGUCUAUUGUCACAAUUUCGGAGCCGGUUUUCCUGACCUUAGUGCGAGUUUUUUACUCGAGGGCGACUUAUGGCAUGGGUGGCAUGAUCAUUUCUACUGUUGGAGGAGUUGAGAUCUGUCUGGACCCAGAGAGCAUCUGCCAUAUUUUCGAUAUUGCUCUGGUUGGACUCAAAGUAUACAAGUCCAAAAUGUGGCCCAUUGUGCCAGGAUUUGAGCUUAGAGAGGUCAUUCAGAGGAUUUGUGAACUUCCAGACGCCCAGGAGAUGGGCAAACCAUUGCCACACAGUUUGACGGUCAUCAACAGGGUGCUACACCAUAUAUUGUGCUCUAUCUUUCUACCACGAAGUGGACAUUGAGAUGAGGUCUCUUAUUAUGAGGCAUUCCUUAUUGACUCCAUUCUAACGGAGAGACGAAUUCAUCUACUAUGUCAUCAUUCACUAAGCCUCCUCACAGUGACAUACCACCUCAUCAGGCACCUCUUGCUCCUGACCAUGCUCCAUUGAUGGAUUUAUUUACUCAUAUUAGCUCUCUAGGCACUCGCAUGAAGGAGUUUGUUGUAGUUAGUGAUACAUGGUUCUACUCCAUAGAGGAUCGCAUGGAUCAGUAUCAGACUGGCUUCACGUCACAGUUUGAGUAUCUCCAAUAGAGGAUUGAGCAUAUUGAGGAUCACUUGAGCAUGAGAAGAUGAUGGCUUUUCUAUGCUCUGUGUUUCCACCUCCACCUCGUCAACCUUGAUUUCUUAGAGACCCAUUGUUUUCAUUUUGUAAUGUUGCCAAAAGGGGGAGAUAUUUAGGAUCUAGGACUCUAUAGGAGACUUACAUGCAUAUCAUUUUCAUAUCAUUGUUUGGAUCGUACAUAUUGGAUAGUGAUACUUUUUACUUAUAUAUGAUAUGCCUAUAUGUUUCAUGUCUUACAUUGUUUCUUAUUGCAAAUUAUCUCUAACAUGUCUUGAUUAUCUUUUUUUUAACUUCAUAAAUUUUGAUUGUUAACCCAUGAUUGGUUUGAGGGGAAGAUUCUUCUUCUCCUAGAUAACCAAGGUUUGUCAUCAUAAAAAAAUUGGAGAUUGUUAGCCCAAGGGUUCUCCUAAUCAUGUUUUGAUGAUAACAAACCAUGCUUAAGUUACUAAUUGGUUUGAAUUAUAAAGAAUUUCAAGUGUUAAUUUGAAAAUUCAUCAAAGAACCUAAUGGAUGCAAGAUCAAGAUUUUUGGAAGACCUUUAAUCAUAAGAAACAUAUGUAAGAUGAAUGCAUGGGUGCACUUAAGAUUUGCAUAUCAUUUCAUGCAUAUUUGGAAAACACGGUUUAUGCUUUAAAGUUACAUUUCCAUCAAAAUUUGAGAUCCAUCAAAUGAACCUUAGGAAAAAUGUUUUAAAAUUGGCAUAUAAUUUUACCUAAAGACCUUGCCUAAGUGUUAGAAGCAAAAGGACAAAAAAAAUAUAGGUUUUCUGGUCAAAAAUGGUGAACCAGUCAAGGCAUUGUCUAAAUCAGCUCAAUCGGCCAAGGUACCGGUCGAUCGGUUUCCCUUUCCCUGUCGAGAUCUAGUCAAGAGGUACAAAAAUCACAAUCUCUGUCUCUUUCUCUCUUUGUCUAUCUUCCAGUAGUCUUUCCUUCCCGGUCGAGGGAUUUGCCUUCCCGAUUGAGGUCCGAUUGAGAGUAAUAGUCACUUGCCAAAUAUUAAAUGCUCCAACAGUUAGUGAACUGGUCGACCCCCACCUUGCCCAGUUGAGGUUACUUUUUGGUUUUCUUGGCUCCCGAUGUUAGAAACCUAUAAAUAGAGAGUUCCACUUCAUUUAUGAGCAAGAGAACACUUGCAUUUAUUUGUUUACCUACUUGUUCUUGCCUUAAAAGCUCUCAUUUCUUUUCUUGGUGCAUUAAAUCUCCAUUUUGAUAUCCUUUAGUGCACCUUUGUGAUUCAUCUUAGCCUUGAGUUGUAUUUGAGCCCUUUUUUUAGCUAGGUUGAGAGUUUCAUACUUGUUAAUUGAGUGUUAAAGCCUUCAAGUGAGUUGAAACUUGUAGAGAUUAUGUGAGAGUCGAUUGGAGCCGAAAUCCAAGUGUAAAGGUGAUUAGAAGCUUGGUUGAAGCUUCAAGUUAGUGGAAUCCUCACUCAAUUAGGAGCUUGAGGAGAGUGGACGUAGCCAAGGAAGUGUCGAACCACUAUAAAAUUUGAGUUUGAUUUCUCUAACAUUGUCUCUUUAUAUUUGUUUAUCUUGUGCUUAAAUUUAUUGUGUUUAAAAAGAAUUUUUAAAUACCCAAUUCACCCCCCUCUUGGGUGUUUUUCUCUUUUAAAAUUAGCCUUUAUUUUCUCACAAACUAUUGUAGUAUAGUGGUUUUUAGGUGUCAUCCAUUAGGAUGAAUUGUUCUCGGUAAUUAAGGCGUGAAUGAGAGGAGAAUUAAUGAUUGUGAUUAAGUAAAAUUGAUUUGAAAAUUCAUGGUGAAAAAUCAAUUUAACAAUGGUUUCUAAUUGAGAAAAACAAUGAAAUGUGAAAUAAAAUAAAAUUAAUAGGAAAUGAAAUUCUCGAAGUUAGAAUUUUCUAAAAAACAAAUUCCAUGGUGAAUGGAUGUUGAGAUCUAAUUUUCAUCAAGUUAGAUUGAAAACCGAAAUUUUCAUAUAAACUGAUUUUUUAUUUAGUUUUAGGUCUAGAUUUAAUUUCCCUUAAAAUUAGGUUAUUUAAUCCAAGAAAUCAAUUCAAAUCAUAUAUUCAAUUCAUCUUAAAUUAUCUUCCAAUUAUUCACACAAUGCAACUAUUCAAUCUCAUCAAAUCUAGCUUUUAAGAAUUUAAUGAAUCUACCUAGUUUGCAUUGUAAUAGUCAUCCAUGACAAUUUGAAGAGAAAAAUAAUUCAAUUAAUCAAUCACUUGGAUCAAAUUACCUUUGCAAUUAAAGUUCAUUUCUCUAAUUCACCACAGAUUUUGUCUCUAGAUCCUCCUUUCUCAAAGAAAAAUGAGAUUUAGCCACACAUGAUUGGAGAUUUGGUCUCAUAAGGCAUGUUUAGCUAGUGAUAAAAUGAGAGAAAAUAAAGAAAAAUAGAGAAUUCGAUUAAGAAAGAAAAUCUAAAAAAUUCUACAAUUAGAAAUGUCCAAAAAGCUUUUUCAUGAGAAAAUCAAGUUUCUAUUUAUAGGCCAAGGUCAAGUGGACACUUGACAUCAUCUAAGAGGUCUUCCGGAAGCUUCUUCAUCAAGAAAUCUGGAGUUUAAUAAUAAAAUGGUCAUUUCACAAGAGCUCAAACAAUUUCGCAUGAUUAUGUGAAAUAAAAAAUGCAACAACAGCAAUUUACAUCUUCUUGGAGCAUUUCGCAUGACUGUGUGAAAUUUUCACAUGAUCAUGUGGAAUCGACUUGACAACUCUCAUUUAGCCUACAACAUAAUUCCACCUUUUGGUCCAUUUUUCAUAGUCAUGCGAAAUGGAAAUAUUUGAUUUUUAAGUUUUCUUUUGUCAUUUCUUUCAUUUCCUUCUCUUGAUUCCACUUCAACUACCUCCGAAUCCUGGUCCAAACCAAUUGCAUUACUUCUUUCAUUAUGCAUUUGGAUCAUCAUCAACAUUAUUUGUUCUCUUCAAUUUGAUUCAUCUCUUUUGUCACCAAUUUAUCAAAAUCAUACCUUGAAAUGACUCCAAAACUUCAUAAAACUUGUUAGUAACUCUUGCAAGGGCAACAACAUAUUAAUUAAGUGUUUUAGGCAUAGUUACUACUCAAAAGAUGCGAAACUCAUGAUAAUUAUUAUAUAAAAUAUGCUCUUUUUGAGUAGUAAUCAACUUUCUUGCAUAAGCAGACCUUUUAGGGUGGAGUACUAAAGACCAAUAUGCUUGUCCUUGUUGUAAUAAAGAAACUUGCUCUUAUUGAUUGCACCAUGGGAGAAAAUUUUGCUACAUGAGUUAUCAUCAAUUUCUUCCCACCAAUCAUAGAUUUAGACGUGACAAGAGGCCUCUUAAUGGCAAGGAGGAACUGACACUCACACUUAUACAAUUAUCGGGCAUUGAUGUGUUGCAACAAUUAGAAUAACUUACACCAAUUAUGUUGGGGAAGUCACAAAAGGCAAACAUGAAAACUAAAAGGAAAAAAGAAAAAUGUUACAUAUCACCACAACUGGAAAGAAAAAAGUAUUUACUUUCAUUUGCCAUAUUGGAAAGCACUUAUUUUACAUCAUAAUAAUUUAGACAUAAUGCAUAUUGAGAAAAAUGUGUGACAAUAUAAUUGAGACAUUGUUCAGUAUUGACGAAGAAACAAGGACAACCUAAAUAGUCAUCUCGAUUUACAAGCUCUAACUAUUAGAAAUGAGAUUCACCCAAUAGAAAGCAGGACCAAAUUUAUUUUGCUUGCAACAUGCUACUCACUCACCCCAAAUGAGAUUAAGGAAUUUUGCAAGUUUUUGAAAUCAAUAAAGGUCCCCAAUGGCUAUUCUUUCAAUAUCUCUCGUUAUGUGCAACUCAAUGAAAGGAAGAUAUAUGAGCUCAAAUUGUAUGAUUGUCAUGUCCUAAUGCAACAACUUCUCUCACUUGUAGUUCGUGGAGUUCUACAUAAGAAUGUUUGUGGAGUUAUCAUAGAAUUGCGUAAUUUUUUCAAGCAAUUGUGCUCAAAGGUGUUAGAAACAAAUCACUUACACCAACUUGAGAACAAUAUUAUUGUCAUACUAUGUAAAAUGGAGCAAAUAUUUCUUCCAUCAUUCUUUGAUAUUAUGGUGCAUUUACUUGUGCAUCUAGUAAGGCAAAGGUUGCAAGACUUGUGCAAUAUUGUUGGAUGUACCUAAUUGAACGAUAUUGUUAUAAUUUCAUAUGAAUCAUUUAAUUUUAUUUUAUAUUAUGUUCAGUUCAUUAACAUGUACAUUGGUCUACAUAUGGAUGAUGAUAGGUACCUAAGCACUUUAAAGUCAUAUGUGCGUAAUAGAACUUUUCUAGAAGGUUCUAUUGUAGAAAGGUACCUUGCAAAAGAAUGUACAACAUUUUAUUCUAGGUACUUGAAUGAUGUGGAAAUAAAGUAUAAUCACAAUGAUAGAAACUUUGUUGGUUUCAACACUAGAGGAGAUGAAAGGGGUUAUCUUUAAACAUAUUGGACAUGCAUUGGGAAAGCCCAUAUUUCAUUAACUUAGUUCAAAAGAGUGGUCACAAGCACAUUUAUAUGUGUUGACAAAUUGCGAAGAUGUCAUACCAUUCAUUGAGUAAAAAAUUUAUUUGAAUUUUAAUUAAAGCUCUAGUUUAUAUCCUUAAUCAAUGUUUUUUAAAUUCACAAGGAGCACAAGCAAACCAUCAAGGCUAGACCACAUAUACGUGUUUGAGACGUAGAUUUAAUUCAUAACAAGGAAUUUAUCAAGUGGUUUGAAAGACAUGUAAGUAUAUUCCUUAUUAUAAGGGAUUUAUUUCACAUUAUGUUUAUAUUGAAUCCAAACCUAUUAUUGAAUUGUAGGUUGAACAAUUACAUAAUGAAGGUCAUAUAUCUGAACACCUUCUCACAUUAUCAUGUGUUCCAAAUUCAUUAGUUACAUGCUUCAAAUGAUAUAUUGUCAAUGGAUUUAGAUCCCACAUUAAAGAACGUGAUAAAAAAGUUUUUAAAAAAAGACUCAGAAUAAUGGAAUUGUUGUAGUUGCAAAAACGUCAAGCUUUACAAGUGCAUGUGAUAUGAGUCCAAUUAUUAGUGAUGCUCUCUACUAUGGUGUUCUAACUAAAGUUGUUGAGUUACAUUAUCUUGGUGAAAAUAAGGUUGUUUUAUUCGAGUUUGAUUGGUGGGAUGUUACAAAUAUUGGAAAAUUGAUAAAAGAUGAUGAGUACAAUUACACAUUUGUUAACUUUGCAUGAAUUCUAACCACGAACGAACGAUUUGUACUUGCAUCUCCAGCAAAGUAAGUGUUCUAUGUGAAGAAUGCGAAUGAAUCAGAUUGGCAUACUAUCAUGGAGAUGCAACCUCAAGACCUCUAUAAGAUGAACGGGAUAGGAUCCAAUGGUGAUUUUGAACCAUUUCAACAAAGUGAACUACAUGAUCACUAAUAUAUCUCAGAUUUAGUUGAUGAAGAUAUAAUCAAGUGGAACAAAAGUGAUGUUUUAGGACUAAUCAUCCUAAAAAAUAUUGUAGUUUCUUAAAAAAAAAAUGAAAAUGAAGAAGAUAAUUGAACCUUUGUCAUACUUUAAAAAGCAACUAUGCAUUGUUCAUUUUGUAUGUUUUGGUUUUCUUCAUUUAAUUUCCUGAUUUUUGUGAUUCAAUGUCAUAUUAUUGAUCUUGAAAUAUUUUUCUAAUUUUUCAUUCUACGAUGGUUUCAACAAGGAUGACAUCAAGUCAAAAAAGGAAAUGUGGUCCCACACACAAUAUUGCAUUACAGGGAUUAAGGUCAGGGAAGAAGGUAAAAGUUGCAUUUAAUGAGUACAAUCAAUUGGUUAAACAGAAAAAUGGAAAACACUUAUCGAGCUACAUAGGGACACUUGUAUCUAACCAACACAAUGUACCUCUCCAAGCUAGUGAUUGGAAAAAUGUUCCAAAUGAUGCAAAAGAGAAAGUAUGGCCUUUGUUUUGGUAUGUUGUAUUUCUCACUAUAUGAUGUCAUUUCACUGUUAUUCUAUUUUGUGACUAACGUUUGAAUCAUAUGUAAGAAAAAUUUGAAGUAGAUAAAGACUGAAAAGAUUACAUGUUGGGUAUAGCCUCAAAUAAAUAUAGAAGCUAUAAAAAUAUGAUGAAUGCAAAAUACUAUGACCCUUGGCAUAAGGAUGCAUGAGGAGAGGUUAAUACAUAAAUCACCAUUUGUCUCUGAUGUUGAUUGGAAGUGGCUUGUCUCUGAUGCAUAAACCAAAUCCCCCACUGAAUGUUUGAUAUUUGAUAGCAGGAAAAACACACCCGCAGCUAUACACCUCCAUCAUUCAGAUAAUUAUAGUGGGGGAGAUGAUUCAUGGUUGCCCUUAUACCCUUUAUUUGCACCAUCUAUUGAGAUUCUUUAUCAUGGCCAGGUUUUACUGCAGCAAUAAGAUAUGGUGGCAACAAUUUUAUCUAUAGGUGCGGUUCCAGACCGCCUCCAUAGGUGCGGUUCCUGACUGCCUCCAUAGGUGCCUCUUCUUGUAAUGUUUGUUCUGGGAAUUACACUUGAAAGCCUUAUCGUGAUAAGGGAUUACAAACACUAGUUCAGAGGACAGCCAUGUUAAACUUCCACUAUGUUUGUGUCACAUUAUCAGCAGCCUAGUGUUUAUUGGUCAUGCUAUCUGCAACUAAUAUAACCCGGUGAACUUCAAUCUAAAUUCUGAAAGUACUCAUGUGACAGAUGGUGCCUUUCAGCAGAUAUCAUCAAUUUAAAAGUAGUGUGUGUGCCUAUAGGUGGGAAGGCCUUGGCAAAUGUUCAGUAUUCCGGUAAUUCAAGAAGGAUAUAUCUAAAAUAGAUUUUCUUCUUGCCCAUUUCAAUAGUUAAAAUUUGAGAAGAUUGUGUCCACAUCACACAAAUAUUAUUGGUCCUUCUGUUGCAAUUUACCUCUGAACAUGUCUUCCAAUUCCCACGGUCCUGUUACUCCAGGAAAACUAUUUCGGUCAUAUUGAAAAAAAAAAUAUUAAAGAAGGUACACAUGCUUUUAAGUGGACUGGGGCAUUCAUAUCAGGUGGUCUGUAUCCACAUAUGCCACUUCGUGAAAGGUGGAACAGCCUAAUCACUAGGCUAUUUAGUGUGGCCCAGCCACGUUAAUCAAGCACAAGUCUUCAUACUUAAAGUCAAAUGGUGUCUUUAGUCUCAUUACACAUCGCUAUUUGAAGAUUAACUCAUCACUAGUGUAAUGCGAUUAAGACAGUCCUAACUCAAUAUUUGUUCUAGUUUUGGAUGCAAAUGCUUGCUGGUUUCAUCAUUGGAUGGGAUAAAGGUGCAAUCAGGACUAUGAAUACGUGCAGUAAUACUUCAUUCUCUUUUUUCUCAAUGAGACUUCUUGGCACAAUUUUGCUGCUCAGCAACCUACCUUUCCAUGGAAAAUCAGUUGUGACUGAUAGUAAUGGAUAUAUUCUAGAAAGCUAAACAUAGAUAGCAUUCAAUAUUAUCGAUAUAACAUUAACAGCGUAUGUCUCAAUGCUCAUCAGCUACAAGCAAUGGACAAACACUUUGAGUAACUCACAGCAGUCAAAAUUCCUAAACAGGACAGACGUGACAGAUCUAUAUAUAGAACACUGCAUAUGAGUCACAGGAAAAGAUAAUACGGGUACAUAGAAGCUCUUAUUUUACAUAUUACUCAUACUGAUCAAAGUCGCUCAGUUGGGAUGGAUGGGAGAAGGAGGUUUGAGGGGUGGCUUGUGCGGGGAAGUUGGCAGCUUCUUUCCGGGAGCUGGUUGCUUCUUUGCUGGAGUUGAAGGAGGCUUAAUCUUCCGAGGUGGCUUGUAUGAGUCUUCAGCAUUCUCAGCAGGAGGGUGACCAGGGUUGUGACCAUAAUGUGGUGGCUUCUCUCCCUUAGGUGGUUUGCCAACUGGGGUUGGUGGCUUGUUUUCUGGGAGUGGCUUCUCUCCCUUGGGUGGUUUGCCAACUGGGGUUGGUGGCUUGUGUUCUGGGAGUGGCUUCUCCCCCUUGGGAGGUUUUUCGAAUGGGGUGGGUUUGUGUCCUGGUGGUGGCUUCUCUCCCUUGGGAGGUUUACCAAUUGGGGUCGGUGGCUUGUGUUCUGGGAGGGGCUUCUCUCCCUGGGGAGGUUUAGUGGGUGGCUUGUGUUCUGGAGGUGGCUUCUCCACCGGAGGCUUAUGCUCUGGUGGUGGCUUCUCGAAGGGGGGAUGCUCAGGGUAAUCACCAAGUGAGGGGGUGGUGAGAACCACCAUGCCAAGCAACAACACUAGCAAGUAUGUAGUAGACAUCUUUGGGUUUGGACUCAGACAGUGCAAAACUACGAGAAAUCGCUAGCCCUUUAUAGCGGCUCGGACCUAAUACUGACAUAAUAUAAAAUAAAUAUUAUAUUUUAUCAAGAGAGAACAGAGUGUAAUUUUAUCAUUAAUACCGAUCGAGGCCAAAGAAAGAAGACCCAUAAUCCAUUUCCCACAAGCAUACACAAUGCAGCUGUAAUUUUAUCAUUUACUUUUAUCCCUUGGACCACUGCAUUUUUGUUGAGAGACACAAUAACACAUUUUUAUCUGUCAUUCAACAUUUACAGUAAAGAGAGGGCACAAAACGCAAUUAGAUAAAUUAUGUUUUGCCUGCUAAAAAGAGGCAAAUAACUUUAUUUGCAACAUAAUUAUUUUGGUUUCUAGUGACCCCGGGGCCUUUCGGUUGGUUUGGGAUCGGAAAAUGAACAUCAUAGGGGGGGUUGUGCCCUUAUGGGCAUAUAUAUCUGAUAGCUUCAACUGGCCUUGUUCCUAGAAAGAAAUUGCCAAAGAUAUAAACUUAUUCCAGGCUGAAAGUAGAUGAGAGUCAUAAUGAACAUCAACCUUUGUUCAGUUUGAUUCAAUGCCCCCAUAGUGUUCAUUUCACAGAUCUGAAUGAUUAUAUCCGUUGAAUACAUAAAUUAAUGAAGACAAAUAUGAAACCCAAGAUACAUCUCUGCAUAACAACCCCAACCCUGGUUGCUAUGUUUCCCUUCUUCUAUUCACAUGAGGAUACUGGUUAUAAUUGUCAAACUUGCAACAAGCCCUUUGACACCUAACGUCAAUGGACGAAUUAAAAGUCUCCUUCAAACGUCUAUUUCACAGCAUGAAGCUUAUAAAGGAUGCUGACAACCUUCAGAGUUAGCGACAAAAGAUAAUUAUCAAGGAGAGAUAGUUCCAUGAGAAUUCCAAGGAGUCUGAAUCAAAGACAAAUUGCUCACUCAAGGGUUCUUAUUUUCUUUUAGGUACAAAUCUCUUGAGUGUUGUUAAAGAAACACGUCACUGUCAUUUUGAUUUGCAUUUAACAUUUCACUUUUGUUCUGGAAGGUUUGUUCCGGAAACAUAUCAAAUGAGCAUCAUUUUCUUCUUCGGUGACACAUGGUCGCGAGUACGUGGGUCCAUUUUCAUGCCACUUAGUUGAAAAGUUGGAAAGAAAAAACAUGCCAACAAGAAGAUAGUGAGAGAAGGGGCACUUCAAGCCUUUAACAUGAACAAACAGUAAAUAAAAGAUGUUUCUCCACUCAUAAAAGUGUGUUAGAUAGCAAUAUAACGAAUCACAUCCAAAAUCUUUACUAGGCUCAAACAUAAAGAAGACUCAUUUUUAAGAAAAGAUAAAAAUGGCAUUGUCUGAUAGUAUCCAAUACACGAGAUGGCACUUAAUUUGUACAAGAUCUGUCAAUGCUGACGCACAUUUUCUGAUUAAAAAAAAACUGAUCAGUCAAAAGCAAUGAAGAGAAGUGAUGACAAUGAAUGAUGCUUCCAAUAUUUUCACCCCUUAUAGUGUUCUUCAUGAUUCAGAUAUAUAAUUGGAAAUAGAACAACCCUAUGCCAUACAUUCGUCUAAGUAUGGUGUCUAAUUUUUUGUGUCAGCGGUUGCGAAUGGAGCGUGCAAAAGUCCAAAUUGGCGUCUCUCCAUUUCCACAUAGGAAGGUGACCUUUAUUGACAAAUACCCAAUAUUUGUAGACAUUCCUUAAAUAUCAUAACUUCUUGUUGAUUUGAAAAUCAUUUUUCAACUACCAUGUUUUAAUAAAUAUUUUUUAAAAUGUAUUUUUAUCAAAGUCCACCAUGAUGGAUAAUAUUCACCAUGCAAUAAUUAAUAAAGUACAAACUAAGCGAAAUGAAAAGCAUUUUCUUUGCUUUGAGUUGAUUUUGGUUGCAUUGAGUUGAUUUUGGUUUCAUGGUUUUUUCAACUCUUAUUUUGAUUGGAAGAUGUCAAGAAAAGAAAACAUAAAGAAAAAUUAAAAGGGAAAAAAGAAGAAAAAUAAAAAAAAAUAGAUUUAAAAGUUAAUAAAUUAUUUUUUAUAUUUAUUUUAAUUCAUUUCACUUAUUUUUCUUUUACUAUAUAAAAUUUAAAUAAUUUAAAUUUUAUAAUUAAUUUAAUUACAUUUCAUUUUCUUCUAUAUUUAAAUAUUGGAAAAAUAUUUUACUUAAUAUUUUUUUCUUUAAUUUCUUUGGCAUUUUGGGAACCAAACUUAGCCUUUAAAAUAAAAAACAAAAAAAAAAUGAAAAUAAGGAGGGAAAAGUGAGAAAAGAUAAAAACAAUAUGUAAAGGAUUUGAAAAGUAUUAGUUUGUAAUUACUAUUUGGAUUUCAAUAGUAUUUUAUUUGUCUUUCUAUAUUUCAUGUAAGAGAGAAUUUAAGAUAUUCCCCAAGGCAAAGCAUUAGUUACCUGCAAUCAGUGGUGAUAAGGCUCCAAGCCAAUUUUGGGCCCCAUAUCUUAAGACAGUACAAUUUCCAUUUCAACAUUUCUGAUUUCUCAGAUGUUUCACAUACCACAGAAGAACAUUGUUUGUGAAAAUAUGCAUUUAUGUUGGAUUUUGUAUGCUGUGGGGACUGGGGCAAGGAUCAUAUGGAAGAGUGGUUGACUUUUUCUGUACUUUAACGGUUGAAAUAGGAUAAGCACGGGCAUUUGUGAGGCUUAAUUGAUUUUGAAGCCUGAAAUUGCGUUUCUGUCAUUUUGUCAAAAAAAUGGCAGAUUCCAUACUCAUAUGUUUGGCCUGUGGCCAUGUACAGAUGCCAUUUAGUGACCAGUUUGUAACUGUCAAUCGUUGCGUUUUGACUCUGCCUCAACAACAUCUGCCAUUGACGGGUUUUCAUACUUGCAAAUCAAAUAGUCUUUCGUCCCAUCAGGAAUUUCGGUUUAAAUAUUAUUAAGCAUACGUUUGGCUGACAAUCAUUAUCCAGUUCAUGAUUUGGUUUCUUACCCUUAAUCAAUGGUUUCUAAGUGAAUAUAUGUAGAAGGAAAUCCGAAGUGUAGACAGUAGUAUCGAUAACUCUCAAUAUUCUCUAUAUAAUAGAAUAAACAGCGUCAUAGUGAUCGUCGCCUACAAGCAAGGUACAAAUACCAAAACGAGUGACUCACAUAGACAUCUCCCAACAAGAUGUAGUAGUGACUGACACAUGGACACAAUUAACUCGUAGAAAAGGAUAAGACCAUUGCACAGCAGCUCUUAUUUUACAUACUACUUAUGCUAACCAAAGUCAAUUAGUUGGGAUGGGUGGGAGAUGGAGGUUUGUGCGGUGGCUUGUGGGGCGGAGUUGAUGGCUUCUUUCCAGGAGCUUCUGGCUUUUUCAUCGGAGCUGAAGGAGGCUCAAUCUUAUGAGGCGGCUUGUAUGAGUCUUCUUUACUCUCGACAGGAGGGUGGCCAGGGUUGUGAUCAUAAUGUGGUGGCUUCUCUCCCUUAGGUGGCUUGCCAACUGGGGUUGGUGGCUUGUGUUCAGGAAGUGGUUUCUCUCCCAUGGGAGGUUUAGCAAUUGGGGUUGGUGGCUUGUGUUCUGGGAGUGGCUUCUCUCCCUUGGGAGGUUUAGUAGGUGACUUGUGUUCUGGAGGUGGCUUCUCCACCGGAGGCUUGUGCUCCGGUGGUGGCUUCUUGGUUGGAGGGGGCUUGGGGUAAUCAGCAAGAGAUGGGGUGGUGAGAACCACCAGUCCAAGGAACAACACUAGCAAGUAUGUGGGAGACAUUUUUGAGUUUGGGCUGAUCAGAUGAUGCAAAACUAAAGCAUUACGUGACCUUUUAUAGCAUGUAGCUCCCAAUACCCACUAAGUAUUGUGGGGUCCAUUUGUGCCCUACGGGGUUGAAAACUUAGACAAUUGGGCAAGGACCCACCUGACUAUGGAGGACUAGUGAGGUGUGAUCAUAGCUUUAGGAUUUUUCUUCCUCUGCAGCCGUCGUGCCGUUGGCAUGAUUUUCUUAAUCUUAAAUAAAGGCAUAGUUAUAGAGUUGUUUAAUCUCUAAAUGGGAUUUUAUAUAUAUCUUCAGAUAGCCAUUAAUAUAUUUGAUGAAGAAAGAAAGACAAGUGCAUACAACAUGUAUACGACUAGCUUUCAUGGAGUUCAUUUAUGAUCAGUUUUCCUGUACAUGUAAACCAGGAUCAUAUAUAUGUUUCUGUUCCACAACUAUUUUGGAAUCUUGUUUAUCAGUUUUUAUCAUUAUAAUGUCACAUAGGCUGCCAACUUGGGCGCUAAAAGAACCAGUUGGGCUAGUUCGUUUCAGAAUUUCAAUGUGGAUUCAGGAAUUGUUUUGUAAGAUAUGCGAAAUAGUAGAGGGAUGAAUAGUGUUUCAUUAAUAAAAGUGUCCUGUAAAUUAGAAGGUGUCAUAGAAACUAUAAUCAAUAAAUAACUUUUUUUCCCCACGGGUGGUGUUUCUUGUGGGGAUCAGUGACUGGUUUAGGUUCACCCAAAAUGAGUUCAGACUAAAAUUGGUUUGAGUCAAUGCCGUGUCUCUUUUUUCCAGAAAUCAACUAUUUUAUGCAUUGAAUAAAUCAUACAAAGAAAAUAUGAACGCCCGCAAAACCUAAACCCUGGUUGCUAACUUUCUAUGUUUCAGUUCUAUUCACGCAAGAAUAUUAGUUUAAGUUUGGGAAAAAUGGCAACUUACCUAGUGAUUACUUGGUUUUGGUUUGCGACUAUUUACGCAACCAACCAUGAGUUUGACUUUAACGUCAUGGGUUGAAGCCUCCUACAGGAAGGGAGAAAGCUCCACAGCUAGCUCCAAAAGAGAAUUAUCACAUUGAUAGCUCCAGAGAUUCCCAAGGGGACUGAAUCAAAGACAAGUUCCUCACUUUUUCUUCUUUUGAGGCCAAAUAUGAACCAAGGAUCACACAACCUCAUUCAACUUCAUAAGUUUGAUUUCAUGCAGUUGAACACUGGGUGAAGGCCAUGACAAGAAUUGAUUCAAAAAUUCUAUCACUCUUUUAAGUAAUGGAAGAUUAUUAUCUCUGAUUGGCAUCACAACAGCACAUGCUCCUAGAUCUUUCUAGACACUCCAUGCAAUGAAAGCACAAUGGAUCUUGUAACGAUAGAAACUAAGCCAUGCUACAGUACUAGAUGAUGAGGUAAAACUAGUAGACACGGGUGGCAGCCUAUAUGGGAGGGACACAAGUCUAAUUGAUUUGCAUUUCAGCAUUAUAGAUAGGUAUGUUUUGGAAGAUUUGUUCUGGAAAUACCGCACCAAGUAGGAUUCUUUUUCUCUUUAGUGGGUCCACUUGCAUGCCAAUUAACGAGUUGAAAAGUAUGAGCACCUACCUCGUGCUCGUGGAACCGAAGGUCAGUGAAGUGGGGCUCCUUUUGGCCUCGUGUAAACUUGAUUCAGAAGUGAAGUUAAUAGUCUUCCAUUCAGAUGGAUACAUGGGAAUUUUUCUCUUUUAUUUAUUUAUUUAUUUUUUUUUUGUGUGUGUAUGUCAAAGGAUAAUGAAUGAAGCGCGUUAGCUUGUUUUCUGACUGGAACCGCAGAUGUCCAAAUUGGAGUUCCUUCAUUUCUUACUUAGGAUUGUUACAUGUAUAAACAAGGUAUAAGAAAUAUGCCAACGUGUCUUGAGGAGUUAUUGAUUAGAAAUAACAAGUCACCCGACUGUAGAGUUCCAAGAUUUGAAUCUUCAGACCCUAUAGCAGCCUCUGGGGUACGUGGCAUCCUAUAGCAUAUUAAUGAAGGCUUUUUCGAUUUAGACUUCACAAUACCAAUUAAUAUGUAUGCACAAAAUGGAGAUGACCCCAAAAAAAACAGAAUCGCCAUAGUUUAUGAGGUUAAGGUGAUUCUCCACUUAAUAUCUACAUUAGCUAAUUAUGUAAAUCAAAUGAACUUCUAUUUUUCCUUUUUUUUUUUGGUUUAUGUCAAAUAGUAGCCCAUAAUUAACCCAACCAUUAGCCUGUUUGAAUUGAUUUCACAUGCACAAUGUUGUAGUAGUUCAUAUUUUGAAUUUUAUUUUUACAAAGGUAGUUAAGGAAAAUGAAGUAUAAUAAUUAUAAAAGCAGACUAUAUACACUACAAUAAUUGUUAGAAUGGUAUCUCAAAUUCUAAUUUAAAAUAUUAUUUUUUGUAAAAGAAAUAUUAUAUAGAAUAUUUCCUAAUUUUAUAAAUGAUUAUAAUUAGAUCUUUAUAAAAUAAGGAAAGUUGGUAAGAAUAUCUUUAUAAAUAUUUUAGGUCAUGAGAGAAAGAAAUGGGAUAAAAAUGUGAUGAAGAGGUGAAAUAAGAGAGUUGAUUAGGAUAUAGAUGUGAAGAAGAAAGGGAUUCAAUAUAUAUAUAUCUUUCAAUUACCACAUUAAAACCCUGUGAACCUUUUAUAUGGUUUACUUUAUUUUUAUAUUCCUCCUUUAAUAUAUUUACAUUAAUGCUUCCAUUGGCACAACAAUAACGAAUUACAAAUACAAGCAACAAGUCCCAUGUUUUAUUACCAAAAGCAGGUAAAAUCCACCUAAUAUAUUACAAUAUAUUCAUCCAAUAUUUUAGACCAAUUCUUCACCAUAAAUAUCAUAAUGUGGCUUUUGUUCUUUCUUAAAUUUAAAUUGAAUUGUCUUAUAUCAAUUUGUUUGUGAUUUUUUCAUUAACUUCACUUUCAUUUGGUUAUCUUUGGUUUUUGAAAAGUAUUAAGGAAUUAAUUAACAAAAUAAUGUUAAGAAAAAUAAUUUUCUCUCUUUUGAUUUUGAUUUUGUAGUAGAAAAAUAUAAUUAAAAUUAUUUAAAAAGUAUGUAAUUUUAAAUUAUUUAAUAUUUAGAUAAAAAAAAUAAGUCUAAUGAGUUUAAAAUAACAUAUAAAAAUAAUUUAUUUAUUUUAAAUUUAUUUUUUAUUUUCCAUUAUGUUCUCUUUCUCUUUUACUUUUUCAUAUUUUUUCUUACGAAGAAUCAAACACAACCUCAUAUUAUAUGUCAAGUGUUUGUCUAUAUUUGAGCAAUGUUAGAUACGGCCAUGGAUUCAUCAAACUAAACUGAUUUUAAUAGAUACUUCACAAAUUGAUUUAUACACUAAAUCAUUGGAUAGCAAUGAUGCAUUGGAAUUAAACGUAGGAUGAAGCUCGAAGAACACUGUUUGUGUAACAACAUAUUUAUGAAAUUAUGCAAAGGAUGAGCUUCGGGGUAGUAGUACAAGGUCAUUAAUGGAGAGCCGUGUUAAACCUUGAUUGUGAUUGGAUUCCGUUAUCAGCAACAGCAACCUUGUUUGUAACCUUGAAAGUCAUUCUGUCCACAUCGAAACUCCAAUUUGACGUUUGUAAUUACCAUUCCUGGAGUGUUCCUUGAUUGAAAUUUAAAUAAUAAUUGCGGCCCACAAGGAAUAUUUUCGAUUCUGUGGGAAUUUGACAAGGUUUGUUAGAGAAGACUGGUGACAUGUUGACUUCAAUGGUUCAAAUAGGAGACGUAUGUGGAUUUGGGGGGUUUAAUUGAAACUGAGUCCCUAUGGCUUUUUAAUAUUUGCAUUGAGCAGUCUCCAUGUGACUUCCUAAUUCCCACCAACCCUCCUGUCCAUGCUGUGAAACUAAAUUGUAAUUUAUCAGCCUUUGUCAAUGGUUUCUAAAUUAAAGAUAUAGACCAUGCAUGUACUUUAAUAAAAGCAAAUCUAAAGUGUAGAUAGCAGCAAUGGUGACACCCAAUAUUCUCCAUAAAAUAGAAUUAGAAUAAGCAGUGUUACAUUGUUCAUGAUCACCUACAAGCAUACAAGAACUUCCAUGAAUAACUCAUAGCAAUUGCCAACAGGGCGUCGUAGAGACUCAUACAUAGAACACUAUCCACCCAGAGGAAAGGACAAGACCAGUGCGCUGCAGCUCUUAUUUUUCACAUGUAUACCACCACUCGUAAUAACCAAAUUCACUCAGUUGGGAUAGGUGGGAGAUGGUGGUUUGUGGGGUGGCUUGUGGGGAGGAGUUGGAGGAGGCUUUAUUUUCUGAGGCGGCUUGUAUGAGUGUGCAGGAGGAUGCCCGGGAGUGUGACCAUAAUGUGGUGGCUUCUCUCCCGUAGGUGGUUUGCCAAAUGGGCUUGGUGGCUUCUCUCCCUUAGGAGGUUUACCAAUUGGGGUUGGUGGCUUGUGUUCUGGGAGUGGUUUCUCUCCCUUGGUAGGUUUGCCAAUUGGGGUUGGCGGCUUAUGUUCUGGGAGUGGCUUCUCUCCCUUGGGAGGUUUGCUAAUUGGGGUUGGCGGCUUAUGUUCUGGGGGCGGCUUCUCUCCCUUGGGAGGUUUGCCAAUUGGAGUUGGCGGCUUAUGUUCUGGGAGUGGCUUUUCUCCCUUGGGAGGCUUGCCAAUUGGGGUUGGCGGCUUAUGUUCUGGGGGUGGCUUCUCUCCUUUAGGAGGUUUGCCAAUUGGAGUCGGCGGCUUAUGUUCUGGAAGUGGCUUUUUUCCCUUGGGAGGUUUGCCAAUUGGGGUUGGCGGCUUAUGUUCUGGGGGUGGCUUCUCUCCCUUGGGAGGUUUGCCAAUUGGAGUCGGCGGCUUAUGUUCUGGGAGUGGCUUCUCUCCCUUGGGAGGUUUUGUUGGUGGCUUGUGUUCUGGAGAUGGCUUCUCCCCUGGAGGCUUGUGCUCCGGAGGUGGCUUCUGAAAUGGCGGGGGCUUGGGGUAAUGAGCAAGAGAUGGAGUACUGGUGAGAACCACCAUUCCAAGCAACAAUACUAGCAAGCAUGUGGGAGACAUCUUUGAGUAGUUGUAGCUAAGAUGGCGCAACACUGUAGGCAUUGGGUGGCCUUUUAUAAAGGGCUGGACCCAACAGCCAUAUGACACGUGUCAUGAUGACAAAUGAAGUUGAGGGGAUCCAGAUGGGUCCUACUGAGUCGAAAACUUGCACUAAUUGAUCUGGUGAGAUGACUAUUUCUGUCCUUUUGCCCUUCUCGGCCACCCUGUGCUGUUUUCCUUUUGCACGAUUUUCGUUGCCAAACAAGCAAAUAAUAUUUCGCCAAGAAAGAGGAGAGUGAAUGUGGAAUGCAUCAAGUCCCAUCAAGGAUGGCAGAGAAGAAAUAGAAGAUUGCCCAACUGUGAUAAACAUAGCAUACACGUAGCACCAGGAACUUCAUUUACUUCCAUCUAAUGGAACAUAACAAUCUUCUAAAGUUUUUGCAUGAUUUUGUUAUAUGUCUCUUAGCCUAAAGUUGGAAAUGCGCAACAAAUUUUGUCACUUCUCUAUUUCCCACUGAUGAUGUUAAUUAGCCUUCAUAGAUAUCAUCCUUUCUACAAAGUGCUUCAUUUGUGUGUUAUUGUAAAGUGUAAGAAAAGUAAUUGAACAUGUUCUUUUUCCUUUCAUAGAUGACUUUUGAUGUGCAUUUUAAAAGCAGCGCUGUGAGUCGGUGACCUUGAUUCACACGGAAACUAAGGCUCCUAUAGGACCCACUUUUAGCUGGUUAGGGGUGAAGAAAAUAUCAACUUUUCAGAGUGAUUUAAGUCAAGGCCAAGCCUCACUGUGUCAUUACUCGUGUGAAUUUUAUAUGCACAUACAUACAUAAAUAAAGUAUGAGACCCAAAUAACACCUUCCCUUUACAAACUUAACCCCAGCCGCUCUCUUUCAAUUCUUUUCACACAAGGGUAUUGACUCUAUAAAGGUCAAGAAAAUCAUAAUUUCCUAGGGUUUACAAGGUAAUUGGCUUAAUGCUAAUGUGAAAACAUAAAAGAUAAUAGUAUAUUGUAAGCUAACGAAUAUUCUAUAGUUAUAAUUAUUUGUGAUGUGCAUAAAUAAAUCUUCAUAUAUAUAAUGGAACAAUGAAUAAAGAACCAAUGAAAAAAUACUAUAUAUCAUUGCUUGGCAUUUAAACCGUAUAUGCUGCUCUUUCUAGCUACUCCAUCCACUGAAAGACAACAAGGUAAUCCAUGUUAUAAUGAUAGAAGAUACUGUCUCUAGGCUUUUUGUGAUGAAAAAUAUAAGAUAUGGGUAGGGUUGACCCUUGUAUGUUUGUCCUAUAAACACUUCAAAGUAACAUAUUUUUCUUCUUUAGCAACUCAUAAUGAUGGGGUUCAUUUGCAUGUCACUGAGUUGAAAAGUUGGACAAUUGCCCAUGUCGCCUUCCUCCUAGAUUCCGUAGUUCACGGGAAGGUAACUCAAGUUUGACAUAUUUUGAAUUCUUUUCACUCGGACGUCUUCAUAACCUGACAAAACAAAAAUGAAAAACAGAGGAUUGGUAUAUUAUUCAUGGUAAGCCUCAAAUUAUAGUAGUAUGAGAAAGGAGAAAAAGAUUUUGGGAACUCCAAUCUGGAUAAUUCUCGUUUCUUCUCUUGAAUAAAAAUUUCACUUACCUAACUUCGUUUGGAGAAAUGGCAUAUUUUAAUUUUGUACGUCAUUGCUAAUAAAUGGAGCAAUUUAGCAUGUUUUGUGACUGAAACUGCAAAUGUCCAAUUGGCAUUUCUUCAUUUCCCACUUAGGAUCUGAUCUUGUAGACCAUAUAACGAUAUGUAUCUGUGCAAGCAUUGAAAACUAAUGUGAACUAUGAGGAGUUACAAGCCACUGGACUGUAGAGCGAGUGCCAAGAUUUAAAUCUUCAGGCUCUAUCUGGGUAAGGGGAGGAUAGCGACCUAACCUUUUACCAAAGGCUUAGAAUUUAGACUUUUGGAAAAAAAUUUCUCAUGUUUUGGCUGGAUUUCUUGUGCUUGGCGCAAAAAGGAGAUGGCCUCAAGAAAUAGCAGACUCACUUUUGUUUUCAGCCCUUAAUAAUUCUCCACUGCUUUCCAUAACUACAUGGGUUAUACAUGCAGUCUGCUGCAAUAUUCCAGUUAUAUUUAUUAUUUCAAAGAGGGUGAAUGACUUCACAUGCAAUAUGUUGCAGUAACAACCCAAAUUUUGGCACACCAUCUUAAGAAUAGAAAAGUAUAAUAAAAGAAAUCAAUCAGAGAAUCACUUUGCAUGCAGUUCAUAGAGUUCGCCCAAAAUGGAGCCACAUGUACGGACAACCCCACAAUAGACAAUCUUCUCUAUACAGUAAUAAAAUACAGAAAUGGUUAAUGAAGCUCUGUAUUUCCUUAUCAUAUAUGACCGGUUGAAAACUCAGCAAGUCUUCCUCAAUCACAGACAGUUGGAGUUGCUUCAUCAAAAUCAUGCCUUCAUUACUGGCUUCAUUUUGGUUUCAAUGUCUGUUCUACCCUUAAAUUGGGUCUCUGCUUACUACCGGGAUAUCCUUUAGCGUCCUGCAAUUCUACUAGAUUAAAGAGAAUGACUUAAUUCUGCAUUCUGCCGUCCCUAGUCCAAGUGGUACUAGAAUUGAUGUUUCCUUUAGUGUCCUUUCUUCAUACUUUCAGGUUCUUCCCUUGUUUCAAUAAUGCUGUUUUCCUUCAUGUUUAACCUCUGUUGAACCACUUAAAACAACACAAUUUGCACACCAAUGUUUCUUUACAGAAAAGACUGUUUGCAAAAAUGCACAUGUUAUAAGGUUAAUGGAAGAAUUAAUUUGGGGAUAAGGGACUAGGAUUGGGCCAAUGAAGUUUGGUGUUAAAUUUUGAUUAUGAUUGCUUUUCAUUAUCAGGUACCUUAUAUUUGCUGAUGCUAUCUGGAACUAAAUUCAAAUCAGACAUUAUCCGAUUACUAACAGGACAUAUCAUGUCCCUCUGCAGAGUUUCUAAACUAACAUGUAUCGAAAUGUGGCCCCAAAAGGAAGGCUAGGAAGAUGGAGGAUUUUGUAGGAAUCGACCAGAAUCAGAUGGAAGAGAGAUAGUCCUGUUGACUUUAAUGGUUGUGAUAGGAACAUGCAUCAUUAUAUGAGAAGUUGCAUGAAUUUAUGUAUCCUGUUAUCGUUCCUUGACGAUUUCCCAAUGCAAUUUCACUGUCCACAAGACUAACCUCUCCAUGCAGUCAAAUGAAUUGUAAUUUCUCUAUUGGUACCAGUAGUACAUUUCAUACCAAACAUAUAGUAAAUAUAAAAUAUAAAUAGAUCAAGGAAAUCUGAAUUGUAGAUAGCACUGCAAGUAACACUCAAUAUUCUCUAUAUAUAAUAAAAUAAACAGUGUCACAAUACUCAUCACCCAGUGGCAAGGGAGAAAAACCUACAAUGAGUACUCAAAUCACCAUUCUCAAACAGAAACAUAGCAGUGACUGAUACAUAGAACCUAUAUGCUCACAGGGAAAGAAUAAGAUGACCAGUGCACAGCGGGCAGCAGCUCUUAUUUUACGUACAACUCAAAUCCCAAACUAACCAAAGUCGCUCAGUUGGGAUGGGUGGGAGAUGGUGGUUUGUGGGAUGGCUUCUGGGUAGGAGCUGGUGGCUUCUGUCCCUUUGGUGGUUUGCCUAAUGAGCUUGGUGGCUUGUGCUCCGGGAGUUGUUUCUCUCCCUCGAGUAGGUUUCGAGUCUUGUCAGAUGGCUUGUGUUCUGGUGGUGGCUUCUCUCCCUGGGGUGGUUUGCCGAAUGGGCUUGGUGGCUUGUGUUCGGGGAGUGGCUUCUCUCCCUGGAGAAGGUUACGAGUUUUGUCAUAUGGCUUUUGUUCUGGUGGUGGCUUCUCUCCCUGGGGUGGUUUGCCGAAUGGGCUUGGUGGCUUGUGUUCGGGGAGUGGCUUCUCUCCCUGGAGAAGGUUACGAGUUUUGUCAGAUGGCUUGUGUUCUGGUGGUGGCUUCUCUCCCUGGGGUGGUUUGCCGAAUGGGCUUGGUGGCUUGUGUUCGGGGAGUGGCUUCUCUCCCUGGAGAAGGUUACGAGUUUUGUCAGAUGGCUUUUGUUCUGGUGGCGGCUUCUCUCCCUGGGGUGGUUUGCCAAAUGGGCUUGGUGGCUUGUGUUCGGGAACUGGCUUCUCUCCCUUGGGAGGUUCAGUUGGUGGCUGCUGUUCCGUAGGUGGUUUCUUCACCGGCGGCUUGUGCUCCGGAAGCGGCUUCUCUACCUGGAGAAGCUUACGAGUUUUGUCCGAUGGCUUGUGUUGUGGUGGUGGCUUCUCUCCCUGGGGUGGUUUGCCAAAUGGAGUUGGUGGCUUGUGUUCGGGGAGUGGCUUCUCUCCAUUGGGAGGUUUAGUUGGUGAUUGGUGUUCCGUAGGUGGUUUCUGAAGUGGGGGAUGCUUGGGGUAGUCAGCAAGAGACGAGGUAGUGAGAACCACCAGUCCCAGCAGCAACACUAGCAAGCAUGUGGAAGACAUCUUUGAGUUCAGGCUGAGAUCUGUGCAAGGAUAACAGAAUUAGGUGGCCUUUUAUAGAGGCCUGGACCCAACACCCAUAUGACACGUGUCAUGCACUCAUGGUGACACAUAAUUCUAUGGGACCAUUUGGGUCCUACAGAAGUUGCAAAGUUGGACUACUGAGGUGUGAUCACAACUUUUGUCCUUAUUGCUUUCUCUGCGGCCAUUGCACGAUUUCCUUUAGCAUCAUUUUCUUGGCUAAAUAAGCGUAUUAUAUUUGUGGCAGACCGUCCACGUGUCAUAAACAGAUAUAUUAUAAUAAUGUAGUAUGCUUUUCUCCAAUGGAACAUGACACUCUUCUAAGUCUUGUUUUAAAUAUUGUGCAGGAUUACUUUAUACGUUGCAGUUCCAAGUCAAAAUUGGUGGGCAAACGUUGGCCUUUUUUCAUUUCACCUAAGAUUAAUGCUCACCUGGGAUAGGCACUACAUGACUUAUCUGCUCUUUUACUGUAAAGUUGCUUUGUGUAUGAGAUACACCUCCCCUGCACACCCUCAACAUUCGUUGCUCUGUUUUCCUUGUGUCCAGACGAGGAUAUUAAUUGGAGGCUGACAAAACGACUGCUAGCCCAGGAUUUACAAGGUCCUGGUUUGAGGCUUCGGUGAAAGUAUUUUUGAAAAGACACACAUAGAGAUAGUGCGUUUGGUGCAAUGCAGCACUGUGAGCCAUUCUGACGCGUUCUUAAUUUCAAAACUAAUGAAUGCUUCAAAAUUUUAAGAAGUGACAUUUCCAAAUAUUUGAGUUCGUUUAAUUGAACAUUGGAUAACUAGUGAUCAUAGAUUAUUAUCUGUGCUUGGCACUAUAAGAGGGUAUAUGCUUCUUUUUCUGGCCCCUCCUUCAAGGGAGGAGGGACAAUGUGAUCUGUAACGUUAGAAGCUAUUCCAUGUCAUCUUUGGGCUCAGUUCAAAACUAAAAGAUAAUGGGGGGGGGGGGGGGGGGCAUAUCAUUUUAUAUUUCUUCUAGAAGGUUUGUUCUGGAAAUAUUUCACAGGAGCAUAUCUUUUUCUUCUAUUACGUCAUCCGCAGCCUCCAAUAGGUCGGUUAACAAGCCACCGAGUUGAAAAGUUGGAAAAAUGGGAACACAGCCCGCCUCUUGUAUUCAGUAGUUAAAUAAAAGGUCACUAGAAGUGAGAUCCCUUUUGGCGUCUUGAUUUUCAAUCCAGCACCUCUGUGACCUGACAAACCAAAAAAACUAAAAAAUAAAAAACAGUACGUGGGUUGGUGUUAAGCAUCAAGACAUGUUAAUGAAAGAAGGUAGAGAAUAGGAUAUUGAAAUCCCAAUCCUGAUAACAUGAUUUUCUUUGCUAACAACCAUAUUAUAUUUUAUCAAGAAAGAGUAAUGCAUGUGGCGUCCAUCAAGACCCAUUAGAGUUCCGCUAAAGCUAUAGUUCUGUCAACGUUAUCAUUUACGUUUCCUCUAGAUAAUGGCAUUUUCCUCUAAAGCUCUUGCACCAUUAGGCUUCAAGUCAAAAUUUCACAUGUGAACUUUGGAAAUUUUCUCCAUUUGCCCCUAAGGAUACAGUUAGAAUUGACUUAAAAUCCUGAUUGAUAUGUACUAUUAACCAAAGAAUAUUGUAUAUAAUAAUUGAAAUAUUGUUGAUUCAUCGUGGAAAUACAUUUUGUAAGGAAAGUUGUUGAGAAUUUAGUAUGCUAUAUGGAGAAAAAAGUCAUGACUUAAGGUUGUGUAUGUAUAUUCUAUAUCAAAUAUUAGGUAGGAAUGUGGGAAAGAGCAGAGUGUAAUGAUAAGAAACAAAGAAAUAUAAGAUAUUCUUGAAAGUGGAAAAUAUAAAAUGGCUAACGAGUCAAAUUUAUGAUGCGUAAGGGGGAUCAUGUCACAUAAGAAAACCAUGGCAUACUAAAGACGUACGUGUGGUAUGGAGUAAUAAUUUUGUUAAAAUAAGUUUCUUGUUGGAGUACAUUAGGUGACUAUUCAUAACGUAUCAAAUUAAAGAGUCAAGUGCAUCAAUGAAGGCAUAUGUAGAAAAUUUGUUUGUGACAUGUACCAUAAAGAUAAGAUUGACUUGAUAGAAUUUAGUCUAAGUAGGAGUUGUUAAAGGUGUCUUAAAUUUCUAAUUGAUGUAUAUUUUUUUCUAAAAAAAUAUUAUAUAGAUAUUUUAAUAAAUGAUUAAUUCUUUGUAAAAAUACUUACAUAAUAAAAAACAUCAUUAAAAAUAUCUUUAUAAAUAUUUUAAGUUACAAGAAGGAAAAAAACCACUGUGAGAUAAUGAUGAACAUGCAACACUGUACCAAGUAAAUAAAAAUGUGAUAAAAAAAAAAGAGAAACACUCGAUAAAGGAAGGCUCGUAUAUAAAGAGUAAUAUUUUUAAUCAUAUGAUAGAAUGAUUUUCUCUCAUUCAUGAAUAUAGGCAAGAUUGGGGAACCAUUAUAAAAUUUUGUACACCUCGUGUAAAUUGAUGUUUGUCUUCAUAUUUUACACCAACAAAUGACAUUGAAGUUGUCAUUGAUAAAAGGGAAAAGGCAUGCCUCCACACCAUGUGCUUGAUUCGAAUGGUUCAAGUUUGAAGAAUUUUCUCCGGAAGAUCUAAAACAUUUUCGCCUUUAAAUUUCAUUUGAUUAUUAAUAUCCGAAAAAAUAGUUAAAUACUCUUUCUAUUUUUGAGUUGUUGAAUUUUUUGAAAGUUUUUAUAUUUGUUAUCAAGAAUUUCUAUUUUAUUAAGGGUGAAUAUUUAUAAAUAAGAUAUUAUAUAAUAUUUGGAUAAGAGAGAAUGGUGGAAUAUAAUAAAGUUUUAAUCCUUCCCAAUUUUGAACCUUUUUUUUUUUUUUUGAUAUAAUCGCCUUUCUCUUGCAAUCCUAUUAUCAGGUACCUUAUAUUUGCUGAUGCUAUCUGGAACUAAAUUCCAAUCAGGCAUUGUCCAAUUACUAAUAGGACAGAUCAUAUCUCUCUGUUUCUAAACUAACAUGUAUCGUAAUGUGACCUCAUAAGGAAGGCUAGGAAGAUGGAGGAUUUUGUGGGAAGCGACCAGAAUCAGAUGGAAGAGAGAUAGCCCUGUUGACCUAAUGGCUGUAAUAGGAGAAGCGUGUGGUUUUAUGGGACUUAACUGAUACUAAACCUGUAUGAUGCUUGGAGUGGUGUUUCUUUCAUUUUGUUAAGAAAAUAUGGCAGCAUACAUGCUUUCAACUGAGUGCAUCAGAGCAUCCAUAACAGAUGGUCUGCAACCCUAGGUGCAUGCCACUUUCUGACUGAUAAUGAAAUUGUCAGGUACCUGGCCUUGACUAAGCUCAACAGCAUCACAUAAAGAGAAGCUUUCAUACUUAGAUUACUGUUUAAAGUUUUUGCUUAUUUGAUUUCUUAAUGCCAUUAUGACAUUAUUGAUUCAAUUCUGCUUCCGAUUUUCGAAGUUCUGGGCAUCUACUGAUUGCAUCAUUAUAUGAGAAGUUGCAUGAGUUUAUGUAUCCUGUUAUUGUUCCUUUGCGAUUUCACUGCUCACGGGACUAACCUCUCCAUUCAGUCGAAAUGAAUUGUAAUUUCUUUACUGGUAGCAGUAGUACUUUUCAUAGCAAAGAUAAUAGAAAAUAUGAAAUAUAAAUAGAAGGAAAUCUGGAUUGUAGAUAGCACCAUAAGUAACACUCAAUAUUCACUACAUAAUAAAUAGACAGUGUUACAUAGGUAGAGAAACCUACAAUGAGUACUCAUCACCAUUCUCAAACAGAAACAUAGCAGCGACUUAUACAUAGAACCUAUAGGCUCGCAGGGAAAGAGUAACAUGAUAAGUUCACAGCGGGUAGCAGCUCUUAUUUUACGUAUUACUCAAAAUCUCAAACUAACCAAAGUCACUCAGUUGGGAUGGGUAGGAGAUGGUGGUUUGUGGGGUGGCUUCUGGGUAGGAGCUGGUGGCUUCUUUGUUGGAGUUGAAGGAGGCAUAUUCUUCUGAGGUGGCUUGUAUGACUCUUCGGCACUCUCUGCAGGAGGGUGCCCAGGGUUGUGACCAGAAGGAGGUGGCUUCUGUCCCUUUGGUGGUUUGCCUAAUGGGCUUGGUGGCUUGUGCUCCGGGAGUUGUUUCUCUCCCUCGAGUAGGUUUCGAGUUUUGUCAGAUGGCUUGUGUUCUGGUGGUGGCUUCUCUCCCUGGGGUGGUUUGCCGAAUGGGCUUGGUGGCUUGUGUUCGGGGAGUGGCUUCUCUCCCUGGAGAAGGUUACGAGUUUUGUCAGAUGGCUUUUGUUCUGGUGGCGGCUUCUCUCCCUGGGGUGGUUUGCCAAAUGGGCUUGGUGGCUUGUGUUCGGGAACUGGCUUCUCUCCCUUGGGAGGUUCAUUUGGUGGCUGGUGUUCCGUAGGUGGUUCCUUCACCGGCGGCUUGUGCUCCGGAAGCGGCUUCUCUACCUGGAGAAGCUUACGAGUUUUGUCAGAUGGCUUGUGUUGUGGUGGUGGCUUCUCUCCCGGGGGUGGUUUGCCAAAUGGACUUGGUGGCUUGUGUUCGGGGAGUGGCUUCUCUCCAUGGGGAGGUUUAGUUGGUGGUUGGUGUUGCGUAGGUGGUUUCUGAAGUGGGGGAUGCUUGGGGUAGUCAGCAAUAGACGAGGUAGUGAGAACCACCAGUCCCAACAGCAACACUAGCAAGGAUGUUGAAGACAUCUUUGAGUUCAGGCUGAGAUCUGUGCAAGGAUAAAAGAUUUAGGUGGCCUUUUAUAGAGGGCUGGACCCAACACCCAUAUGACACGUGUCAUGCACUCAUGGUGACACAUAAUUCUAUGGGACCAUUUGGGUCCUACAGAAGUUGCAAAGUUGGACUAUUGAGGUGUGAUCACAACUUUUGUCCUACUUGCUUUCUCUGCGGCCAUUGCACGAUUUCCUUUAGCAUCAUUUUCUUGUCUAAAUAAGCGUAUUAUAUUUGUGGCAGACCGUCCACGUGUCAUAAACAGAUAUAUUAUAAUAAUGUAGUAUGCUUUUCUUCAACGGAACUUGACACUCUUCUAAGUCUUGUUUUAAAUACUGUGCAGGAUUACGUCAUAAGUUGCUUGUUCCAAGUCAAAAUUGGUGGGCAAACGUUGGCCUUUUUUCAUUUUCCCUAAUAUUAAUGCUCACCUGGGAUAGGCACUACAUGAUUUAUCUGCUCUUUUACUGUGAAGUUGCUUUGUGCAUGAGUUACACCUCCCCUGCACACCCUCAACAUUUGUUGCUCUGUUUUUCUUGUGUCCAGACGAGGAUAUUAAUUGGAGGCUGACAAAACGACUGCUAGCCAAGGAUUUACAAGGUCCUGGUUUGAGGCUUUCACGAAAGUAUUUUUGAAAAGAUACACAUAGAGAUUGCGCGUUCGGUGCAAUGCAACAAUGUGAGCCAUUCUGAAGUCUUAAAUUUCAGAUUAAUGAAUGCUACAAAAUUCUAAGAAGGGCCGUUUCCAAAUAUUUGAGUUCAUUCAUCCGAACAUCGGGUAUAUGCUUCUUUCUCUAGCCCCUCCUUGAAGGGAGGAGGGACAAUGUGAUCUGUAUCGUUAGAAGCUAUUCCAUGUCGUCAUCUUUGGGCUCAGUUCAAUACUAAAAGAUAUGGGCGGGGCCCUUAUCAUUUUAUAUUUCUUCUAGAAGGUUUAUUCUGGAAAUCUUUCACAGAAACAUAUCUUUUUCUUCUCUACGUGAUCCGUGGUUUGAAAGUUGGAAAAAUGGGUCCGUUAACAAGCCACCGAGUUGAAAAGUUGGAAAAAUGGCAACACCGCCAACCUCUUGUAUUCGAUAGUUAAAUAAAAGGUCACUGGAAGUGAGAUCCCUUUUGGCCUCUUGAUUUUCAUUCCAGCAUCUCUAUGGCCUGAUAAAUUAAAAAACUAAAAAAAAAGACAGUACGUGGGUUGGUGUUAAGCAUCAAGAGUCAAGACAUGAUAAUGGAGAGAAAGGAUAUUCAAAUUCCAGUUCUGACAACAUGAUUUUCUUUGCUGAACUACCAUAUUAUAUUUGAUCAAGAAAGAGUAGUGCAUGUGGCCAGGAUCAAGACAUACAUUAAUUUCCACAUGAUGAAGACAGUUUCUGAGAGUUUCUUCUAAAGCUCUUGCGCGAGUAGGCUUCAAGUCAAAAUCUCCCAUGUAAACACUGGUUUUUCUUUCAUUGCCACUAAGGAUGCAGUUAAUAUUGACUUAAGAUCCUACGUGAUAUAUUUUUUUAAAAGAGCUAUAUUGUAGAUAAUAUUUGAAAUAAUGUUGAUUCGUUGUGGAAAUAUAUUUGUAAGGAAAGUUGUUGACAAUUUAAUAUAGUAUAAGAAGAAAAAAGUUAUCAACUAGCUAGAGAUGAGUAUGUAAAGUGAGGCUCACGAUUCAACGCGUAAAUAUAAGAUAUUUUAAGGCUCAAUAGUUAUGAUAUCUAUUUUAUUUUUUGUAUCUCAUAUAUUCAAAGAUAUAGUAAAAUGAUUUUACAUAUAUAUAUAUAUAUAUAUAUGAACAUAACUAUUUGUGCCAAUUGAUUUUUAUCUUUAUUUUGUAUAUUAGUAAUUAUAUUAAAGUUUUUACUAAUAUAAUAACUAAUAUAAAAGCUUUUUCUAAAAGAGUCAACAGAGCAAAACACUUAUUAUAAAAAAUAAUUUUGAUUGAAGGUGGAGUCAAUUAUUCUUUAUUUAACAUGUAAUGCAUACGGCGUGUACUUCAUAACUAAAGUAUAUAAGUGUAACAUCUCUUAUAUAUUCUCAUUCAAUCUCGAAAGUGGAAAUUUUAAAAAGAUUAAACGGUUCAAAUUUGUCGUGCAUAAAGGGGAUCAUGUCACAUAAGCAAACCAUGGCAUACCAAAGACAUAGGUAUGGACUAAGAAUUUUUUUCAAAUAAGUUUCUUAUUAGGGUACAUUAAUAGGUGACUUUUUAUGACAUAUCAAAGGAGUCAAGUGCACCAAUAAAAACAUAUAUAGAAAAUUCAUGCAUGACAUGUAUCACUAAGAGAAGAUUGACUUGAUAGAGUUUAAUCCAAAUAGGAGAUUGUUAAAAGGUGUCUCAAAUUCUUGAUUGAUAUAUAUUUUUUUUAUUAAAAAGGUUAUUAUAUAGAUAUUUCAAUAGACUAUUAAUUCUUUGUAAAAAUAGUUAUAUAAUGAGGAUGGUGAUUAAAAAUAUCUCUAUCAAUAUUUUGGAUUAUAAAAAGAAAAAAAAUGAGAUAAUGAUAAACAUAUAAAACUUGUACAAGUAGAUAAAGAUGUGAUGAAAGACACUUGAUGAAUGAAGGCUUUGUAUUUCAAGAUAUAAAUAUAUGGAGCAAAACUCUUAAUUAUAUGAUCAAAUGAUUCUCUCAUAUUCAUGAAUAUAAGCAGGAUUGGGGAACCAUGAUAGAAUCUUAUAUGCCUCUCCAUGUAGAGUGAUCGAUGUUUAUCUUCAUAUUUUACACCAGUGAAUGACAUUGAAACUCUUAUUGAUAAAAGGGAAAAGGCAUGGCCUCCACCCCAAGAAAAACAAGUAACCUCGGUUUAAAUCACUAGUCUACACCCCGAAGAGAGAACUAGCCAAACCUACUAAAAGAGAAACUUAACAAUUUAGAAAGAAACCGUCCAUGAUAAAGGGCCCCUAAAGGUCCAAUUCAGUGAGGUCGUGAACAAAAACACUUUCAUGUCAAAACAGAGAUAGGUACCACCAAAAUGUAAAGGGAAAGAUGUAAACCACGUCGAACUUUGGUAAUCAAUGGUAAAGAUAGCAUGAUAGCUAAAAGCACUAAAGCUGUGCUUGGUAUGCAAAAAUGAAAAGUGGAAAUCAGCGUCUUAUUCUUUUUCACCUUUAUUCACAUAUUAGGAUAACUAAUAUCUAAUGUUUUUUAUGUCUCAAAUUCUAUUCCAUGUUAUGGUAAACUUUCAUCUUGUUUAGAUCACUUUUGUCUGGUUUGGGCUCAAGACGAUAAGCCUAUAGAGACUUCAUAUUGGGUUGAAUCGAUGCCCUUGAUCUGAUCUGUUCGUUAGAAAAAUCUGAAUUAUUAUAAGCAUUUAGAUAAAAAAUAAAUAAAUGUGAAACACAAACUACUCCCUGCACAACCUUGACCCUAGUUACUCAGUUUCACUGCUCACAGGACUAACCUCUCCAUUCAGUCGAAAUGAAUUGUAACAAGAAGAUUUUUGACAGGAGGACGGUAGUUUAAAAUAAUAAUUUCUAAAGUACUUUUGUGAAAAAAAAUAAUUCCAAACGUGGAUUUUAUCAAGUAAAAAGAAAAAAAAAAGUUAUUUUCUUUUAAAAUCUGUUCUUCUAAAGAUGAUAUAUAUACCAAAAAAAAAAAUUGUUUUCUGAAGGUAAAAUUUUUAAAAUUCAUUUUUAAAAAAAUUUACACACUAAAAUUAUCUUUUCAAGAGAAGAUUUUUUUAAUUUUAAAUAAUUAUUAAUUUAUAAUUAAUUUGUUAUUAAUUAUUUAUUAAUUUUUUUAUUUGAAAAAUGCAUUUAUAAAAAACAAAUUUGUUAUUAAUUUAUUAAAUAAUUUUUACAAAAUAAAUAAUUUUUUUUUAUUUUAAUUUUAAAAUUAAUUUUAUUAUAUAAAUUUUAAAAUUAAAAAUAUUAAUAUUUAAUUUAAAAUUUAACUAUAAAAGGAAUAAAAUAUAGAAAAAUAAAUUAAUUUAUUAUUCAAUAAAUUAAUUUUCAAUAAAAUUUUCAGCAUUAAGAGAUAAAUUUUUAAGUAUUAAUCAAUUUAAAAAGAAAUAAUGAUCAUUUGUAUAUUAAGAUAUUUUAUUUAGUAAUUAUGAAUGAUAAACAACUAAAGUAAUUUGAAAAAAUAAUAAAAUAUUUAAAAAAUAAUAAUUUAAUACACGUAAAAUUAGAAAUGAUUAACUAUUUUUUAUUAAGAAAAAAUUGAGGAAAUAUUUUGUUAUUUAAAAUUUUUUAUUUGUUUUCAAUUUUUAAUGUUAUAGGUUUCAAGAAAAUUGAUCAAAUAAAAAUUAAGAAGUCAUUUUUUCAAAAACUAUAUAUCUAAAUAAAAGCCUUGAAAUUCAAAUACACAAUAUCAUAAAUAUAAACACCAAGUCAAUCCUUAAUUAUCAAAUGUUUUUAAUAUUAAAGAAUCAAAAUCACCUACUAUCAUGAUAAUAAGAAAACCAAUAAUAUUGUUCAUAUAAAUACUAAAAAGCUAACAAAUAUCCCAAACAAUUAAUAAAGUAUCAAACAUGAUAAAAAGUCAAUUAUUAUCAUGAAUGCAAAAAAUCAAUAAUUUUGUUUAUAUGAACCAUCAACAAAGAAAAAAAAAAUCAAUAUCUAAAUAUUAAACAUAAUUUAUAUUUUUAUAAAUAUUAUUGUUGAUAAAUAUCUUAACAAUUAUAAUUUUAGUAAAUAAAAUUAAUUAAUUUUAGUUUAAGAAUUAUUUUUUUAUACUUUCGUAUUCUUAUCAAAAAUCCCCAUUUUGCAUGUCUCCUUUGGCAUGACUUUCUUACCUAAACAAGCAUAUAUAUAUAUAUAUAUAUAUAAAAUAUUUGGUUAAGAAAGAGUACUAAAGUUUAUAUGGCACACAUCAAGAUAGAAACAGAAGUGGAAGAUAAUCCAAAUGUAUGAACAGAUAUAUUAUAUCCAUGUAGUGGUAGUGACUUCAUUAUUUACUUUUAUCUAAUGGAGCAUGACACACUUCUUCUGAAUAUUUUGCACGAUUAUGUUAUGUGUCAGCUUGUUCUAAGUCAAAACUAGUGAUAAAAAUCGGUUUUUUUUGCAUUUCCUUCAUGAAGAUGGCACCUGGAUGGGGCACUACAUGAGUGGCAUAGCACGAAGUGAUUUAUCUGCUCCCUUUACUAUAAAGUGCUUUGUGUAUAAGUUACACCUCCCCUGCACUGCCUCAACAUUUGUUGUUCUGUCUUCCGUCUGUCCAAACGAGGACAAACGUAUGUUGUAGGUUGACAAAACCACAGCUAGCCUAGGAUUUGCAAGGAUCUAGUUUGAUUCGUAUGCAAAAGGAUUGGUGAAAAGAUUCACAAAGAUAAUGCUUUUUGCAAUGCAAUCUUGUUCUAAUUCAACAGUGUGGACCAUUUUCAUGUAAUGCUUCAACUAGAUGUCAGUUUCAUGAAUUUUUGUUCAUCUAAUUGAUCACUGGAUAGGCCAUAACCCGAAGAAAUUCAAAAUUCCCUUCAGUACUGUAGCUAAGGAAAGAUCCCUAUCUACCACUGGGAUUUUAAGAGGGUAAAAAUGUAGGUGGGUGCCUAUAUCAUUUGCACUUCACUAUAGGCCUCUUUGGGAAGAUUUCUUCUGAAGACAUUUCAAAGAAACAUAUUUUUCUCUUCUCUCCGUAAACGGCAGCUGCAAGUCAGUCCAUUCACAGGCCACCGAGUUGAAAAGGCUGGAAAAUUGGCCAAAGCACCCGCCUCCUGGAUUCCAUGGGUAAGGAAAAGGUCACUGGAGGUGUGAUCCCUGUUGGCCUCUUGAUUUCCAUUCCGCCAUCUAUAUGACCUGAUAACCCAAAAACACAGAAGGAAAACGUCACCUGGGUUCAUAGUAAGCAUCAAGUCAUGAUAGAGACCAGACAACAUGACCAACAAAGAGUAGCGAAUGGGGCCAACAUCAAGCCCCAUUACGGUUAGAAGAUGGAAGAAGUAGAAGACAAUCCAAUUCUGAUAGAUUCGGGCAAAUGUAGUGCUGUUCAAACUUAAUCAUUUACUAUUUCUUCAUGAAUCACGGCAUUUUUCUUCUGAAAAUUUUCCAAGAUUAGGCCUCUGAAGAAAAAUUUCAUAUGUAAAUUGGUAUAUUAAGGAAAAGGCGUUACAAAGGUGAAAAAAAACCAAUCAAAUCUUAUAUAUGACAUCUCAAAAAUAUGAACUUGCUAUAAAUAUUUAAAAUCAAAAUCUUGCACAUCACCUCGUAGUACGAACUUGCUAUAAAACUUGAAAAUCAAGAAGAAAGGGGCAGUAUUGGACGAGACUACUUAGCACAUAUUAUUAUGAUGUUUUUUCAUUUUCUUAAUGUUGUUUUUAUGUCUUAAAUUCUAUUAUUCUAUGUUACGGUAAACAUUCAUCUUGUUUGUGUGGAAUAGGAUCACUUUUCUCUGGGUUGAGUCGAUGCCCUUAGUUAAUUUGUUCAUUUGAAUAAACUAAAUUAUUAUAAGUAUUUAGAUAAGAAAAACGUGAUACAUAAAUUACGCCUCUCGGCACAACUUCAACACUGGUUACUCUGUUUCAGUUUCCUCACACAAGAUUAUUGGUUCUAGGGUUUAUUUGGUUUUGGUUUGAUUCUAAUUGCUAAACUUUCUCAAGGAAGAUGUUAUAUAGGGAGUGAGAAACCUUCACUCUUGGCUACCUCCAAGAGAAGAGCAAGUGGUCUGAAUCAAAGAUAUACUGCUCACUUUUUCUUCUUCUAAGGACAGCUAUGACCUUGCUUUAAGGUUCGAAUAGCCUAAUGCAACCUCCCAUUUCUCAAGUCAGCUGAUGAUGUAAGUCACCUUGGCUUUCCACAUUCAUACGGUGAGGACGUUUGUGGGUGUAAUUCUCUUAACAGUUUUCAUUUUAUAUGGAAAAAUUCAUAAUUAAGGGUAAUUACUGAUUCCAUUUGACAGUGACCAAGUUUAAAAUAUUAAUUCAUAUAUUAAAUGCACAUUAAAAAAUCAUGGAAUAAAUAUAUUUACUAAUAUAUAGUUCUUUUGCCAUGUUCUGUCACAGAAGCAUCGAACUUUCCCUAGAAAUUUUUGCAUGGUAUUCUACUUAUGAUUUUGAAAACUCUAGGCACCUGAGGCCACUAAUUGCAUGGUUGGAUGAGGAGCUGCAUGAGAUUAUGUAUCGUGUUGUUCCUUAACUACAAAUAUCAGUUUUAAGUAGCAUCUCCAUGUGACAUUUUCCUGAUGCAAUUUCGCUGUCCACCAACAAAUUUCACCAUGCAGCAAGAUGAAUUGUAAUUUCUUUAUUGUUAUCAACAGCUUUAAUUAAUCUUGAUAUAUAUAUAUAACUUAGUAGAAGUAUAUUAAUCUAGAUUGUAGUUGCACUAAGAUAAUAGGCAAUAUUAUAACAGUGCCACAAUGCUCAUCGCCAAAUAGAAAGGUAGAAAAACUACAAUGAGUAACUCACAACAUUCUCAAACAGGACAUAGCGGCGACUGAUACAUAGAACACUAUUGGCACUCAGGAAAUGAUAAGAUCAGUGCCCAGCAGGCAGCACGUCUUAUUUUACAUACUACUUAAAACUAACCAAAGUCAUUCAGUUGGGAUGGGUGGGAGAUGGUGGUUUGUGCGGUGGCUUUUGGGUAGUUGGUGGCUUCUUUCCUGGAACUGAUGGUUUUUUUGUUGGAGUUGAAGGAGGCUUAAUCGUCUGAGGUGGCUUGUAUGAGUCUUCAGCACUCUCUGCGGGAGGGUGCCCAGGGUUGUGACCAUAAUGGGGUGGCUUCUCUCCCUUAGUUGGUUUGCCAAGUGGGCUGGCUGGCUUGUGCUCCGGGAGCGGCUUCUCUCCCUUAGGUGGUUUGCCAAAUGGGCUUGCUGGCUUGUGCUCUGGGAGCGGCUUCUCUCCCUCAAGAAGUUUACGGGUUUUGUCAGAUGGCUUGUGUUCUGGUGGUGGCUUCUCUCCUUGGGGUGGUUUGCCAAAUGGACUUGGUGGCUUGUGUUCGGGGAGUGGCUCCUCUCCCUUGGGAGGUUUAGUUGGUGGCUGGUGUUCCAUAGGUGGUUUCUCAACCGGGGGCUUGUUCUCCGUUGGUGGUUUAUGAACUGGGGGAUGCUUGGGGUAGUCAGCAAGAGACGGGGUGGUGAGAACCACCAGUCCCAGCAGCAACACUAGCAAGUAUGUGGAAGAGUACAUCUUUGAGUUCAGGCUGAGAUUUGUGCGAGACUUGAAGAAUUAGGUGGCCUUUUAUAGCUGGCUGCACCCAACACUCACAUGACACGUAUCAUGGUGACACAUGUGCUAUGGGUCCAUUUGGGUCCUACAGAAGCUGAAAACUUUUGACUAUUGAGGUGUGGUCACAACUUUUGUCCCUAUUGCUUUCUCCGCAACCGUUUUACAUGUUUCCUUUGGCAUAAUUUUCUAAGCUAAACAAGCAUAUAUCAUAUUUGGUUAAGAAAGAGUAAAGUGUAUAUGGCACACAUCAAGGAAGAGAAACAGAAAAAGUGGGAGACAAUCAAUUGUGAUAAACAGAUAUAUUAUAUUCAUGUAGUACUAGUGACUUUAUCAUUUACUUUUAUCCAAUAGAUCAUCACUCUUUCUUCUAAAUAUUUUGGAGGAUAAUGGUACAUGUUGCUUGUUUCCAAGUCAAAAUUGGUGGCAAAAAUCGGCAUGAUACGAAAGGAUUGGUGAAAAGAUUCACAUAGAUGGUGCUUUGUGCAAUGCAGUCUUGCUCUAAUUCAACAGAGUGGACCAUGGUGAUGUAUUUUAAAUUUUAAAUUUUAAAUUAAUGCAUGCUUCAAAGUUUUAACUAGAUGUCACUUCCAUGGAUUUUUGUUCAUUUAAUUGAGCACAGGAUAGGCUAUCAAACUUGAAGUAAUAUAAAAAUCCCUUCAUUACUGUAACUAAUGAAAGAUCAUUAUCUGCGCUUGGUAUUUUGCCAAGGUAUUUGCUGCUCUUUCUAGCCCUGUCUUACAGUUAAGGACAAUGUGAUCUAGUUAACCUUAGAAGCUAUUCCAUGUCAGAUACAAGAGAUCAAGCACAUUAUCUUUGGGCUCAGUUCAAAACUAUAAUAUAUGGGUGGGGUGGAGGCCCAUAUCAUUUGCAUAUCACCACUAUUGGUUUAGUUUGGAAGGUUUCUUCUGGAAGAUUGCUGCUUUCUGGAAUCAUUUCAAAGAAAUAUAUCUUUUUGUUCUCUUGGUGACGAGCAGCGGCAAUCAAGUCUGUUGACAAACAACCGAGUUGAAAAGUUUGAAAAUUGGUCACAGCCCACGUCCAUGGUUAAGGAAAAGGUCACUGGAAGUGAUCCCUUCUGGGCCUCUUGAUUUCCAUUCUGACAUCUAUAUGACCUGAUAAAUAGAAAGAAAAAAAAACAGAAGAAAAGCGGCACCCGGGUUCAUAGUAAGCAUCAAGACAGGAUACUGAAAGAAGGGAGAAAGGAGAUUGCAAGUCCAAUCCUGAUAAAAUGAUCAACAAAGAGUAUCAAAAUGGGGCCAACAUAAAGACCCAUUGAGGUUAGCAGAUGGCAUGGCAUUUUUCUCCUUAAGUUUUCCAUGAUUAGACUUGAAGUCAAAAUUUCACAUGUAAAUUUGUAUUUCUACAUUUCCCACUGACGACACCCAACUUCAACUUGAGUUAGAAUAACAUUGUGUGAACUUAUCUGGCCCUCAAAAUUUACUGUGAAGUGCUUUCUGCGUGUGAAGAUUCAGAAAAGCACCAAGGGAACAUGUAUGGUCUGCCUUUUUCUGAUGUUAUGUUUGUCUCUAAUUCUGUUCCAUGUCAUGGUAAAUGUUCACAUUGCUUGUAUGGAACACACCAGGAUCACUUUUUCGGGUUUAUUUUGAGGCUUCAUAUUGGGUUCAUAUUGGGUUCAAUGCUUUUAAUGUGUUCAUUAGACAAAUCUGAAUUAUCAUAUGCAUUUAGAUAAGAACAAUAAUGUGAAACCCUAGUUACACCUCCCCUGCAUAACCCCAACCCUGCUUACUCUAUUUCAGUUUACUCACACAAGUUUUACCGGUUCUUAUAAGUCAAGAAAAGGCAACUGAUGUUGGAUUGACUCUCUUCCAUGUAUAAAAAGCAACUUUUAUAUAUACAUAAAAUAACUUCUUCCCCUCACCAAUGUGGGAUAUCAUGGAUUUAUUCUGGAAACACAUCAAAGGAACAUCUUUUCUCUUGGGUGACCCUAAGUGGUGAGUCAGACCAUUUGCAUGCCAUUGAGUUGCACAGUUGGAUAAAUGCACCUACCUCCUGGGCUCCAGAGUUAAAAGGGUGGAUCCCUGGAUCGCAACCCUCUUGGCAUCUUGGUUUCCAUUCCAACAUCCACAUGACUUGACAAAACAAAAAACAGAAUAAAAUCAUCACUAUUUUCAUGCUAAGCACCAAUACAUGAUGGAAAUCAUUGCUUAAAGAUUUGGGGUCAUUUAGGUUUUGACUGCCUCCUAACACCUCACCUAAUCACAAGUUUUUAUGCUUACAAAUCAAAUAUCGUUCUUCAUUAUAUUAAAAUCAUUUUAAGAUUUCAGAUCCAUCUGCUAAUUAUGAUUAUGAUAACAUUAAUUCACCUGUGCUUCUCAUUUUCGACACACAAGGCAUCUAGGUUUGCAGGAUUUCCUUAUUAGAUGAGAUAAAUGAGUACGCAUGGUUAUGUAUGCAGCAUUCAUUAACCAUGGUAUGUGACAUUUAGAAUUAAGAUAGCAAGCAAACUUUCCCUGCAGCUUGAGUAAAUUGUGAUUUCUUAGCCUCUAUGAGUGGUUCCCAAAUCAAAUUAACAUAGUGAAAUAUACGUAGUCCAGUGAAAGGAAAUGUAAAUUAUAAACUAACAGCACUACACUACUGGUAACACUCGAUACUCUCUAUAUAAUGCAAUGAAAUAUACGUUAUACGUUGCUUGUUCCAAGUCAAAAUUUGUGGCCAAACGUUGGCCUUUUUUCAUUUUCCCUAAGAUUAAUGCUCACCUGGGAUAGGCACUACAUGAUUUAUCUGCUCUUUUACUGUAAAGUUGCUUUGUGUAUGAGUUACACCUCCCCUGCACACCCUCAACAUUUGUUGCUCUGUUUUCCUUGUGUCCAGACGAGGAUAUUAAGUGGGGGCUGACAAAACGACUGCUAGCCAAGGAUUUACAAGGUCCUGGUUUGACGCUUCCGCGAAAGUAUUUUUGAAAAUAUACACAUAGAGAUUGCGCGUUCGGUGCAAUGCAACAAUGUGAGCCAUUCUGAAGUUUUUAAUUUCAGAUUAAUGAAUGCUACAAAAUUCUAAGAAGGGCCGUUUCCAAAUAUUUGAGUUCAUUUAUCCGAACAUCGGAUAAGUAAUGAUCAUAGAUUAUUAUUAUUAUCUGACGUUCUUAUAAUGGUUGGCAUUAUAAGAGGGUAUAUGCUUCUUUCUCUAGCCCCUCCUUCAAGGGAGGGACAAUGUGAUCUGUAUCGUUAGAAGCUAUUCCAUGUCGUCAUCUUUUGGCUUAAGUCAAUACUAAAAUAUAUGGGCGGGGCCCCUGUCAUUUUAUAUUUCUUCUAGAAGGUUUGUUCUGGAAAUCUUUCACCGAAACAUAUCUUUUUCUUCUCUACGUGAUCCGUGGUUGGAAAGUUAGAAAAAUGGGUCCGUUCACAAGCCACCGAGUUGAAAAGUUGGAAAAAUGGCAACACCGCCAACCUCUUGUAUUCGAUAGUUAAAUAAAAGGUCACUGGAAGUGAGAUCCCUUUUGGCCUCUUGAUUUUCAUCCCAGCAUCUCUAUGUCCUGAUAAACUAAAAAACUAAAAAAAAAACAGUACGUGGGUUGGUGUUAAGCAUCAAGAGUCAAGACAUGAUAAUGGAGAGAAAGGAUAUUCAAAUUCCAGUUCUGACAACAUGAUUUUCUUUCCUGAACAACCAUGUUAUAUUUGAUCAAGAAAGAGUAGUGCAUGUGGCCAGGAUCAAGACAUACAUUAAUUUCCACAUGAUGAAGACAGUUUCUGAGAGUUUCUUCUAAAGCUCUUGCGCUAGUAGGCUUCAAGUCAAAAUUUCCCAUGUAAACACUGGAUUUUCUUUAAUUGCCACUAAGGAUACAGUUAAAAUUGACUUAAAAUCCUACGUGAUAUAUAUCUUUAACAAAAGUAUAUUGUAUAUAAUAUUUGAAAUAAUGUUGAUUCGUUGUGGAAAUAUGUUUGUAAGGAAAGUUGUUGACAAUUUAAUAUAGUAUAAGAAGAAAAAAGUUAUCAACUAGAGAUGAGUAUGUAAAGUGAGGCUCACGAUUCAACGCGUAAAUAUAAGAUAUUUUAAGGCUCAAUAGUUAUGAUAUCUAUUUUAUUUUUUGUAUCCCAUAUAUUCAAAGAUACAGUAAAAUGAUUUUAUAUAUAUGAACAUAGCCGAUAGUAUCAUGUUAAAACCUUAUAUGACUCUUUGUGCCAAUUGAUUUUUAUCUUUAUUUUGUGUAUUAGUAAUUAGUAUUAAAGUUUUUACUAACAUAAUAAUUGAUAUAAAAGCUUUUUCCAAAAGAGUCAAACAGAGCAAAACACUUAUUAUAAAAAGAAUUUUGAUUGAAGGUGGAGUCAAUUAUUCUUUAUUCAACAUGUGAUGCAUACAGCGGGUACUUCAUAACUAAAGUAUAUAAGUGCAACAUCUCUUAUACAUUCUCAUUCAAUCUCGAAAGUGGAAAAUUUUAAAAGAUUAAAUGGUUCAAAUUUUCCGUGCAUAAAGGGGAUCAUGUCACAUAACCAAACCAUGGCAUACCAAAGCCAUGAUAUGGACUAAGAAUUUUGUUAAAAUAAGUUUCUUAUUAGGGCACAUUAUGUGACUAUUUAUGACAUAUCAAAGGAGUCAAGUGCAUCAAUAAAGACAUAGAAAAUUCAUGCAUCACAUGUACCACUAAGAGAAAAUUGACUUGAUAGAGUUUAGUCCAAAUAGGAGAUUGUUAAAAGGUGCAUCAAAUUCUUGAUUGAUAUAUAUUUUUUUUAUUAGAAAGGUUAUUAUAUAGAUAUUUCAAUAGACUAUUAAUCCUUUGUAAAAAUAGUUAUAUAAUGAGGAUGGUGAUUAAAAAUAUCUCUAUCAAUAUUUUGGAUUAUAAAAAGAAAAAAAAUAUGAGAAAAUGAUAAACAUAUAAAACUUGUACAAGUAGAUAGAGAUGUGAUGAAAGACACUUGAUGAAUGGAGGCCUUGUAUUUCAAGAUGUAAAUAUAUGGAGCAAAACUCUUAAUUAUAUGAUCAAAUGAUUCUCUCAUAUUCAUGAACAUAAGCAGGAUUGGGGAACCAUGAUAGAAUCUUAUAUGCCUCUCCAUGUAGAUUGAUCGAUGUUUAUCUUCAUAUUUUACACCAAUGAAUGACAUUGAAACUCUGAUUGAUAAAAGGGAAAAAGCAUGGCCUCCACCACAAGAAAAACAAGUAACCUCGGUCUAAAUCACUAGUCUACACCCCGAAGAGAGAACUAGCCAAACCUACUAAAAGAGAAACUUACCAAUUUAGAAAGAAAUCUUCCAUGAUAAAGGGCCCCUAAAAGUCCAAUUCAGUCAGGUUGUGAACAAAAACACCUUCAUGUCAAAACAGGAAUAGGUACCACCAAAAUGUAAAGGGAAAGAUGUAAACCAAGUCGAACUUUGGUAAACAAUGGUAAAGAUAGCAUGAUAGCUAAAAGCACUAAAGCUGUGCUUGGUAUGCAAAAAUGAAAAGUGGAAAUCAGCGUCUUAUUCUUUUUCUCCUUUAUUCACAUAUUAGGAUAACUAAUAUCUAAUGUUUUUUUUAUGUCUCAAAUUCUAUUCCAUGUUAUGGUAAACUUUCAUCUUGUUUAAGUGGAAGAGUAGGAUCACUUUUGUCUGGUUUGGGCUCAAGACGAUAAGCCUAUAGAGACUUCAUAUUGGGUUGAAUUGAUGCCCUUGAUCCGAUCAGUUCGUUAGAAAAAUCUGAAUUAUUAUAAGCAUUUAGAUAAAAUAAAUAAAUAAAUGUGAAACAGAGACUAUUCUCUGCACAACCUUGACCCUAGUUACUCAGUUUCACUGCUCACGGGACUAACCUCUCCAUUCAGUCGAAAUGAAUUGUAAUUUCUUUACUGGUAGCAGUAGUACUUUUCAUAGCAAAGAUAAUAGUAAAUAUGAAAUAUAAAUAUAUAGAAGGAAAUCUGGAUUGUAGAUAGCACCAUAAGUAACACUCAAUAUUUACUACAUAAUAAAAGAGAUAGUGUUACAAAGGUAGAGAAACCUACAAUGAGUACUCAUCACCAUUCUCAAACAGAAACAUAGCAGUGACUUAUACAUAGAACCUAUAGGCUCGCAGGGAAAGAGUAACAUGAUAAGUGCACAGCGGGUAGCAGCUCUUAUUUUACGUAUUACUCAAAAUCUCAAACUAACCAAAGUCACUCAGUUGGGAUGGGUAGGAGAUGGUGGUUUGUGGGGUGGCUUCUGGGUAGGAGCUGGUGGCUUCUUUGUUGGAGUUGAAGGAGGCGUAAUCUUCUGAGGUGGCUUGUAUGAGUCUUUGGCACUCUCUGCAGGAGGGUGCCCAGGGUUGUGACCGGAAGGAGGUGGCUUCUGUCCCUUUGGUGGUUUGCCUAAUGGGCUUGGUGGCUUGUGCUCCGGGAGUUGUUUCUCUCCCUCGAGUAGGUUUCGAGUUUUGUCAGAUGGCUUGUGUUCUGGUGGUGGCUUCUCUCCCUGGGGUGGUUUGCCGAAUGGGCUUGGUGGCUUGUGUUCGGGGAGUGGCUUCUCUCCCUUGGCAGGUUCAGUUGGUGGCUGGUGCUCCGUAGGUGGUUUCUUCACCGCCGGCUUCUCUCCCUGGAGAAGGUUACGAGUUUUGUCAGAUGGCUUCUGUUCUGGUGGCGGCUUCUCUCCCUGGGGUGGUUUGCCAAAUGGGCUUGGUGGCUUGUGUUCGGGAACUGGCUUCUCUCCCUUGGCAGGUUCAGUUAGUGGCUGGUGUUCCGUAGGUGGUUUCUUCACCGGCGGCUUGUGCUCCGGAAGCGGCUUCUCUACCUGGAGAAGCUUACGAGUUUUGUCAGAUGGCUUGUGUUGUGGUGGUGGCUUCUCUCCCUGGGGUGGUUUGCCAAAUGGACUUGGUGGCUUGUGUUCGGGGAGUGGCUUCUCUCCAUUGGGAGGUUUAGUUGGUGGUUGGUGUUCCGUAGGUGGUUUCUGAAGUGGGGGAUGCUUGGGGUAGUCAGCAAGAGACGAGGUAGUGAGAACCACCAGUCCCAGCAGCAAUACUAGCAAGGAUGUGGAAGACAUCUUUGAGUUCAGGCUGAGAUUUGUGCAAGGCUAGAAGAAUUAGGUGGCCUUUUAUAGCGGGCUGGACCCAACAACCAAAUGACACGUAUCAUGAUACACAUAUGUGUUAUAAGAUCCUUGUGGGUCCUACAGAAGUUGAAAACUUUGACAAUUGAGGUGUGAUUACAACUUUUGUCCCUAUUGCUUUCUCGUCAGCCGUUUUGCAAGAUUUUUGACAGGAGGACGGUAGUUUAAAAUAAUAAUUUCUAAAGUACUUUUGUGAAAAAAAAUAAUUCCAAACGUGGAUUUUAUCAAGUAAAAAAAACAAAAAAAAGUUAUUUUCUUUUAAAAUCUUUUCUUCAUGAUUCAUAUACCAAAAAAAGAAUUGUUUUCUGUAGGUAAAAUUUUUAAAAUUCAUUUUUAAAAAAAAAAAAUUACACACUAAAAUUAUCUCUUCAAGAAAAUAUUUUUUAAAUUUUAAAUAAUUAUUAAUUUAUAAUUAAUUUUUUAUUAAUUAUUUAUUAAAUUUAUAUGUGAAAAAUGCAUUUAUAAAAAACAAAUUUUUUAUUAAUUUAUUAAAUAAUUAUUUACAAAAUAAAUAAUUUUGCUUUAUUUUAAUUUUAAAAUUAAUUUUAUUAUAUAAAUUUUAAAAUUAAAAAUAUUAAUAUUUAAUUUAAAAUUUAACUAUAAAAGGAAUAAAAUAUAGAAAAAUAAAUUAAUUUAUUAUUCAAUAAAUUAAUUUUCAAUAAAAUUUUCAGCAUUAAGAGAUAAAUUUUUAAGUAUUAAUCAAUUUAAAAAAUAAUAAUAAUCAUUUGUAUACUAAGAUAUUUUAUUUAGUAAUUAUGAAUGAUAAACAACUAAAGUAAUUUGAAAAAAUAAUAAAAUAUUUAAAAAUAAUAAUUUAAUACACUUAAAAUUAGAAAUGAUUAACUAUUUUUUAUUAAGAAAAAAUUGAAGAAAUAUUUUGUUAUUUAAAAUUUUUUAUUUGUUUUCAAUUUUAAAUGUUAUAGGUUUCAAGAAAAUUGAUCAAAUAAAAAUUAAGAAGUCAUUUUUUCAAAAACUAUAUAUCUAAAUAAAAGCCUUGAAAUUCAAAUACACAAUAUCAUAAAUAUAAACACCAAGUCAAUCCUUAAUUAUCAAAUGUUUUUAAUAUUAAAGAAUCAAAAUCACCUACUAUCAUGAUAAUAAGAAAACCAAUAAUAUUGUUCAUAUAAAUACUAAAAAGCUAACAAAUAUCCCAAACAAUUAAUAAAGUAUCAAACAUGAUAAAAAGUCAAUUAUUAUCAUGAAUGCAAAAAAUCAAUAAUUUUGUUUAUAUGAACCAUCAACAAAGAAAAAAAAAAUCAAUAUCUAAAUAUUAAACAUAAUUUAUAUUUUUAUAAAUAUUAUUGUUGAUAAAUAUCUUAAUAAUUAUAAUUUUUUAUAUAUUAAAUUUAGUAAAUAAAAUUAAUUAAUUUUAUAAUAUAAGAUAUAUAUAAUAAUUAAGAGACUAUUUGUCCCAAACAAUUUAUUUAUUUUUUUUUUAGGAAAUUGUCUCUUCAAGAGACGACUUCUCCCAACAUUUUUAAAAAAAAAAAAAAAAACAUCUAUUCAAAAGACGAUUUCUCCUCAUUUUUUAAAAAUGAAUUUUAGAAAUCAUAUUUUCAAAAAUGAAUUUUAGAAAUCAUAUUUUCAAAAGACGAUUUUUUUUUAUAUAAAUUAUUUUUUAAAAUGACGAUUUUAAAAGGAAAUAACGAUCUCUCUCCUACUUGGCAAAAACUAUGGUAAAUUUGGAAUUAUUUCUUCCACAACCAUAGUUUAAGAAUUAUUUUUUUAUACUUUCGUAGACUUAUCAAAAAUCCCUAUUUUGCAUGUCUCAUUUGGCAUGACUUUCUUACCUAAACAAGCAUAUAUAUAUAUAUAUAUAUAUAUAUCACUUUUGUCUGGGUUGAGUCAAUGCCCUUAACUAAUUUGUUCAUUUGAAUAGUCUAAAUUAUUAUAAGCUUUUAGUUAAGAAAAAUGUGAAACAUAAAUUACACCUCUCGGCACAACUUCGACACUGGUUACUCUGUUUCAGUUUAUUCACACAAGAUUAUUGGUUCUAGGGUUUAUUUGGUUUUGGUUUGAUUCUAAUUGCUAAACUUUCUCAAGGAAGAUGUUAUAUAGGGAGUGAGAAACCUUCACUCCUGGCUACCUCCAAGAGAAGAGCAAGUGGUCUGAAUCAAAGAUAUACUGCUCACUUUUUCUUCUUCUAAGGACAGCUAUGACCUUGCUUUAAAAUGUUCGAAUAGCCUAAUGCAACCUCCCAUUUCUCAAGUCAGCUGAUGAUGUAAGUCACCUUGGCUUUCCACAUUCAUACGGUGAGGACGUUUGUGGGUGUAAUUCUCUUAACAGUUUUCAUUUUAUAUGGAAAAAUUCAUAAUUAAGGGUAAUUACUGAUUCCAUUUGACAGUGACCAAGUUUAAAAUAUUAACUCAUGUAUUAAAUGCACAUUAAAAAAUCAUGGAAUAAAUAUAUUUACUAAUAUAUAGUUCUUUUGUCAUGUUCUGUCACAGAAGCAUCGAACUUUCCCUAGAAAUUUUUGCAUGGUAUUCUGCUUAUGAUUUUGAAAACUCUAGGCACCUAAGGCCACUGAUUGCAUGGUUGGAUGAGGAGCUGCAUGAGAUUAUGUAUCCUGUUGCUCCUUAACUACAAAUAUCAGUUUUAAGUAGCAUCUCCAUGUGACAUUUUCCUGAUGCAAUUUCGCUGUCCACCAACAAAUGUCUCCAUGCAGCUAGAUGAAUUGUAAUUUCUUUGUUGUUAUCAACAGCUUUAAUUAAUCUUGAUAUAUAUAUAACUUAGUAGAAGUAAUUAAUCUAGAUUGUAGUUGCACUAAGAUAAUAGGCAAUAUUAUAACAGUGCCACAAUGCUCAUCGCCAAAUAGAAAGGUAGAAAAACUACAAUGAGUAACUCACACAACAUUCUCAAACAGGACAUAGCGGCGACUGAUACAUAGAACACUAUUGGCACUCAGGAAAUGAUAAGAUCAGUGCCCAGCAGGCAGCACGUCUUAUUUUACAUACUACUUAAAACUAACCAAAGUCAUUCAGUUGGGAUGGGUGGGAGAUGGUGGUUUGUGCGGUGGCUUCUUUCCUGGAACUGGUGGUUUUUUUGUUGGAGUUGAAGGAGGCUUAAUCGUCUGAGGUGGCUUGUAUGAGUCUUCAGCACUCUCUGCAAGAGGGUGCCCAGGGUUGUGACCAUAAUGAGGUGGCUUCUCUCCCUUAGGUGGUUUGCCAAGUGGGCUGGCUGGCUUGUGCUCCGGGAGCGGCUUCUCUCCCUUAGGUGGUUUGCCAAAUGGGCUUGCUGGCUUGUGCUCUGGGAGCGGCUUCUCUCCCCCAAGAAGUUUGCGGGUUUUGUCAGAUGGCUUGUGUUCUGGUGGUGGCUUCUCUCCUUGGGGUGGUUUGCCAAAUGGACUUGGUGGCUUGUGUUCGGGGAGUGGCUCCUCUCCCUUGGGAGGUUUAGUUGGUGGCUGGUGUUCCGUAGGUGGUUUCUCAACCGGGGGCUGGUGCUCCGUAGGUGGUUUAUGAACUGGGGGAUGCUUGGGGUAGUCAGCAAGAGACGGGGUGGUGAGAACCACCAGUCCCAGCAGCAACACUAGCAAGUAUGUGGAUGACAUCUUUGAGUUCAGGCUGAGAUUUGUGCAAGACUAGAAGAAUUAGGUGGCCUUUUAUAGCUGGCUGCACCCAACACUCACAUGACACGUAUCACGGUGACACAUGUGCUAUGGGAUCCAUUUGGGUCCUACAGAAGUUGAAAACUUUUGACUAUUGAGGUGUGAUCACAACUUUUGUCCCUAUUGCUUUCUCCGCAACCGUUUUACAUGUUUCCUUUGUGGUGUUUAAUAGUGUUUUUUUCCUUAAUUCUAAAUAAACCUUAAUACUUAAUAAUGUUAAAUAUUAGGUUAUUUAUUUUUAUAAUAUUUUAUUUAUAUUAAGUAUUAAAAAGUAAAGAAAAAUCAAUAUAUUUAUUUUUCUAUUUAGAAAAAACUAUAUAUUUUUAAUUUUUUUAUUUAAUAAAAAAUUUAUAAUAAAUCAUGAAAAAAUAGAAAAACAAACAACCUAAAUUUUAAAAAUAAAUUGUUUUUAGUAAAAACCCAAAAAAACAAACACCACCUUAACUAAACAAAUAUAUAUUAUAUUUAGUUAAGAAAGAGUAAAGUGUAUAUGGCUCAAAUCAAGGAAGAGAAACAGAAUAAGUGGAAGACAAUCAAUUGUGAUAAACAGAUAUAUUACAUGCAUGUAGUACUAGUGACUUUAUCAUUUACUUUUAUACAAUAGAUCAUCACACUCUUUCUUCUAAAUAUUUUGGAGGAUAAUGGUACAUGUUGCUUGUUGCCAAGUCAAAAUUGGUGGCAAAAAUCGGCAUGAUACGAAAGGAUUGGUGAAAAGAUUCACAUAGAUGGUGCUUUGUGCAAUGCAGUCUUGCUCUAAUUCAACAGAGUGGACCAUGGUGAUGUAUUUUAAAUUUUAAAUUUUAAAUUAAUGCAUGCUUCAAAGUUUUAACUAGAUGUCACUUCCAUGGAUUUUUGUUCAUUUAAUUGAGAACAGGAUAGGCUAUCAAACUUGAAGUAAUAUAAAAAUCCCUUCAUUACUGUAACUAAUGAAAGAUCAUUAUCUGCGCUUGGUAUUUUGCCAAGGUAUUUGCUGCUCUUUCUAGCCCUAUCUUACAGUUAAGGACAAUGUGAUCUAGUUAACCUUAGAAGCUAUUCCAUGUCAUAUACAAGAGAUCAAGCACAUUAUCUUUGGGCUCAGUUCAAAACUAUAAUAUAUGGGUGGGGUGGGGGCCUAUACCAUUUGCAUAUCACCACUAUUGGUUUAGUUUGGAAGGUUUCUUCUGGAAGAUUGCUUUCUGGAAACAUUUCAAAGAAAUAUAUCUUUUUGUUCUCUUGGUGACGAGCAGCGGCAAUCAAGUCUGUUGACAAACAACCGAGUUGAAAAGUUUGAAAAUUGGUCACAGCCCACGUCCAUGGUUAAGGAAAAGGUCACUGGAAGUGAUCCCUUCUGGGCCUGUUGGAAGCAGGGGAGGUUAACACACCAAGCAACAAAGAACAGAGAUAUGCUGCUACUGAUCUAUAUUUUUUAUUUGAUCAUAAGGCUAAAUUUAUACAGAUUGUGUAACAGAUAUGACCUCAAAAAAAAGCAUCAAAUCAAGCUACUUGUUGAACAAACAACUACCUUCUACAAAAUAACAUCAAAAUUUAACUUAAAAGCAAAAACAUAAAAAUAGCAACAGCAAAAAUAGAAACAUAAAAAUAGCUUCAGCAUUCUAGUAAUCUCGUUGACUUCAAUUGCAUGUGGUUGACGAUUUCAGCCUUUUCCUCAGCAGCUACUAAGGCAUAACUCUCAACACUCCUCCUUGACUUAGGAGGUGCAAACUCCAAGUCUUUCUCAUAGAAACUCAAAUCUUAUUUUAGGAAGAGCUUUAGUCAGAAUAUCUACAUUUUGACUGUCUGUAUUGCAGUAGACUAGUUGUAUAUCUCCUUCUUUCUGUACUUCCCUCAAAAAUUACAAUUUAAUCUUGAAGUGCUUUGUUUUACCAUGAAAAACUGGAUCAUUUGCAAUAGAUAUAGUGGCCUGGUUGUCUACAAACACCUUUGUACUCACUUCUUGCUUCAUAUCCAAAUCUGUCAGCAACUUUCCAAGCCAUAAGGCUUGAUUUACAGCUGUAACAGCAGCAAUAUACUCUGCCUCAGCUGUGGAUUGAGCCACGACUUCUUGCUUCCUUGAACUCCAUGAAAAAACACCAGAACCAAAACUAAAACAAUAGCCUGAAGUACUUCUCAUAUCGUCAACACAACCAGCCCAAUCACUAUCAGAAAAUCCAUGAAAAUUGAAACUUUGAACUUGACUGAACUUAAUGCCAUAAUCCACAGUGCCUUUAACAUUUCUUAUCACACGCUUUGCUGCCUGGAAAUGAAUUUCACUAGCACAAUGCAUGUAUCUCGAAAGUAGACUUACAGCAUGCAUUAUAUCGAGUCUUGUUGCAGUCAAGUACAUUAAGCAUCCAAUCAUGCUUCGAUAAAGUCCUUCAUCUACCUUUUUAGCACCGUCCUCCUUACAGAACUUCUCUUUCUGGUUCAUAGGGGUAGAUGUAGGUUUGCAUUCCUCCAUUUUGAAUUUCUUCAUAAUUUCUUUGGCAUAUUUUUGUUGGCAGAUGAAAAUCUCAUUCUGCUUCUGGUGUACUUCCAUUCCCAAGAAGUAAGACAUCUCAUCUAGGUCUGUCAUCUCAAAAACCUGCUCCAUUUCAGCCUUGAAUUUGUUCACAAACCCUGCAUUACUUCCUGUUACAAGCAAAUCAUCAACAUAUAGAGAAACAAUUAAUAUAUCUUCUUCAAUCUUCUUAAUGUAGAGUGUAAAUUCACUCAAGCUCUUGUGAAAGCCUAAAGUUAGCAGGUGAGUGUCAAUCCUGCUGUACCAAGCUCUAGGGGCUUGUCUUAACCCAUACAAGGCCUUCUUAAGAAGGUAUACUUUUUCUUCUUUUCCUUUGAUAGCAAAACCUUCUGGUUGUUCGACAAAAAUCUCUUCCUCUAAGUAGCCAUUCAAAAAUGCUGACUUCACAUCUAGUUGAUAAAUCUUCCAUUUUCUUUGAGCUACAAGAGCCAACAACAUCCUGAUUGUAUCCAAACGAGCUACUGGUGCAAAGGUUUCCGAAAAGUCAACACCAAACAUUUGUGCAUACCCUUUGACAACCAGCCUUGCUUUAUGUUUGUUUAUAGAACCAUCAGAGUUGAGUUUGGUUCUGUAAACCCACUUAACCCCAAUAGGUUUUUUGUGUGAAGGUCUAUCUACUAGCUCCCAAGUGUUGUUCUUGUCAAUCAUAUCUAGCUCCUCCUGCAUUGCAACCCUCCAUCUUUUAUUUUCAGCAGCUUCAACAAACCCUGCAAGUUCAAGAACAGCUAUAUUACACCUUUGAUAAAUAUCAAAAAGUGUCAUGAAACCUCUAACUGGAAGUUCAUCAACAUCUUCAUCAAUAUAUUGCUGAUUCUGCUCAUCCCAACUCCAUUUCUCCGUUUCCAAAAACUUAACAUCUCUACUUACCACAAUUUUACUAUUUUGUGGCAAGUAGAUUCUGUAAGCUUUUGAGGUGCUGUUGUAUCCAAUGAAAAUUCCUGGUUCUGACUUUUUAUCUAGCUUGUCUCUUUUCACCUGAGGAACAUAAGAGAAACACAAGCAACCAAAGGUCUUUAAAUUCAUUAGCAUAGGCUUAUAAGCAAACCAGGCCUCAAAAGGUGUCUGUUUCUGCAAUGCUUUUGUUGGUAGUCUAUUUAGCAAAAAUACUACUGUAUUUGCAGCUUCAACCCAAAAACUUUUUGGCAGCUCUUUCUCAUGCAAAAGACAUCUUGUCAUUGAUUACUACUCAAAAAGUGCUAUUUGAUAGCCUUUAAUUAAUCCUUUUUAACACUUUUGAGUAGUAGUUUAGGCCUUUUAACUCAAUUGGCAUGUUAAGGAUCCUUUAAAGCAAUUUUGAUCACUUUGUGCAAGUUUUGGUGUUUUUGUUAGUAUUUCGAUCACCAAAGCAAGUCAAGAAUGAGGAGAGCUAUGAGGAAUCUUGGGCAAAGCUUAGAAUUCAAUUGCCAAGAGUGAAUCCGGAUUGCAAGGAGAAAAAGCAAAGAGGAUCAGUCAUGGAGCAUAUUCUUGAUGACAGUCGUAGCAGCCACUUUUGGAUCACUUUCUGAAGUCCAAAUGAUGCAAGCUAUAUACCAUUUCAAAGCUCAGGAAGUCAACAAUCCAAUGCUUCAAACGGUGUGCGAUUCGGAAUUGAAACGAAGAAGUUGCAGCCAUUACAAGCCAGACACUCUAAAGUGUUGCGGAAUCAGCCAUGUGUUGCGAGAAUUUCGCAGCACUUUUGUACAGUAAGGUGUUUCUCCUUCUAACGAUGCACGAACCAUGCCGCGAGAAGGGAGCUGGAAACUUCAAGAUGGAAGCCAACUUUGCAGCCUAGUGAAGAUAGCUCGGUCUUGCAAGAUAAUUUCGCAGCCCUCUUGGGUGUCUGCGAAAUUUCGCAGGCCUCAUUUUUCACCUGCGAAAUGGCUCUUGAAGCCUCCCGAAGCUUGCUACCGACAUUGGGAGAUAUUUUCCAUUAGAUUUUUGUUGUCUAAAUCCCAAAAUACUCCUUGUAAACCACCAAUUACAUGAUUCCUUAGUUUUUAAGUUAGUAAAAAGACCAAAUAUCUUUGUAACAAUUAGUUUUAUAUUUUGUUGUUAUAAAUACCUCUCGGGAGCCUGUUCUCAGGGAGGAGUUCCUUCUGUAAACGUUUGGUAAGCAAGUAAAGUCUAUUUUCUUUCUACUGCCUUACCUUCUCACUUUGUAUUUUCAUUUUAUUUCUAAGUUAUGAAUUCUCUGAGGAGUUUUCCCCAAAGAAUGAGUAACUAAACCUCCAAUUCCUUGGAGCUAAGGUUGCCGGGGAAGGUUCCAAGUGCAAGAAUGCAAAGCUCUGUGGUUUUAGCUAGUAAUGAAGAGGAAGUGAAAUCCUUUAGUGAUUUCAAUGUUUUUAGUUAACUUAAAACACUUUGGAGUCACCUGGGCCAACACUUGGUAAGGCAAGUGAUUUCCAACCAUGGAAAUGCACUAGUUUACCCCUUGCGAGCCUCUGGUAGGUGACUUCAAGGUAGGAUUUUCUGGAAUUACCAACACUUGGUAAGCUUUUGGACUCCUAGGAGACAUCCAUUAGUUAUCUCUUGCGAGUUUGUGAAGGGAAUCCAAGGUUAAAGAUCACCUUGAAUGGUAAGUGCUCGUGAGAGGCAUGAACCAUUGCAAGUUGUAUCAGUGAGAGAAUUAAAGUGAAAUCUAAUUGAAGGAGUCUUUGUACAUCACCGGUUAGAGAAUUGACUAUAAGUUGAAUCUCUAAUGCGAGGAAAUGAACCAACUGACCAGAGCCGUGUCUUUUGCAUGAGGAACCACCCCAGUGAACCUAAAUCUCCAAGGAAUGUUUUUUUCUUCCUAAAUUAUUCCAAACUUCUGUUAAGUUAGUUAGUUUAAAUCUCAACCUUUACAAAUCAAAGUUUGUGUUUUAUUCCUUAAGCUAACCGUGAAAUGAAACAAGACCAAUUCACUUGGAAUUGGUAUCAUUGAUUGCCUGCAAAUCAUUCCCAGUGAACGAUCCUAGAGCCACUAUACUAUAGUAGCUUUGUAUUUGCUACCCUAGUGUAUGGUGUUAUAGGUAUAAAUUUUGUUGAUCACUUCCUCAAUCAAGGAGCACCAGCUGAACACAAAUCAGCUGAGACACCAAUUAGGCAUGAGUCAAAUGGCGCCGUUGCCGGGGAAUGAAUGUCAAGUUCAUUGUGAUACCAUUGUUGAGCACUUGUGAUUUUCAUCACAAGUUGGUAAAGUUUCUUUCACUUUACUAAUUUUCAUUCUUUCUUUGUUUAUUUACAAUCUAAGUUUAUCUUUUUAAAUUUUAGUCUAGUUUAAUUUUGUUGUUGUAGCCCUGUUUUUCUUGUUGUCCUCUGUUUUCAUUUUUUUUUUCAGGUAGAUACUAGUUGUGUAUGCCCAAGUGGAUACGAGACAUAGGAGGUAGGCUUGUUAAGUGUGAUACACCUCAGAAAGGAGAAUUUGAAGUAAUCUUGAAUAUCAUGGAGGCUGCACCUGAAGAUCAGCAUAGUCACCAAGGUCGUCAAGACAAUCUCAAUGAAUUCAGAUCAAUGAGGGACCGUAUGCAUCCACCUCGUAUGAGUACACCAUCAUGUAUAGUGCCCCCUACAGAGCAGCUAGUGAUCAGACCAUAUCUUGUUCCACUUCUACCAACUUUCCAUGGGAUGGAAAGUGAGAAUCCGUAUGCACACAUCAAGGAAUUUGAAGAUGUUUGUAAUACAUUCCAAGAAGGAGGAGCUUCAAUUGACUUGAUGAGGCUUAAGUUAUUUCCUUUUACUUUAAAGGAUAAGGCCAAAAUUUGGCUUAAUUCUUUAAGGCCAAGGAGUAUCCGCUCUUGGACUGAUUUACAAGCUGAGUUCCUUAAGAAAUUUUUUCCUACUCAUAGAACAAAUGGCUUGAAAAGGCAAAUUUCAAACUUCUCAGCUAAAGAGAAUGAGAAAUUCUAUGAGUGUUGGGAAAGAUACAUGGAAGCUAUAAAUGCUUGUCCUCACCAUGGCUUUGAUACUUGGCUAUUGGUGAGCUAUUUUUAUGAUGGUAUGUCCUCCUCAAUGAAGCAACUCCUCGAGACAAUGUGUGGAGGAGAUUUCAUGAGCAAAAAUCCAGAGGAAGCUAUGGAUUUCUUGAGCUAUGUAGCUGAUGUUUCAAGGGGAUGGGAUGAACCAACUAAAGGAGAAGUGGGAAAGAUGAAGUCUCAGUUGAAUGCUUACAAUGCAAAGGCUGGGAUGUAUAAUUUGAAAGAAGAUGAUGACAUGAAAGCAAAGUUGGCAGCUAUGACAAGAAGAUUGGAGGAGCUGGAGCUGAAAAGAAUGCAUGAAGUGCAAGCUGUUGCUGAAGCACCAGUGCAAGUGAAGCUGUGUCCCAAUUGUCAAUCAUUUGAACAUUUGGUGGAGGAGUGCCCUGCAAUUUCAGUUGAAAGGGAAAUGUAUAGAGAUCAAGCAAAUGUUGUUGGACAAUUUAGGCCCAAUAACAAUGCUCCUUAUGGAAAUACCUACAAUUCAAGUUGGAGGAAUCAUCCAAAUUUCUCAUAGAAGGCCAGAGCAACUCAAUACCAACAGCCGGAUCCACCAUCUCAGCAAUCUUCAAGUAUUGAACAAAUAAUAGCCAAUCUCAGCAAGGUAGUGGGAGAUUUUGUGGGAAAGCAAGAAGCCACCAAUGCUCGAGUUGAUCAAAGAAUGGAUAGAAUGGAGAGUGUGUUGAACAAAAGAAUGGAUGGAAUGCAAAAUGAUAUGAACCAAAAGUUUGAUAACAUCCAAUAUUCAAUUUCAAGGCUUACAAAUUUGAAUACACUGCAAGAAAAAGGAAGAUUUCCUUCUCAACCUAACCAAAAUCCCAAAGGUGUCCAUGAAGUGGAAAGCCAUGAGGGAGAAUCAUCACAGGUGAAAGAUGUGAAAGCUUUGAUCACUCUAAGGAGUGGUAAGAAAAUUGAGCAGCCAACACCCAUGCCACAUGUUGAGAAAGAAGAAGGGAUAAAGAAAGGAAAGGAAAUAGAAGAUAAAGACAGUGAGAUCAGUGAAGAAAAGAAGGACUCUGAUUCAACAAUCAAAGCAAUUCCAGAGAAAGAGCUUCUGAAGGAAGAAAUGCUGAAGAAAUCAACUUUUCCACCUUUUCCUCAAGCAUUACAGGGGAAAAAGGGGGUUAGAAAUGCAGCUGAAAUCCUUGAAGUCUUAAGACAAGUAAAAGUUAAUAUUCCACUGCUGGAUAUGAUCAAACAAGUUCCAACGUAUGCAAAAUUCCUAAAGGACUUGUGUACUAUCAAAAGAGGGGUUGACUGUAAACAAGAAAGCCUUCUUGACUGAGCAAGUAAGUGCAAUCUUACAAUGCAAGUCUCCUUUGAAGUACAAAGACCCUGGAAGUCCUACCAUUUCAGUCAUGAUUGGAGGAAAGGUAGUGGAGAAAGCCUUGCUAGACUUGGGAGCAAGUGUGAAUUUGCUUCCAUACUCUGUCUACAAGCAACUGGGACUUGGAGAGUUGAAGCCAACAGCAAUCACUUUAUCUUUGGCAGAUAGAUCAGUGAAAAUUCCAAGAGGAGUAAUUGAGGAUGUAUUGGUUCAAGUGGAUAAUUUCUACUAUCCAGUAGAUUUUGUUGUUCUUGAUACUGAUCCAACUGUAAAGGAAGCUAAUUUAGUUCCUAUCAUCCUUGGAAGGCCAUUUCUUGCAACUUCAAAUGCAAUCAUCAACUGUAGAAAUGGGCUUAUGCAACUCACUUUUGGUAACAUGACACUGGAUCUCAAUAUUUUCUAUAUGUCUAAAAAGCAAAUCACUCCUGAGGAAGAAGAAGGUCCAGAAGAGCUAUGUAUUAUUGAUACUUUGGUGGAGGAGCACUGCAAUCAGCAUAUGCAAGAUAAGUUGAAUGAAAGUCUUGUGGAUAUUGAGGAAGGUUUUUCUGAAUCUCCUAUUGGGCUUGCUACUCUACAAAGUUGGAGAAAGAUAGAAGGAAUUCUACCUUUGUUCAAUGAAAAAGAGGAGGCAACUGUUGAAGAAGAAAUUCCAAAACUCAAUUUGAAGCCUUUACCUGUGGAGCUGAAAUAUACAUAUCUUGAAGCAAAUAAUCAAUGUCCUGUUGUGAUAUCCUCAUCUCUGACCAGUCAUCAAGAGAAUUGUUUAAUGGAAGUUCUCAUGAGGUGUAAGAAGGCAAUAGGAUGGCAAAUAUCUGACUUGAAAGGCAUUAGUCCUUUAGUUUGUACUCAUCAUAUAUAUAUGGAGGAGGAAGCAAAGCCAAUUCGUCAAUUUCAAAGAAGGUUGAAUCCUCAUCUACAAGAGGUGGUGCGAGCUGAGGUGCUGAAGCUACUUCAAGCAGGAAUCAUUUACCCUAUUUCUGAUAGCCCUUGGGUGAGUCCUACUCAAGUGGUACCAAAGAAGUCAGGGAUCACAGUGAUUCAAAAUGAAAAAGGGGAAGAAAUUACUACACGCCUCACUUCAGGUUGGAGGGUGUGUAUUGAUUAUAGAAAGCUGAAUGCUGUCACCAGGAAGGAUCAUUUUCCAUUGCCAUUUAUUGAUCAAGUGCUGGAGAGAGUCUCUGGACAUCCAUUUUAUUGUUUCUUGGAUGGGUAUUCAGGCUAUUUUCAAAUUGAAAUUGAUUUGGCAGAUCAGGAAAAGACCACUUUUACAUGUCCAUUUGGAACAUUUGCUUAUAGAAGAAUGCCUUUUGGUUUAUGCAAUGCACCUGCUACAUUUCAAAGAUGUAUGUUGAGUAUUUUCAGUGAUAUGGUGGAGAGAAUUAUGGAGGUUUUCAUGGAUGACAUCACCGUAUAUGGAGGUACAUUUGAGGAGUGCUUGGUUAAUUUGGAAGCAGUUCUUCAUAGAUGCAUUGAAAAAGAUUUGGUGCUGAACUGGGAGAAAUGCCAUUUUAUGGUACGUCAAGGAAUUGUCCUUGGCCAUAUCAUCUCUGAAAGAGGCAUUGAAGUUGAUAAAGCAAAGGUGGAGCUUAUUGCCAAAUUACCAUCUCCAACAACUGUGAAAGGAGUAAGACAGUUCCUUGGCCAUGCAGGGUUCUAUAGGAGGUUUAUAAAAGGUUUUUCAAGUCUUUCAAAACCUCUUUGUGAGCUGUUAGCUAAGGAUGCUAAGUUUAUAUGGGAUGAAAGGUGUCAGCAUAGCUUUGAUCAACUGAAGAAGUUUUUAACAACAACUCCAAUAGUGAGAGCCCCUAACUGGCAAUUACCUUUUGAACUGAUGUGUGAUGCCAGUGACUUUGCUAUAGGAGCUGUGCUUGGCCAAAGAGAAGAUGGGAAGCCCUAUGUGAUUUACUAUGCAAGUAAAACACUAAAUGAAGCUCAGAGGAACUACACAACUACAGAGAAAGAAUUGUUAGCUGUGGUAUUUGCUUUGGACAAAUUUCGAGCUUAUUUAGUGGGGUCUUUCAUCAUUGUCUUCACUGACCAUUCAGCCUUGAAGUAUUUAUUGACAAAGCAAGAUGCAAAAGCAAGGUUGAUUAGAUGGAUUCUAUUGUUACAAGAGUUCGAUCUUCAAAUCAAAGAUAAGAAAGGAGUGGAGAAUGUAGUAGCUGACCACUUGUCAAGGUUAGUUAUAGCACAUAAUUCCCAUCCCUUGCCUAUCAAUGAUGAUUUUCCUGAAGAAUCACUCAUGUUCCUAGUGAAAACUCCUUGGUAUGCUCAUAUUGCUAAUUAUUUAGUAACUGGGGAAAUUCCAAGUGAGUGGAAUGCACAGGACAGGAAGCACUUCUUUGCCAAAAUUCAUGCUUAUUAUUGGGAAGAGCCCUUUCUCUUUAAGUAUUGUGCAGAUCAGAUUAUUAGGAAGUGUGUCCCUGAAGAUGAGCAGCAAGGGAUUCUAUCUCAGUGUCAUGAGAAUGCAUGUGGAGGCCACUUUGCCUCUCAGAAAACAGCCAUGAAGGUAUUACAAUCAGGGUUUACUUGGCCAUCUCUUUUCAAAGAUGCCCACAUCAUGUGUAGAAAUUGUGAUAGAUGCCAAAGGCUUGGAAAGCUAACAAAAAGAAAUCAAAUGCCUAUGAACCCCAUUCUGAUAGUUGAGAUAUUUGAUGUUUAGGGCAUUGACUUCAUGGGACCUUUCCCAAUGUCUUUUGGUAAUUCUUACAUUUUGGUGGGGGUAAAUUAUGUUUCUAAAUGGGUUGAGGCAAUCCCCUGUAAGCAAAAUGAUCACAGGGUGGUUCUCAAGUUUCUUAAAGAGAACAUUUUCUCAAGAUUUGGGGUGCCCAAGGCCAUAAUCAGUGAUGGAGGAGCUCAUUUUUGCAACAAACCUUUUGAAGCUCUGUUAUCCAAGUAUGGAGUGAAGCAUAAGGUAGCCACACCUUAUCAUCCUCAGACAUCCGGGCAAGUUGAGCUAGCUAACAGGGAAAUAAAGAACAUUUUGAUGAAAGUGGUGAAUUCCAACAGAAAAGAUUGGUCUAUUAGGCUUCAUGAUUCAUUGUGGGCAUAUAGAACAGCUUAUAAAACUAUUCUUGGGAUGUCUCCCUAUCGUCUUGUCUAUGGCAAAGCAUGCCAUCUCCCUGUGGAAGUUGAAUACAAAGCUUGGUGGGCAAUAAAGAAGCUGAAUAUGGACUUGAUCAAGGCCGGAGAAAAGAGAUUUCUAGACCUUAAUGAGAUGGAGGAAUUAAGAAAUAAUGCUUAUAUCAAUUCCAAAGUUGCAAAACAGAGGAUGAAGAAGUGGCAUGAUCAACUCAUCUCCAACAAGGAAUUUCAGGAAGGGCAAAAAGUUUUGAUGUAUGACACAAGACUCCAUAUCUUUCCUGGGAAGCUCAAAUCAAGGUGGAUUGGUCCAUUUGUUAUUCACCGAGUAUAUUCCAAUGGAGUGGUGGACUUAUUGAAUUCCAAUGGCAAGGAUAGCUUUAAAGUCAAUGGAUAUCGUCUCAAGCCGUUCAUGGAGUCAUUCAAAUCAGAAAAGGAGGCAAUCAACCUCCUUGAACCUCAAAAAGCCUAAGUGAAAAGGGUUUGCUGGACGUGGCUUUACCACAGUCCAAAAUUUUUGUAAAUUUUGUAAAUUUUCAAGUUGUUUCUAUACUUUUGAUUUUAGUUUUUGAUCUUAAAUCAUGUUUUUAGGUGUGUUUUAAUCGUUUUAAAUGAUCCCAGGUGGAAGAAAUUUCAAGGGGAUUGAAAGAAAAAAAAUCGGGUCGAAAUUGGAGCCGAAACAGAGCAAAAACAGGGGAAAAACAGAGCUCUGCGAAAUUUCGCAGGGUGAAGGAAACCUCUGCGAAAUGAGCAUUUUGUUGCGAAACCAUUCCGCAGCACUGUAGAAGCCUCUGCGAGUGUAUUUCGCAGCUGCGAAAGUGAAUUUGGCACACGAGUGCCACUUCGCAGUACAGUAGCAUCCAUUUGGCAGCUGCGAAACUCAUUGCGAAAUGGAAAAGCGUGAUUUCGCACCAAAAGUCCCAUUCCGCAGGGUAUUUCGCAAUUGCGAAAGUGGUUUUGGCACACGAGUGCCACUCCGCAGCACAGUAACAUCAAUUUCGCAGCUGCGAAACUCACUGCGAAGUUGCUGCGAAAAUGGCAAGUUGCUGCGAAAUUGGCGUUUAGUUGCGAAACUUAAACUGACCCCUGAGCUUCCGUUUUUCCUAUUUAUACCGGUCAAAAGUGCUGCGAAAAGGGUUUCAAAAAUCAGAGCACCAUUCUCGCAGCCCCUUCAUCUUCUUCGCCAAGCCACGCCGUCCGAACCUCCGGUCGUCUUCUCCGUUUAGCAGCGCCGGCCAAAGAUCGAUAUUCCAAAAUGGCACGAACGCGAGGGGCAAAAUCUUCAUCCCCUUCGAAUCGCAAAAGGAGUCUGCGAAAGGAGCCAAGUCCAGGUUCUGCUCCAGAACCUGCUCCAAAGCCUUCGCCGUCGAGACCACAACCUUCUCCAGUGAAGCCGGCGCCACUAAAGCCGCCGGCAAGACGAUAUUUGACAAGGUCAGGCGGUUGGCCAUUGAAGAAGAAGCCCAGGGUUGAGAGCUCUGAACCAAUUGAUUUGACUGAGCAAUCCCCUGAGCAGUCCCCAAAUCCUUCACCAGUUCAAACUCCAGUGCCGUCACCGGUUCCCUCGCCAAUUCCCUCACCUGAAGCAACUCCAAUUCCAUCGUCGGUACCAUCUCCGGCACCCCAAGAAAAAGCUCAGGAGCCUCAAGCGCCAAUUCCAGAGCCCCAAAUUGCAGCUGAAGCACCUCUGGAAGAAGUGAUCCGAAGGCCAAUGCUGCCCCAGCCCCCAAUCGAAGGAAACUUGGAUUGUCGAACACGGGCAUUCCAUUCUGAGCUUUGCUUCGAUUUAACAGCAUUCAGAGUGAGGCCAGAGCUUGCCCAAUCCUUCCAGCUGCUGAGGAGAUAUCAUAUGGAGCAUCUGCUAGCUCCAAGGGAUUUUUUCUAUCCCCGGGUAGUCACGGACUUCUACCAGACCAUGACAACCAAAGAAGUAAGAAAUCCAACUCUGAUCCAUUUCAUAAUUGAUGGAAGGCAUGGUAUUUUGGGAGCAAGACACAUUGCUGAAGCUCUGCAAAUUCCUUUUGAGCCAACCCAAUUCGACAAUUUUAAAGCUUGGGUAAAUCCUACUGAGUUAGAGAUGGUUCGCACACUAACCAGAGGAGCUGCAAAUCGAUCACACCUGUUGAGGGGGGAGCUACCUCCAGUGAUGUUUUUGAUUGAUGCCUUUUUGAGGCAUAAUAUCUAUCCCCUGCAGCAUUGGACCCAAAGAAGGGGAAUUCUCCUGGAAGCUUUGUACAAGAUGUCAGAAGGAUUCUUCUUUGGGCCCCAUCAUCUUAUCAUGGCAGCCCUUCUAUACUUUGAGGAAAAGGUUCACAAGAAGAAACUUCAAAGAGCAGAUUGCAUUCCACUCCUCUUCCCAAGGCUGCUAUGCCAAGUUUUGGAGCAUCUCGGAUACCCCUCUGAGCCUCAGCAGGAAAGAAAGAGAAUAUGCCGUGAGCCAUUUACUCUUGAUAAAUGGAAUAAUAUGACGGCCUACAAAAUUGAUCAGCCUGGGCAGCCUCAGCCAGCAGCAAGGAGAGCCUCCCCAAGACAUGCACCUGAAGGUAUAACACUUGCUACUCCUGCCAUCCCUCGAGCUUCACCAGCUGCACCUGCUGCAUCACAGCCAUCCACAUCAGCUGAGCCGAGGAUGGCCAUCCCUAUAUCCGAAUAUCGAGAGCUGUGCCGAGCAUUGGAGACUCUUACAGCUUCCCAGAGCAAUCUUGCUCAAGAGUUGGCAGCCAUCAAAGCAUGCCAGGAGCAGAUGUUAGCCUCUCAGGCUCAACAAGCUGCCAUCCUAAGGCAGCUUCAAGUCCAUUUCGAUCUGCCACAAGCUGUAGAGCCCUCCACUGAGACUCCACCAGAGCCACACUCUCAGCCUUCAGAGUCUCUUCCUCCAGAGCCAGAAGCCCCAACUGAUCCACCUACAGAGGAGGCGGAUCCUUCUGCUUAGCACCAUCACCCCACUCAUCAGACAUUAUAUAUAUUUGCUGUUUAUGUUUUUAUGCAUGUUUGUUUUGUUUUAGUUGAAAUGAAAUCCCAGUAUUUUGGUACUAUAUAUGGGAUUCCUUGUGAUUACUUGUCCUUAGCAUUGUACUCGAAUGAAUUGAAAGUAAUACAAGUUGAAUUUUUCUUGUUAAAAGUUAGCAUUAAAAUUCUCCUUAUUUCCUUUUCUCACAUAUUCUAUUCUUUUUGAAACAUGUGGUUUUCCCCAAUCAAUAUUCGAAUUUGAUAUCAGCAUGGAGGUACCACUUCCUCCCUUUUAUUACAGUCACUCAAAUCACAUUGAGGACAAUGCUCAGUUCGGUUGGGGGGUAUGAGGAAGGAAGUAUUCUAAAUCUUUUUGGUAUUGCAAUUAUAUUGGUUAAUUAGUUGUAGAUUUUACGUUUUACUCUUGUUACUCUAUUCUCCAUGAAUUUUGAGGAAAAAUUUUCAAAUUAAACCAAGAGAAAUUGAACUGUUGUUUUUCACUUGACUUAGAGUAUGGAUUAUGCUUACUAAAGUGGUUCAAUUGUUGAAACUUCUACUGAAAUUGAAUUGAGUUCUUCCAUUUUAAGCUAUCCACACACUGUGCACAUUAGUUUCUGAUUAUAAGAUGAAAAGCUAUUUCCCUCUUGACUUAGGAUAAUUUUGGGACUUGGUAUAUUUGACCUCAUUUGAUAAAAAUUGAAACACCCUGCAAAAGGCCAAUGAGCCUUUGAAAUAAAGAAAGAUGUUUGCUUGCCUUGAAACCCGAGCAAGGUCUGAGGGGCAUAUGGUGAAAGCCUUUAAAGCCUGGUGCCCUAAGCCUUAAUUGGUUGGGAGUCACCGACCUCAAUGCUCGUUACAAGGGUGAAUAGGUAGAGCUAGCAUAUGGUAGAUGCUUGGGUAUUAGAAAUUCAUUCUUAAAAGUCCAGGGAAAAAUCCGAGGAGUUAGUGGUUGAAAGAUCCUUAAAACUUGGUGCCCUAAACCUUAAUUGGUUGGGAGUCAUCGAUGGACCCCCAUUACAUGGACAAGUCAGAAAGAGUACCCCAUAAAGCUACUUUAAAAAAAAAAAAAAAAAAAAAAAAAAGAUGAUGAAAGUGUGUUCUUUUCUUAUUGAUUUUGGUCAGAUUGCUAAAGUGUUGAAAAGAGAUAGGUUGGGGGGGGAGACUAGUUUAGCAUAUUAUUCUCGGAAUCUAAGGAACCAAUACACAUAGAUUUUUGUGGAAGAUUGAAGUUUAGUUCUUAGAAAGUGAAAUGAUUUUAAAACUUCAGUUUGCAUAAUGCACUCCCUUGAUUGACAGUGUUUAGCAUAGGUGUUAUGACUCUUGUUGAGAUUUGGGUUUGUAUUUCUUUAAUGAUUCAUGUGAGAAGUAAAUCAUCAUGCCACUUAAGAAUUAUUUUCCUUUCAGCAUGAUGUUGUAAAUUUUAGAUUAGUUUGCUAUUUAUUUUUAUUUUUCUCUCCUUUAUUGCUAAGGGACUAGCAAUAUGUCGGUUGGGGGGAGUGAUUACUACUCAAAAAGUGCUAUUUGAUAGCCUUUAAUUAAUCCUUUUUAACACUUUUGAGUAGUAGUUUAGGCCUUUUAACUCAAUUGGCAUGUUAAGGAUCCUUUAAAGCAAUUUUGAUCACUUUGUGCAAGUUUUGGUGUUUUUGUUAGUAUUUCGAUCACCAAAGCAAGUCAAGAAUGAGGAGAGCUAUGAGGAAUCUUGGGCAAAGCUUAGAAUUCAAUUGCCAAGAGUGAAUCCGGAUUGCAAGGAGAAAAAGCAAAGAGGAUCAGUCAUGGAGCAUAUUCUUGAUGACAGUCGUAGCAGCCACUUUUGGAGCACUUUCUGAAGUCCAAAUGAUGCAAGCUAUAUACCAUUUCAAAGCUCAGGAAGUCAACAAUCCAAUGCUUCAAACGGUGUGCGAUUCGGAAUUGAAACGAAGAAGUUGCAGCCAUUACAAGCCAGACACUCUAAAGUGUUGCGGAAUCAGCCAUGUGUUGCGAGAAUUUCGCAGCACUUUUGUACAGUAAGGUGUUUCUCCUUCUAACGAUGCACGAACCAUGCCGCGAGAAGGGAGCUGGAAACUUCAAGAUGGAAGCCAACUUGGCAGCCUAGUGAAGAUAGCUCGGUCUUGCAAGAUAAUUUCGCAGCCCUCUUGGGUGUCUGCGAAAUUUCGCAGGCCUCAUUUUUCACCUGCGAAAUGGCUCCUGAAGCCUCCCGAAGCUUGCUACCGACAUUGGGAGAUAUUUUCCAUUAGAUUUUUGUUGUCUAAAUCCCAAAAUACUCCUUGUAAACCACCAAUUACAUGAUUCCUUAGUUUUUAAGUUAGUAAAAAGACCAAAUAUCUUUGUAACAAUUAGUUUUAUAUUUUGUUGUUAUAAAUACCUCUCGGGAGCCUGUUCUCAGGGAGGAGUUCCUUCUGUAAACGUUUGGUAAGCAAGUAAAGUCUAUUUUCUUUCUACUGCCUUACCUUCUCACUUUGUAUUUUCAUUUUAUUUCUAAGUUAUGAAUUCUCUGAGGAGUUUUCCCCAAAGAAUGAGUAACUAAACCUCCAAUUCCUUGGAGCUAAGGUUGCCGGGGAAGGUUCCAAGUGCAAGAAUGCAAAGCUCUGUGGUUUUAGCUAGUAAUGAAGAGGAAGUGAAAUCCUUUAGUGAUUUCAAUGUUUUUAGUUAACUUAAAACACUUUGGAGUCACCUGGGCCAACACUUGGUAAGGCAAGUGAUUUCCAACCAUGGAAAUGCACUAGUUUACCCCUUGCGAGCCUCUGGUAGGUGACUUCAAGGUAGGAUUUUCUGGAAUUACCAACACUUGGUAAGCUUUUGGACUCCUAGGAGACAUCCAUUAGUUAUCUCUUGCGAGUUUGUGAAGGGAAUCCAAGGUUAAAGAUCACCUUGAAUGGUAAGUGCUCGUGAGAGGCAUGAACCAUUGCAAGUUGUAUCAGUGAGAGAAUUAAAGUGAAAUCUAAUUGAAGGAGUCUUUGUACAUCACCGGUUAGAGAAUUGACUAUAAGUUGAAUCUCUAAUGCGAGGAAAUGAACCAACUGACCAGAGCCGUGUCUUUUGCAUGAGGAACCACCCCAGUGAACCUAAAUCUCCAAGGAAUGUUUUUUUCUUCCUAAAUUAUUCCAAACUUCUGUUAAGUUAGUUAGUUUAAAUCUCAACCUUUACAAAUCAAAGUUUGUGUUUUAUUCCUUAAGCUAACCGUGAAAUGAAACAAGACCAAUUCACUUGGAAUUGGUAUCAUUGAUUGCCUGCAAAUCAUUCCCAAUGAACGAUCCUAGAGCCACUAUACUAUAGUAGCUUUGUAUUUACUACCCUAGUGUAUGGUGUUAUAGGUAUAAAUUUUGUUGAUCACUUCCUCAAUCAAGGAGCACCAGCUGAACACAAAUCAGCUGAGACACCAAUUAGGCAUGAGUCAGUCAUCUCCAUUAUUGUUUUAUUUUUUCUUUCCACCACCCCAUUUUGUUGUGGGGUGUAUGGUGCAAUGAGCUGGUGAUCUAUGCCUGCAUCUUCACAAAAUUUGUUGAAUUUUUCUGAAGUAUAUUCUGUACCAUUAUUCGACCUUAUAACCUUGAUUCUGUAUUCACUUUGAUUUUCAACCAUGGCCUUAUAUCUCAAAAACACAUCAGCAACCUCAGCUUUGUAAGUGAGAAAAUAAAUCCAACAAAAUCUUGUGAAGUCAUCAAUAAAUGCAAUAUAGUACUUACUCCCUUUCAAAGAUGGUGUCUUUUGAGGUCCACUCACAUCUGUGUGAACCAAUUGUAGUUUCUGUGUUGAUUUCCAUGCUGCUUUUUGAGGAAAAGGAAGUCUUGUUUGCUUCCCAUAUUGAUAGGCUGCACAUAUAGGAAGUUCUUCUUCCAAAUCAGGGAGUCCUUCUACAAUCUAAUUCUUCUUCAUGUAGAGCACGGUAUUGUGGUGGAAAUGCCCUAAUCUUUUAUGCCAAAGCAUUGUAUUGUUCUCGUGUUGUGCAGCAGUAAUUUGCUCAUCUUCUAACAUAUUUAAGGCAAAACUUUUGCCUUUCAUUUUUAUGUUGAACACCUCUUUGCCUUCAGCAUCCUUGAUUAUGCAAUUUUUGUCUUCAAAACAAACUUUAAACCCUUUCUCAACAAGCUGUCCAACACUUAGCAAAUUUUGGUCAAUGUCAGGCACAAACAAAACAUCAGAAAUGAGCUUUAAACCUGUUAGGCUUUCAAUAGCUAAUGUUCUUUUACCUUUUACUGGAAUAUACUCACCAUUUCCUAUUCUAACUUUGGAAAUAGUUGUCCUAUCAAUCUCCCUAAAGCGAUCUUGAUCAUGUCAUGUGGUUUGUGCAACCACUGUCCACGAGCCAGCUUUCAGAGGUGCUACCGUUUGCAAAACAUGUUGCUGAAAAUAGUUGUUCCUCCUGGUAUUGUUCAGCUGCUACAUUGGUUUCUCCCUGCUGCUGCUGAGUUCUACAGAUCCUUUCUAUGUGUCCAUGUCUACCACAUUUGUUGCAUUUCACAUCUGGUCUCCACCAACAUUUUUGUUGAGGAUGAUUUGUUUUCUUGCAAUGAGGACAGGGUGGAUAGGUUCCAGUUUUUUUAUUGUUGUUGUUGCUUGGCUUAUUGUUGUUCUUUUUGUUCUUCCUCCUUCUUGUGUUACCUUCAUUGGUCUGUGUCUUUGCUUGAAAAGCUCCUUCUACAGAACUUCCUUGCCUCAUGAGUCUUCUUUGUUCCAAAGCUUGUAAAGCAUUUAGUAGUUCUGCCAAGGUGAUACUUGACAAAUCUUUUGUGUUUUCCAAAGAAGAAAUUGUAGCUUCAUAUUUUUCAGGAAUUGUGACAAAAUUGUUUUGAACAACUCUUUCAUCAGAAAACUCUUUACCUAGCAACCUCACCUUGUUUGCUAUGGUAAGAAGUUGUUCUGCAUAAUCUUUUAUGGUUUGAGACUCUUUCAUCCUCACCAUUUCAAAUUCUCGAAUUAGAUUCAUUACCUGCACAUUUCUGACUCUUUCAUUGCCUUGAUAUUCUUCCCGUAGAUGCUUCCAGAUUUCUGCAACAGAUUCAAGUUGCAUGAUUCUGGUGAGAAUUAAUGGUGAGACUACAGAAAAUAAGCAAGCCUUGGCCUUAGCCUUCCUCGUCUUUUUCUCCUUAUGGUUUUUCAUCUGUGACACAGUUGGAUUGGCUCCAAGUGGAGAAAUUUCAUAAUCUUCCUCUAUUGCUUCCCAGACAUCAAGAGCCUGUAGAUGAACAGUCAUCCUGACAGCCUAAGUUUGGUAAUUUUCUCCAUUGAAGACUAGUGGUGCUGCUGUGAAGCUUGCUUCUUCCAUUUCUGCAAGGUUUUCAGAUUCAGGUUUGGUAUACGGUGUUUAGGCUCACACACCUCACUGGUCCCUCAAGACAAAAAUUGCUCUGAUACCAAACUGUUGGAAGCAGGCGAGGUUAACACACCAAGCAACAGAGAACAGAGAUAUGCUGCUACUGAUCUAUAUUUUUUAUUUGAUCAUAAGGCUGAAUUUAUACAGAUUGUGUAACAUAUAUGACCUCAAAAAAAGCAUCAAAUCAAGCUACUUGUUGAACAAAAAACUACCUCCUACAAAAUAGCAUCAGAAUUUAACUUAAAAGCAAAAACAUAAUAAUAGCAACAGCAAAAACAGAAACAUAAAAAUAGCUUCAACAUUCUAGUAAUCUCAUUGACUUCAAUUGCAUGUGGUUGACGAUUUCAGCCUUUUCCUCAGCAGCUACUAAGGCAUAACUCUCAACAGGGCCUCUUAAUUUCCAUUCUGGCAUCUAUAUGACCUGAUAAAUAGAAAGAAAAAAAAACAGAAGAAAAGCGGCACCUGGGUUCAUAGUAAGCAUCAAGACAGGAUGCUGAAAGAAGGGAGAGAGGAGAUUGCAAGUCCAAUCCUGAUAAAAUAUCAACAAAGAGUAUUAAAUGGGGCCAACAUAAAGACCCAUUAAGGUCAGCAGAUGGCAUGGCAUUUUUCUCCUUAAGUUUUCCAUGAUUAGGCUUGAAGUCAAAAUUUCACAUGUAAAUUUGUAUUUCUACAUUUCCCACUGACGACACCCAACUUCAACUUGAGUUAGAAUAACAUUGUGUGAACUUAUCUGGCCCUCAAAAUUUACUGUGAAGUGCUUUCUGCGUGUGAAGAUUCAGAAAAGCACCAAGGGAACAUGUAUGGUCUGCCUUUUUCUGAUGUUAUGUUUGUCUCUAAUUCUGUUCCAUGUCAUGGUAAAUGUUCACAUUGCUUGUAUGGAACACACCAGGAUCACUUUUUCAGGUUUAGGGGGAUACAAAAGGCUUCAUAUUGGGUUCAAUGCUUUUAAUGUGUUCAUUGGACAAAUCUGAAUUAUCAUACGCAUUUAGAUAAGAACAAUAAUGUGAAACCCUAGUUACACCUCCCCUGCAUAACCCCAACCCUGCUUGCUCUAUUUCAGUUUACUCACAAGUUUUACUGGUUCUUAUAAGUCAAGAAAAGGCAACUGAUGUUGGAUCGACUCUCUUCCAUGUAAAAAAUGCAACUUUUAUACAUAUAAAAGAACUUCUUCCCCUCACCAAUGUGGGAUUUCAUAGAUUUAUUCUGGAAACACAUCAAAGGAACAUCUUUUCUCUUGGGUGACCCUAAGUGGUGAGUCAGAUCAUUUGCAUGCCAUUGAGUUGCACAGUUGGAUAAAUGCACCUGCCUCCUGGGCUCCAGAGUUAAAAGGGUGGAUCCCUGGAUUGCAACCCUCUUGGCAUCUUGGUUUCUAUUCCAACAUCCACAUGACUUGACAAAACAAAAAACAGAAUAAAAUCAGCACUAUAUUCAUGCUAAGCACCAAUACAUGAUGGAAAUCAUUGCUUAAAGAUUUGGGGUCGUUUUAGGUUUUGACUGCCUCCUACCACCUCACCUAAUGACAAGUUUUUAUGCUUACAAAUCAAAUAUCGUUCUUCAUUAUAUUAAAAUCAUUUUAAGAUUUCAGAUCCAUCUGCUAAUUAUGAUUAUGAUAACAUUUAUUCACCUGUGCUUCUCAUUUUCGACACACAAGGCAUCUAGGUUUGCAGGAUUUCCUUAUUAGAUGAGAUAAAUGAGUACGUAUGGUUAUGUAUCCAGCAUUCAUUAACCAUGGUAUGUGACAUUUAGAAUUAAGAUAGCAAGCAAACUUUCCCUGCAGCUAGAGUAAAUUGUGAUUUCUUAGCCUCUAUGAGUGGUUCCCAAAUCAAAUUAACAUAGUGAAAUAUACGUAGUCCAGUGAAAGGAAAUGUAAAUUAUAAACUAACAGCACUACACUACUGGUAACAAUCGAUACUCUCUAUAUAAUGCAAUAAACAAUGUCACAAUUGCCUACAAGCAAGGCACAAACACUAGAACAAGUAAAGCACAAACCUUUCCCAACAGUUCCCAGUGACUGAUGCAUAUCAUACCCUCAACUCACAGAAGGGGAUGAUAUCAGUGCACUGCAGCACUUAUUUUACACAUACUACCACUACUACUACUACUACUACUACUCAUUAGCCAAAGUCACUCAGUUGGGAUGAGUGUGAGGUAGAGGUUUGUGGGGUGCUAUGUGGAAAGGAGUUUGGCUUCUUCUCAGGAGAUGGUAGCUUCUUUGCAGGAGUUGAAGGAGGCUUAAUCUUCUGUGGUGGAUUGAUUGUAUGAGUCUUUGGCACUCUCUUCUCUAGUACAGGUGAAUACCCAGGGGUGCAUCCAUAAUGCGGUGGCUUCUAUCCCUUAGGUGGUUUGCCAAAUUCAAAAUCGAAGGAUUUUUUUUUUUUAAGUAUACGUAUCUUUGAAAGCUUUUAUUUUGUAUGGCAAAUGGAAUGAGAGGAGCAGUCAUAUUCUAUUUGGCCAGAGCAACAUAUCACAAAUGAACAAGCUAUUUACUGCCACACUGGGCAAAACAUACAUAAUCCUUGUACUUCAAACAUCCAUGAAUUCUCAUCAUUUUCAGGACACGUUGCAUGGUCUAUCAUUCUAUAUGUCGGCAUAGUAAGUGCAGCUAAUAAGCCUAUUCAGAGCUGAAAUUCAAAAUCUAUUCACAGGAUAAUGACCUUAUUAUUGGAUUUUGCUCACUGUCAUACACACAUAUCAGAUAAAGCCCCACAUGCUCAUAAGCUACAAGCAACCUACAAGCACUAAAAUGAGUGUUAGACGUAUGAAACAUUCCCCAAUACUAGUAGUAUUACCUGUUCCAUAGAACACUAAAUUAGAAGAGAGAAGAUGUGAGACUCCAGCUUUUCUUUCUACAUAUUACUCAUAUCAAGUUGGAAUAGUUAGGCGGUAGAGGCUUGGGGUGGCUUGUGUAGGGGACUAGGCAGCUUCUCUCAGGAGUUGAUUUCGUCUUAUUCUGGAUGUCCAGGUUUCGUCCUUUCGAAUUUCCCAUGCAAAUCAGCAUUCUCCUUGGGAAACUUCACUCCGUUGGGAAACUUGUGUGAAUCUUUGGCAUUCUCUACCAGAGAAGGCCCAGGGCAGUGACCAUAAGGUGGUGGCCUUUUUUCAGGUGGUGGCUCCUCUCCCACUGGAGGCUUGUGGUAAUCAGCAAGAGAGGCAGUGGAGAGAAUCAUCACCCCAAGGAACAGCACUAGCAAGUAUUUGUGAGCCAUAUUUGGGAUCUGAUGAUGAAGACUAGAAGAUAGGAGUUGCCUCAUAUAAUGGGUUGGAGACUAUAUCUCAAGGGGACGUGUAUUUAUGCAUAUGAUCUAUAUAGGACCAUCCUCCUAAUAUUUUCAAAAUAAUGUUAUUGUCUCUCUUGGGUGACAGUUUGAUUUGGUCUAUUUCCAUGCCACUGAGUAGAAAAGUUUGACAAUUGGCUACACCACCUACCUGGAUUACAUGGUUGAAAGUGAAGAUCAGUACAGUGUGAUCACACUUGACCUCUUGUUCCCCAUUCCAGUAUCUAAUUAACCUGACAAAAGUAAAAGGAAAGGAAAAAGGGAAAAAAUAGAAUAAUGUUCAAAUAAAAACGAGAAAAAAUAGCAUAAUGUUGAUGAAUCAUGAUAAGCAUCAAGGCAUGAUAGUGAGAGAGAGGAAAGAAGACAGUGUAAUUUGCAAUCCUGAUAAUCAUUAUAUAGCAGUAACUUUAAUCAUUUUUCUAUCACAGGGAACAUGACACUCAUCUUCCUAUGGAGAUAUUGCAUAAGUUUUUUUCUUUGUAUGUCAACACUAACCAAUGAAGCAUGUUAGCUGGUUUGAAACUGAAACUGUAGCCCUCUGUUUGGUUCUUGAAAAACUUGAGAGAAAAUGGAAGUAAAGUUAAAAGGAAAGAAAAAGUGAAAAAAAAUAAAAAUAGAUUGAAAGUUAACAAAUUAUUUUUACAUGUUCCCUCAAAUUUCUUUCACUUAUUUUUCCUUUUCUAUAUAAAGAUUAAAUGAUUUAAAAAUCAUAAAUUUCUAACUAAUUAUAACUAUAUUUGAUUUUCUUUCAUAUUUUCCAAGAUAAAGUCAGACAUGAGAAAAUCAUUUUCCUUAAAAAAGAAAUUCUUUCCUUUACAGUUUCUUAGAACCAAACCUGGCACAAAAGUCCAAAUUGGGGUUUCUCCAUGUUCCAUUUUUUAUGGCUACCUUUAUGGACCAUAUAAUAUAGAAUGUACUUCUGCAUACCUUCAAGAUCAAGCUGAACUAUAAGAAAAAGACAAGCCAUGGCCCACGGAGCAGGGAUACCAAGCUGCCUUCUCCUAGAUUAAGUUCCAAGAUUUCAGUCUUCAAACCUGCUAAAAGCUAAAGGCAUGUUUCCAGCCUGCGGCAGAUAACAUGCACUGUCCAACAAUAAAUUGCAAACACAUUCGAUGCAGUUUAUUAGUACAAUAAGAUUAAAUCCACCAAAUCUUUUACAGUUCAACCAACACUUGAACUAGUAGCUAGCUUCACUACUGGGUAAUAAUAUAUAAACCAAACUCUUGAUAGGAACCAACCUAUCGCAGAUCGAACUUCUUACAUCCACCAUGAAUUACUGAACCAAAAGAAGAAUCGAAGAGACUGCCAAGGAGGAAAGCCUUCCUAUAACUAGAUAUUUAUAUUCCAAAUUAGGGAGAGCACCCACUGCCCAGGCCUCGCCCAGCAUAAACAGAUAGUAUACAUAUACAUGCAAAAAGCUCCAACCUUCAAGAUUUUAACUAUUAACUUAACACAAUUAAAAAUGUAUCCAAAAAGCAAAUCCCCUUGAACUCCUGAAGCAAUUACUCCAACCAAAUAAAGAUUUUAAGAGUUCCAUGUUCAUAUCCUGCAAGGAAAUCAUUCAAUGUUCAGACCUCUAAUUUCUGUCUUUCUAAAUGCCCAGCCAAAAGGCAUAAAGUAUCAUCCAAAUUGGAUGCACAGCAUAUGUUCUUAAAUCAUGGGAUUUCACCAUAAGUUACUACACUCUAACAGGGCCCAGAAAUUGACCUCCAGAUAUGCCUAUCAAAAAAUUAUCCCCACAUACAUUUUUCUGCUGAAAAGACAAUAUUGUUACAUUUGACAUUCAACCACUACUUGAACUCAACAACCAGGGAAAAGAAUAUAGUAUUUCUACCAAUGAGGAUGAGAGGGGCUGGUGAAUUAACAGGUAAAAGUUUGUUUUGGGUUCAUUGUUUGCAUAAUAAUGUAAAAAUGGAGUAGUAUAUUAUAAAUUAAUGUAAAAAUGGAUUAGCAUAACAUAAAUUGCCAUAAGAGAACCACAAACUACAAAGAAACUUAUUUUCCAAACAAGGAAAAUUAUUCAUAGCCAUUAUUACAUAAGAAAGGAAAUUGAUAAAAUUAUUAUCCAGUUCCCCAUCAGGAAAUAUGAAAGUACUCCUAAAAGCCUCAAUUCUAACCAGAAAACCAUAGAAAUGUAUUAGAAAUAUUGUACAGGGUUCUCUCCAAUAUUAGCUUCAGUUGCUAAGGAGAUCAGAACCUUGAAAGUAAGUCACAAAGGUCGUGUGGGUUUCCCAGAGUCUUCAACAACCAGUAUUCACAUAUGUACACAUUAAAAUUAAAUAAAGCAGGUAUCAAUUCCACAGGCUUUAAGAUUUGAAUUGCUUCUCCCUGGAAUCAUACACCACUCAUAUUGUCACUGACUUUCAAUUACUUCUCCCUGCGAUCAUAUGCCACUCAUAUUGUCACUGCCUUAGGGAACAAAGUGAAAAUCUGCAAUUUCAAUUAAUUCCAACAUAAAAAUAAAAAUCAAUCCUCAAAAAAUGGAUUGCCAGGAGGUAAAUAUAAUAGAAGACGAACAACUCUCACAACCAAGUUAAAGAAACCAGCCGCUAGGUACCUUUGAGUUCUAUACUACCAGGAACAAAUUGGAUGAGAUUAUUUAAAGGCUAUUCCACAGUGGAAAUUCAUUCGUUCAAAAAACAUUUGUCAUGCAUAUAGGCAAUCUAUCCUAUGCAUUCAUACAUCAUGGUCUCAUGCAAUCUUAAUAAAAGUGGUCCUGGAAAAAGAGAGAAAAAAGUAAUUACAAGCCUGUGCGACCAGAUUUCUUUUGUUUUUUUUUUUUUUUUCCUUUGCCAAACAACCAUGUUCAUAGUUUCAGAAGUUCAUUCUGUCUUUAAGAGACCAUGGCAGUGACUUGGCCAUUCAGCUAAGANNNNNNNNNNNNNNNNNNNNNNNNNNNNNNNNNNNNNNNNNNNNNNNNNNNNNNNNNNNNNNNNNNNNNNNNNNNNNNNNNNNNNNNNNNNNNNNNNNNNUCACCAAGGACUCCUCAACCUCAAAAUAAUAGAGAAAGUCUAGGACACCAUGUCACUACUGAGGACAACCCAACACCACAACAUUUCAGUCCGUUCAAAAAGAGUAAUUGGAAUUGUUGCAAAAAAUGUUCAACUAGUCCCAACAGGAGGCAAAUUCCUCCAUUUCUUCAUCGGGUCCGGAUCCUUUGCUCAAAAAGGUAAUUUUCUUACUGCCCUAAAAGAAAAAGGGAAAAUGUGAGUCAUUGGAUUGUUGACUCAGGAGCUUUUGAUCACAUGACUAGAGUGCCACAAUUUUUCAAAAUUAUACACCUUGUUUUGGGGAUGAUACAAUUCGUAUGGCUGAUGGUUCUCUCUCAAAGGUGACUGGUACAAGUUUUAUUGUCAUCUCUAAGGACCUAACUCUUGACUCUAUUCUUUUGGUUCCAAACUUGGAUUGCAAUCUAUUGUCCAUUAGUAAACUCACUUAUGAAAAGAACUAUGUUACUAAAUUUUUCCCAAACCAUUGUGUUUUUUAGAAUUUGAAUUCGGGGAAGACGAUUGGCAAUGUUGAAGUGUGUUUAGGACUCUAUGCCUUCAAAGUGAAUUAUUAUAUUGAAAGACAAUCUUAACCAACAGUUGGUGAAAAAUGGUGUCUUUUUGUCUUUAGUUCUAAUAAAGAUAGUGAUGUUAUGUUAUAGCACUAUUGUCUAGGACAUCCUAGUUUCUUAUAUCUCAAAAAACUCUUUCCAUGGUUUUCAGUGUGAAAUUUGUCAACUAUCCAAGCAUCUUUGCAAGCCCUAUCCAUAGUUUUAAAAGACUUAAGGCACACCAAGACGCAAAGUCCUCUUGGAGCCUUAGGCGCAAGGCACACCUAAGGCGCGAACUUUAGUAAAGUGAGGUGCAUCCUGUUUUACAUAUAUAUUUUUAUAUAAUACAAUCAAGUGCCCGAAAAUUUUCCUCUAAUUUUCCCCUUCUUCUUCAUCCUCUUCUCUUCUUCACAUUGUUCGGGAGGCUAGGACAUUUUUUUUUUUUUACAUGUCUAAAACAAGCAUAUAUUGGGUUUUGGAAGAAGAACAAGCCAAAAUGACAUCGUUUUGGAGCCUAAUCUUUUAAAUAAAUAAAUAAAUAAAUAAAAACCAGCCAAAAAUGACACCGUUUUGGCCCCUGUUCUUUUAAAAGAACAAACCAAACAACGUCAUUUUGAUCUCAGGAAAUUAAAAAAACAAAACCCUCGUCAUUCUCCCUUUGCUACUCUACAACUCAUCGUCAAAGGGUAAAAAGAUGACCAAAAGAAGAAGAAGAAAAAAAAAAAACGACGACAGAGGAUAGAGGUGCACCUGUUGAGGGCGUUGCGCCUAGCCAAGAGGCGAGCGCCUUGCACACUUAAUCAACGCCUCUGUGAAGGGGCGGCUCCUGCAAUCAGGCGAAGCGCUGAAGGGUGAUGUCACAUCGUCUAGAGCCUAGGCGCACCUUUCACAACUAUGACCCUAUCCAACUCAACCAUACAAACCAUCUCAUCUUUUUUCCAUACAUAGUGAUGUUUGGAGGUCAUCUAAAAUAAAGAACAUAACAGGGACUAGAUGGUUGAUGAUCAUACUAGAAUUUCUUAGAUAUUUCUAAUGAAAAAAAAAUCAAAAAUUAGUCAAAUUUUCUAAAAGUGGACCAGAAUUUCUUUAUUGAAUUAAAAAGUUGAAAUUAAUAUUUUGGAAAAGUUAGGGCCGCUCAAGAGGUAGAAAUAGCGCUCGAGUGGUAGAAAUAGCGCUCGAGUGGUAGAAAUAGCCCUCAAGUGGUAGAAAUAGCGCUCAAGCGCUAGGACCGCUCAAGCACUUAACUAGCGCUUGAGCGCUCAUAUAGAAUCUGCCAGAAUAUGGAAGAAUAUUUUUUGGAUAAUCAUGAAAAUUGGAUUUGGAAACUUUAGAAUAUCAAUCUCCUUCGGCCUAGAGGUUUAUAUAAACCCUAUUAUAACCCUUUAGGGUUAAGAAAUUCACCAAGUGGUUUACCCUAACUUGUCAUACCAUUCCCGAUCUCUCAUCAAGGAAUCAAAGUGUUUAAUCUUGGGUUGUUUGAAGACCUGCAUCCCUUCAACAAGGCUAAGGUGUAUUCACUAGAACAAUUGAAAUUGUUGCAUUGCGGACAUGAAUCAAGUUGCAGGUUCUAGAGAGUAAGUCUUUAGAAUAAAGCAGACAAAGAGUUCUAUGUGACUUUAUCUCAUAUAGUGGAUUUAGCUUUGAGGUCUUAGACCUCGUGGGUUUUUAUCUCCAUAGUUAGUGUGGGGGUUUUCCACAUAAAAAUUAUUGUGUCUCUUGAUCUUAUGUUUGAUUUUAGAUAUUCUAUUUAUCCCUGAUAUCUCACAGGUUAACUUUAGGUUAAAAAUUCAACUCCCUAUUUAAUAAUUUUUAAAAUACACCCAUUCACGAGUGUUAUCCUACUGGACAUUGGUUUUUCACCAUAUAUAACACUCAUACCAAAACCCAUGCAACAUGGACUCCAACCUUAAGCUUAACUUUCUACGAAUGGAAAAAAAAAAAGACAUAACAUAAAUAGACAGAUUUAACAACAUGCUCCUAAUCAAGGUGAAUGUCCCUCUUUUUGAAAGAUAUGACCUUUUCCAUACGAGGAGCUUUCUUUAAAAUUUCACCUCUACCAAUUCCCAUGCCUUUACAAAGUUGUGGAAAGCUCCAAAGAGAAGGCCCAGACAUGUAAUGGGUAGAUUCCCUACCUUAGAACCUUACACCAAAGCUAAACCCCUAAUAUUUGUGACUUCUAUAAGAAUCAAUUCAUUUUUUUCCAUAUUUAUUUCUAAAUCAGACAUUGCCUCAAACCACAUGAAGUUAUAACUUGGAUGUUACAGAUGCUCUUAAUUAGUGUCACAAAAAAAUAGGGUAUCAUCAUCAAACAAGAAAUGUGACACUUCCAUCCCCUCCUCCUGUCUUCCUCCCACUUUGAAACUUGAGAUGUAACCCCUUUUAUCUAAUUCUCCUCAAAAUUCAAUUGAAAGCCUUCAUUGCCAAUAUGAAAAUGUAAGGGGAGAGAGGAUCUUUCUACCUCAAAUCCCUUGAGCUCUCAAAGAAACUGAAUAGGACACUAUUUACUAGAAUAGAGAAUUGAGUAGUGGAAAUGAACCAUUUGAUCCACCUCACCCACUUAUGAUCAAAGUCCAUUUUAUCCAACAUCAUUAACAAAAAGUUCCAAUUUACAUGGCCAUCGUCCUUUCCAAUGUCUAACUUGCAAAUUACCCCACUAUUGGGACUCUUUAACCUUGAAUCUAGAGCAUCAUUUAUGAUUAGAACUGCAUCUAGAAAUUGUCUGUCUUCCACAAAAGCAUGCAAAUAAACUAAAACUAUUUUACCCACCACAUUUUUUAGUCUUUUAGCCAAGACUUUUUCCAAUAGCUUGUACAAAAAAACCCCCAACUAAGCUAAUCAAUGUAAAAAAUUUUAGGUUCUCUGCUGCACCUAUAUUAGGGAUCAAGACCAAGAACAUGACAUUUAAAUUUUGCUCAAAGGAACAAUUAUCAAAAAACUCCCCAAGCUCAUUUGCCAAAAUAUUAUAAUAAAUCCAUUUGGCCCCUACAGCUUUAUCCCCACUCAAGCUAGACAAGGCAACAAGAAAUUCCUCAUCAAAGAAAGGUAACUCCAAUUUCCUAGAAUCAGCACAUAGCAUAACUUCAAAGGUCAUCCCAUUAAUGUUGAGUCUCCACUCGCCCAUAUCAGAUAGGAGAUUUUGGAAGGCCCUAAACUCCCCUUCCUUUAUAUUUGCUUCCCAAGCAACCAUUUUGCAUUCACUCAAAUUUUAAACAUGAAGUUUUUUAUUCUUUGGGCAUUGACCAUUUCAUGGAAAAUUUUGGUGUUUUUAUCCACCCCCUCUUUUAACCAAAUUUCUCUUUAUUUUUGCCCCCAUACAUAUAGAUUCUUCUAACAAGGCCCACUUGCUAAACUCAAUCACCACUAACCUUUGGCCUCAACGAUUUCAAGAGAUAAGGUAACUGCUCUCUACUUUGAGUCCCAGAAGUUGAUCCAGUUUAGCACCUCUAGGUUUUUUGUUGAGACAUUCCCAAAACCUUCUUCAUUCCAAGAUUUUAAAUCUCGUUUGACAGCCUUUAGUUUAACUUCCAAAAUAUGACCAUACAAGCCAUCCACAUUAUAACCAUCAACCAACUCCUCACAAAAUCUUUUAAGCCUUUUGUUUUAGGCUACAUAUUUUAAAAUGUAAACUGUGUUUUCCCACUCCUUAUCCUACCUCCAUCUAAAACUAUGGGGUAAUGACCAAAAAUUGGUUUAGGUAAAAUACUCUAGAUUAAAGUAGAAAAACGAUUCUACCAAUCAUCUGACACUAGGAAAUGGCCAAGCUAGCCUUGAAGAAGACAAAAGAUUAUGAACACCACUCCAAGUGAAUAGCCCUCCAACUAGCGAAAGAUCCCAAGGUCAAGUCCUCUAUGUCCUCUGAAAAGAACCUCAUAUCAAACAACAUUCUAAGGCAAUUCCUCCUUUUCAUGGGGAACUUGACCAUAUUAAAAUCCCCUCUGAAGCACUAGAGGUCAUCCCAAAGGCCUCUUAUGGCACCCAACUCUACCCAGAAAUCCACUCUUUCUCCCCUUUAAACCAACCCAUAAACUCUUACGUAUACCUAGACAAAGCUAUCUUCACAAUUCAUAGACAAGCAAUAGAGAAUGCUUCCACCUCCUUACCAAUUAACUCUAAUACCCUACUAUCUUGGAAAACCAAAAUGCCUACUAUCAAGCUUCUAACUUCCAAUACCAUUUCAAAAAUUUUCCUACUCCUAAACUCCUUACCAGUUGAACGAACAUCUAUCGAACCUUGGUUUCUUGUUAACAAACUAGAUCAACCCCUUGAGACCUUAUCAAUGACUUUAUUAUCAUAUACUUUUCCUCAUCAUUUGCUCAUUUGACAUUCCAAGACAGGAUUUUUAGCUUCAUCAUGCAACCUAUGUUGGAUCCUAACUGCUACUCUUGGAGCCCUUUUCCUUUUUGUUGAGCUUUUAUAAUUGACUAAGCAUCCCAACUUGUUGAGGUCCCUCUCAAACCAAGAUAUCGAGGUUAACUUCCUCUUCACCUCCAACGAAAAAACAGAAACCCCUCUCCUUAGCCUGCCACACAAGGGAAAAGAUCUCUUUUUCAAAUCCAUCAACUGGCAUUCUUGAGAAACUAUUGAAAUUUGCCAACUUACAAGAUAUACAAUUGGAGGAGUGCUUCUCUACCAAACAACUACUAAAAUUCACCUCAAAGGUGACCUUUUCCCCUGAUCUCUCCCCGGCCUCCAUACCCACUGACCCUUUCACAAAAUUUUCUAGAAUUUCCACUAUCAAGCCGUUACGGAGAACCAUCCUCAACAAACUCCUUUGACUAAUGUGAAAAACCCCACCCAAGAGCAUCUUCCAGAAGUUAACUUACAAGAUUAACUAUAAUCUUGUGAAGACUCGUUACCUAAUGGGUAAAAAAUUUGAAAUUCUAUUAGUAUAAUUCUUUUUAGGCACAAAAGCUGUGAAAAUAGCAUUGGUGCUCUAAUUAAUAACCCCAUAAUUAUUAAGCAAUAAAACAACUUUUAAUAAAUUCUCUUUCACCACAUCCCACCAAUCCUAAUGCAAAAAAGCUAGGAAAAAGUCAUCAUUGCUCUAAGCAUUUCUCCUCACUAGUUGAAAGACUGCUUUAUGAACUUCCUCUUCGACAAAAGGACAAUCCAACCAAUUAGCACCAUUUUCCAAAAUGAGAGACCAACCCCCACUCUUCUAUCCUCUAAGGAUCUUCAUAUAACCAUUAAUGCCUUUCUAUACCAGCUAGUAUAUAUCGGGUUUUGGGCAAGUCCUAUAAAUUGGUUUGAGUAAGAUUUUUAAUUACCCUGUUCUUUCUUUUUAGUUGAUAAAUAUGCAUAUAUGUAGUAAUUCAUACAUCAGAAAAGAUUUUGCUAAAACAAAAGAAUUGACAUGCAGAUAGUGACUUCUUGAUAAGAGUAAUAGCUUAAGGGAGGAAAAUGAACUCCUCCAGUGGCCCCAAAGUGGUAAGUUCCUUCAGAUCCCAUGUUGCUAUUCUGCAUUUCUUUGUGUUUUGGCAUCAGCCCUCUUAAUUAAUUCACUAUCCAGCUUCUCAAAUUCCUCGGAUUCUUCCCUUGUUCUUGUGGAAACAUCUGCAUCUUGUCCUUGCAUUGUUAUGGAUUGGUGAUUAUCAUUCUUUGAGAACUGUGUGGCAGCUGCUCGUGCACCAGCUAUGGCUGCAAGGAGACCUUCUGGUUUCUUGUCUUCAGCAGCUUUGGAGCCAUCAAAGCAAGAAACAAGUAAUCCUGGUUUCAAAGAGAGGGGAUCUUGUGGUUCUGGAAGCAGAAACUUGACAGGUAGUGGAGCUUGAACAGGACGAAGACCCCUAACUGCUGCCUCAUAUAUCUGCAACAAUUUCAGGGGGGAUAAGUAAUUAAAAAUCAGUCACUCUAUUGCAUUAGUUAGACUUGCUUUCAAUGCGAUAGCAAAGAAAGAAUCAUCAAUGAAAAAAGAAAAAAUAAAUGAAAAAGAACAAAAAGGAGAGGGAAAAAAAAAUGAUGGGUGCUCAAUUUGUACUUUUCUUUCCAGGUUAUAAAUACGUUGGUACCCGCGCAUCUCAAAUGGUAUGAUUAAUUUCUGCAUCAGGUCAGGAGAACUAAGUCCAUCAAUAUACUAAAAAGCAAAUAUACCAAAAGGCAAGCAAAAAUGUUUAACCAUCUUGAGUGUCAAACUCUCCAAGAAACUAUAUACUUUUAGCUGAAUGAAAACACAUGCCUGUGGUUGCUCACAGAGCCAGCAAAACUCUGUUUGCGCUUCUAGCCUUACCUACAAAUAGAGUUUAGGUUAUCCAACCAAAAUGGAGAUACAUCACACAAAACAAACUGUACCUAAUCAGUUUACGAAGGGGACGGGGGGAAGCAAAAAGCAAAAGUAAAUUUCUAAGAUGCCCACCCCUUCAGGUACCUCCUUCCAGCACGCCAGCUCUUCACAUUUAACACAACCAACUACUUCAAUACAACCUGUGGCAAGAAUAGAGUUUGUUGGAUUUAUUGUAGCAUGCCAUACAGAAAAAUUUAGCAUUUCAGUAAGAAUAAGAAUAAGAGAGCUACUUUCCACUAAAAUACGAAUCACCCAUCAACUGUUGCAAACAGACAACAAUGUGAAUAACAGGUUUUAUAUAUAUAUAUAUAGAGAGAGAGAGAGAGAGAGAGAGAGAGAGAGAUAGAUAGAUAUAGAGAGAGAGAGAGAGUCAAAUAAUAAUAAAGGACAAAAAUAUUUCUUUGAGAAAGACUAAUUAGAAAGAAGAAACAAAGAACCCACAUGAAAUCAAUUUAGAUAAGAGAAAUACCUUUAAGAAUCUAGUUCUUUUUGCAAAUUGCAACUUAGAAUUGGAAUGCCACAUAUUAUUAUAAGGUAUCACAAGAGAUUAUUGCUUCAUUUUUUUUCUUUGCCAGAUCAGUUUUAAUAAAUAUAAAUAUAAAAAUAUAAGCAUGUACACACACACACGCAAACACAUUAUGUGUGUAUGUUUAUGGAUAUGUAGAUAUAGGUUUUUAAUAAUAGAGCAUGAAAACAUAUCUAGUCAGAAAUUCCAAAAAUCCAAAACCAUUAGCAACACCUAACAGUCUUGAAACUGGGUAAUGUUCUGGAAACUUGAGGUCUGCUAUCCCAUUCACAGCAUAGAUCUCCCUGUAGAAAUUCUCCAUUGCUUUGAUUGUGUCUGAAUCUGGGACCUUACUAGCAGCAUGAAUCCAGAGUCGGCCUUCAUAAAACAAAACAUGUAUAUUAAGAAAUAUCCUUGUAGAACAGUAACAUUUUUGCCAGCAUGCAAUUCGUGUUAAUAAUCCUUGGUUCUCACCACUCAUUGUACAUUACAAUGUAAAGACCUAAUAAGCCCUAAUAUAGGUAGGUGUCUGUGCAGAGAGAGAGAGAGAGAGAGGGGAGGGGGGUGAAAGGAAAGAUGAUUAUAGAACAAAUACAAGUUGAAUCUCCUGAAAUAAUGUCCAUCAAGUUAUUUCCUAGCAACAAGUACUGAUUAUGCUUUUCCUGAUAACAUGAUUUUCUUUGCUAACAACCAUACUAUAUUUUAUCAAGAAAGAGUAGUGCAUGUGGCGUGCAUCAAGACCCAUUAGAGUUCCGCUAAACCUAUAGUUCUGUCAACGUUAUCAUUUACGUUUCCUCUAGAUAAUGGCAUUUUCCUCUAAAACUCUUGCACCAUUAGGCUUCAAGUCAAAAUUUCACAUGUGAACUUUGGAAAUUUUCUCCAUUUGCCCCUAAGGAUACAGUUAGAAUUGACUUAAAAUCCUGAUUGAUGUAUACUUUUAACCGAAGAAUAUUGUAUAUAAUAAUUGAAAUAUUGUUGAUUCAUCGUGGAAAUACAUUUUGUAAGGAAAGUUGUUAAGAAUUUAGUAUGCUAUAUGGAGAAAAAAGUCAUGACUUAAGGUUGAGUAUGUAUAUUCUAUAUCAAAUAUUAGGUAGGAAUGUGGAAAAGAGCAGAGUGUAAUUAUAAGAAACAAAGAAAUAUAAGAUAUUCUUGAAAGUGGAAAAUGUAAAAUGGCUAAAAGUCAAAUUUAUGAUGCAUAAGGGGGAUCAUGUCACAUAAGAAACUCAUGGCAUACCAAAUACGUGUGGUAUGGAGUAACAAUUUUGUUAAAAUAAGUUUCUCGUUGGAGUACAUUAGGUGACAAUUUUUUAAUAUCAAAUUAAAGAGUCAAGUGCAUCAAUGAAGUCAUAUGUAGAAAAUUUGUUUGUGACAUGUACCAUAAAGAUAAGAUUGACUUGAUAUAAUUUAGUCCAGGUAGGAGUUGUUAAAGGUGUCUCAAAUUUCUAAUUGAUAUAUAUUUUUUUCUAAAAAAAUAUUAUAUAGAUAUUUCAAUAAAUGAUUAAUUCUUUGUAAAAAUACUUACAUAAUAAAAAACAUCAUUAGAAAUAUCUCUAUAAAUAUUUUAAAUCACAAAAAGAAAAAAAAAAUCACUAUGAGAUAAUUAUAAACAUGCAACAUUGUACCAAGUAAACAGAAAUGUGAUAAAAAAAUUUUGAGAAACACUAAAUAAAGGAAGGGCUUGUAUAUCAAGAUGUAAAUAUAGAGAGCAAUAUUUUUAAUCAUAUGAUAGAAUUAUUUUCUCUCAUUCAUGAUUAUAAGCAAAAUUGGGAACCAUUAUAAAAUCUUGUACACCUCGUGUAAAUUGAUGUUUGUCUUCAUAUUUUACACCAACAAAUGACAUUGAAGUUGUCAUUGAUAAAAGGGAAAAGGCAUGGCCUCCACACCAUGUGCUUGAAUCGUAUGGUUCAAGUUUAAAGAAUUUUCUCCAUAAUUUGAAGAUCUAAAACAUUUUCACCUUUAAAUUUCAUUUAAUUAUUAAUAUCUACAAAAAAUAGUUAAAUACUCUUUCUAUUUUUGAGUUGUUGAAUUUUUUGAAAGUUUUUAUAUUUGUUAUCAAGAAUUUAUAUUUUAUUAAGUGUGAAUAUUUAUAAAUAAGAUAUUAUAUAAUAUUUGGAUAAGAGAGAAUGGUGGAAUAUAAUAAAGUUUUAAUCCUUCCCAAUUUUUAUCUUUUUUUUUUUUUUUUUUUAUAAUCGCCUUUCUCUUUCAAUCCUAUUAUCAGGUACCUUAUAUUUGCUGAUGCUAUCUGGAACUAAAUUCCAAUCAGACAUUGUCCAAUUACUAAUAGGACAGAUCAUGUCUCUCUGUUUCUAAACUAACAUGUAUCGUAAUGUGGCCUCAUAAGGAAGGCUAGGAAGAUGGAGGAUUUUGUGGGAAGCGACCAGAAUCAGAUGGAAGAGAGAUAGCCCUGUUGACCUAAUGGCUGUAAUAGGAGAAGCGUGUGGAUUUAUGGGACUUAACUGAUACUAAACCUAUAUGAUGCUUGGAGUGGUGUUUCUUUCAUUUUGUUAAGAAAAUAUGGCAGCAUACAUCCUUUCAAUUGAGUGCAUCAGAGCAUCCAUAAUAGAUGGUCUGCAACCCUAGGUGCAUGCCACUUUCUGACUGAUAAUGAAACUGUCAGGUACUUGGCCUUGACUAAGCUCAACAGCAUCACAUAAAAAGAAGCUUUCAUACUUAGAUUACUGUUUAAAGCUUUUGCUUAUUUGCUUUCUUAAUGCCAUUAUGACAUUAUUGUUUCAAUUCUGCUACCGAUUUUCGAAGUUCUGGGCAUCUACUGAUUGCAUCAUUAUAUGAGAAGUUGCAUGAGUUUAUGUAUCCUGUUAUUGCUCCUUUGCGAUUUCACUGCUCACGGGACUAACCUCUCCAUUCAGUCGAAAUGAAUUGUAAUUUCUUUACUGGUAGCAGUAGUACUUUUCAUAGCAAAGAUAAUAGUAAAUAUGAAAUAUAAAUAGAAGGAAAUCUGAAUUGUAGAUGGCACUAUAAGUAACACUCAAUAUUCACUACAUAAUAAAAUAGACAGUGUUACAAAGGUAGAGAAACCUACAAUGAGUACUCAUCACCAUUCUCAAACAGAAACAUAGCAGCGACUUAUACAUAGAACCUAUAGGCUUGCAGGGAAAGAAGGGAAAGAGUAACAUGAUAAGUUCACAGCGGGUAGCAGCUCUUAUUUUACGUAUUACUCAAAAUCUCAAACUAACCAAAGUCACUCAGUUGGGAUGGGUAGGAGAUGGUGGUUUGUGGGGUGGCUUCUGGGUAGGAGCUGGUGGCUUCUUUGUUGGAGUUGAAGGAGGCGUAAUCUUCUGAGGUGGCUUGUAUGAGUCUUCGGCACUCUCUGCAGGAGGGUGCCCAGGGUUGUGACCGGAAGGAGGUGGCUUCUGUCCCUUUGGUGGUUUGCCUAAUGGGCUUGGUGGCUUGUGCUCCGGGAGUUGUUUCUCUCCCUCGAGUAGGUUUCGAGUUUUGUCAGAUGGCUUGUGUUCUGGUGGUGGCUUCUCUCCCUGGGGUGGUUUGCCGAAUGGGCUUGGUGGCUUGUGUUCGGGGAGUGGCUUCUCUCCCUGGAGAAGGUUACGAGUUUUGUCAGAUGGCUUUUGUUCUGGUGGUGGCUUCUCUCCCUGGGGUGGUUUGCCAAAUGGGCUUGGUGGCUUGUGUUCGGGAACUGGCUUCUCUCCCUUGGGAGGUUCAUUUGGUGGCUGGUGUUCCGUAGGUGGUUCCUUCACCGGCGGCUUGUGCUCCGGAAGCGGCUUCUCUACCUGGAGAAGCUUACGAGUUUUGUCAGAUGGCUUGUGUUGUGGUGGGGGCUUCUCUCCCUGGGGUGGUUUGCCAAACGGACUUGGUGGCUUGUGUUCGGGGAGUGGCUUCUCUCCAUUGGGAGGUUUAAUUGGUGGUUGGUGUUCCGUAGGUGGUUUCUGAAGUGGGGGAUGCUUGGGGUAGUCAGCAAGAGACGAGGUAGUGAGAACCACCAGUCCCAGCAGCAACACUAGCAAGGAUGUGGAAGAC